rnacentral:lncRNA from 1 species
UAAAAGGCUUCACUAAAAUUAGUUAUCAACUACAUCCAGUUACCACUAGGAAAUUAUUGAUAAAAAAGAUUGAAUUUAGGCUUAGUUUAGCGAGUCUAUAUAUAUAUAUAGACCUCACAUGGCUAGCAUACAAAGUAGUCGACACACACGGCCAACAAACAUAGUCGAUACAAUGCAGAAGAUUUUUAGUAAUACAAGUCCAUUGGCAAUGCAACAAAUCAUACGCAUCAUGGAUGAGGUAGAAAAGACUUCUUAAGCUUUCUUUGUACCCGGGCUUUGACCGUGCCUUCGAACAAUUUCAACUCAAAUUUCGGUAACAAGCUUCUUACUUGCCAUCCAUACUUGUUUCAGCAGCAUUCGAUAUUUGCCUGUAUAAACGAGAGUAAAAAAAUUCUGUUAGAUGAUAUGAAAUAUCUACUUGCAGAGGUUAAAUCAUCUAAACAUUGACUAUAAAAAGCAGAAGACCCAUAAACAAAUUAUUAUCCAAUUAAAUUAAAAUUCCAACAACCGCUCUGCUCUUCAUCAAAGGAGUACUAACAUUAGCAAUUUUGUUCGCACUAUCUCUUUCUGACUGUAUUGAGUAUUCUUGUCAUACAACACUCAGAUUCAGGAACUUGCAAGUUCUCUUCCAUUCCAUGCAACUCCCUGUGUUUCAAAUUCUAGAUUUGUCCCAAGUCAAACAUUUCUAUCUUUAGCCAUCAAUUCCUAGAAAUUUGUACAGUAUAAUGACUGAGCAUAAUUGUCAUGGUGAAUCUAAUAAUAUAAAUCUUAUAAUCUUGAACUAUAGAGUGAAUUUCACUUUUUAUCCAUAGUCUAACAUUUGUGACAGCAAUUACCCCAUUUAAUAGGAAUUCCUCCUGUUUACUCUCUUUAGUCUAACUCUAAUAUCUGACAAUGGUACAAAUAUAGGGACAGUACUGAACGCAUUCACCAGUUAACAUUUCCCAUUUAGUGAAACAUUUGCCAGUUUAUUCAGUUCUAUUUGGUAGGACUCGUUCAUCAGGUCUACAUGGCCAUGCGCGACUUCAACAAUCCUAGCUGCUUCUACUACGAUCUUUGUUGUAGCUACUGUCCUUGCUUCAUCGAUCGCUUGGCUGAAACCUGAAGAGAGAAGCUAGCGCAUGCACGCUUGUCCUGUACAUGCAUGGCACACAGAAAUUUUAUGCUACGUACUAGUACUAGAACAAAAACAAUAAUUACGAAAAAUACAACCAAAAUACUCUACUUAAGUGGACUACUGCUACUAGUGCCCUAUUAUGCUCUGGCUAGCUCUCGUGUUUAAUUCUGUCUGGCUAGCAGAAGGUGAGAACAUUGUGGCAGCAACAGUUGUGCCACAAAGGUGCAGAUGAGGACCUGAGAAGGUAGUCGGAUAUUAAAUAUGCCAGGGCAAAAUAUGUUUCUGAUAUUGCAAGCCACGUAGAGCUGAUAACUCGGUGCAACCUUACAGAAUGGGUCAAGUUUAAAAGGGGGUGAAAGCUGACACAACUUUUACUAAAUGGGAUAAGUGCGAAGAAUUUCUGCUAAAUGGGCCAAUUGUUAAACUAGGGGUUGAAAAAUGGAAUUCACACUAAACUAUACGCAUUUCUAGAAACCGGUAGUUAUUAAAGAUAGAAAGAAAGGUUUGACUUUGGACAAAACUAGAAUGACAACUAAUAUGAAGAAGAGGGAGACCCUAAAUGUACUGCAAUUUUUACAGGGGCCACGGAUCCACUGCAAUAUUUCCCCUCAAAUAAGCCAACCAUAGUGAUUGCCGAUUUUGUCCCAAUACAACUCUCCCUAACAAAUGGGCCACGCCUGCCAGUGGGUCAUUUUUUUUCCUCUCUCAUUUGCAUCUUUUCGGCAAGGCUGCGGUGGCAGGUGGCGGCGGCGCGGAUGUCCAGCGACGGCAGCACGGAAGUCCGGCGGCAGCGGUGGUGUUCCAGCAGACGGCAGUGGUCCAGUGGCGCGGCGGUCAAUGGAGGCGGCGCACUGACAUGGCAAGCAUUGAAAAUUUAUGGGGAGGGUUGCAACUCUCCACUAUCUGAGGAGAUAAUUUUUUGGGUUUAGGGAGACUGUUGAAGCAGGUUUUUUGCCUCAACUCUUCCUAUACGUGCAAUUUCUUGGGAAUAGGGAGUAGUUUGCUGAAGAUGAUAUAAGUGUACUACUACUAGUGCACUAUUAUGCGCUAGCUAGCUCUGGCAUUUAGCUGUGUCUCGCUAGCAAAUGGUGGGAACAUUGUGGCUGCAACAGUUGCCGCACAACGGUGCGGACGAGGACCUGAGAAGGUAGUCGGAGAUUAAAUAUGCUUCUGAUAUGGCAAGCCACAUAGACCUGAUGACUCGGCCCUCCUUACAGAACUAGUAAACAUGUACGUGCAACGCACGUCUCAAUCGACAUCAAAUAAUUGUUAAUAAAUAGUUGUCUAAUAUUUACAUAGUUUUUCAUCCGUACAUAUCUUUAUUACUGAUUUAUAAUGUUUUUCGGAUGGAAGCAAAACUAAAUUACGGAUAAAUAGAGAAUGUGCAAAUUAGUUCAAGAUCAAUAAAUUUAUGUAACUUAUGUUGCUAGUACGGACACCCUAGUAGUCACUUAUUUGCUACUAUUUUCUUAGCCAUAUCAUCCUGAUUCUACCCUUUGUCCCAUCAUAGAAAUUGACACAUCACCCAUGGCUGCAACAGUCUCAACGUGAUGAAGAGCCAAAUCAGUUUCCUCCUCCGUCUUACACAUGACCUUGCUUCCUGUCAUGUCACAAAAGAAGAAAACAGUCCCUUUCUCUGUAAGAUUGAACAGAGUCAAGCCAUAAAAGAAAAUGGACAAGCUGAUUUUUUCAUCAUGAAAUUUUGUGUUUUGAAAUAGUUACUAAAUAUGUAAUGUUUAGUCCAGCAGCCAAAUGGUUAUACCCCAGAGUUGUUUACAUCAUUGCUUCACUCAUGGUUCAGUGCCAUGAUGGCAUAAAAGAUAUCUUAGAAAAAGCCGGAUACAUAGUAAUGCCUAAUUAACAGAUGGUCAAAGCAAUUAUCAAAAAACAUGAAGAGCAGGUUAACCAUUGUUACAUCCCAAAUCUAUGAGAACAUCUGUAAAUAAUUAUCUGUAAUGGGGUGUUUAGAGUACACCUGCUUUGGUUGUACUGGGGUGUGGUCGAGAGUGGAUGUUCGCAUCCAUUUCGAGGCUUCUUGUACAUUGUAUUUUCUCUCUUCUAUAAAAGUAUGCCUUUGGCGUACUCUCAAAAAAAAAAGAAUAUCUGUAAAUUGUAGAAGAAAAUGGCGCAGCUAUGAAAAGAAAACAAAGCUUUAACCUUGGUGUAGUAAAAACUAAAAGGUAACUUAUCCCUACAGUCUAAUAACAGAACAACACAUGAGUAAACAACUUGCUGUUUUCUGUAAAGGGUGAAUUUCAUUGGCAGCAUGUCUGAACUAUCAUAAUAAAAUUAGUCAGGCCUCCUAAAUUUUGUUACUCAAGAAACUAUCUGCAGGUCCCUGAAAUUUUGCUAUGCAUUUUUGGAAGAGAAGAGCACCAUUUCAAAUUCACAAUACUGCGUGAUAGUUUGUUUCUCGAGCCUAAACAAAAGCAAAACUUCCUCUAGACACUUGCUUAAUGUAAGAGCGGAACAAACUUUCAUAAUUUCAAACUGAAGAUUUCAAAGUCAUACACAUGGCAGAUAAUUCAUACUUUAGGAGGAAAUUAGUUUGCCUCCAAAUCCAACAGCAAUCAACAAAAAUACACAUGGAAAAUGGCAUUUAAUAGUACACUGUAAACAGAACACUGAAUGGAUAAUGAUACUAAAAUGUGUUUACAAAGGUCAACAGAAUACAGAUCUUACCAACGAACAAAGAUGAAGUGAUGAACUGACCGGUUUCAGUGAAGUGGCUAAUGUCAUGACCUCGGUUUUCUGCUGAAGCAACUCAUUUUCUCUUUCAGAUAGCUGAACUGCUAAAAUACCCACCUAUGGAAAGUACCAAAAUAUUGAAGUGUUUACAAACAAAGAGAUCAUUUAGGCAUGUAUAUAUAUGUAGGUCGACUGGUGGAGACUUCUUUGAAUAAAAACUCACCUGCUACUAUUUUUUACACAAUGAAACUGUACGUGCUUCUUAAAUAUGUGCAAGCUAGUUGUGUAUUUCAUCGAUUGUCAAGAGAGAAGGCAUCGAGGAAGGAACCAACCUGGACAUGAUGAUAGAUAGGCUAAGAAUUUAAAUUGUGAAUGAAGUGUACUAUGAUUUUCAUCAAGGUCCGGUAUUUCUUGUAUAUAUCAGCAAGAGCACAUCAAGUGCUUCUGAGUUUGAACAACAUGUUAAAUUAAACCAGCAUUCCUUUCAUCCAAGAAAUGGAAUGGAAAGUAAUGGGGAGAUUGAGAGUAAGCAUGACUCACCACGGUAUAUCAGAGAUGCAGGUCCUGAAUUAGUUGGACUUGAGGGCGAGGAAUUUUUUCCACCUGAGUGCGAGGAGAUGUACCCCCAAAUUCGUACCACUACCAUAGACCUGCACGUGCGUAACAUCAUGGCAGCAAAUUACAGUUUUCUAAAAUAUUGGCAAUGUAGCAUCAUGGCUGCAAAUUACAUUGCGUACAAGUGGGGUCAGAACAAAAGCUACAGUCAAAAAUGGGGCCCAAAAUGGAAAUACAAUCCAAAAUAGAAAAUCAAUGAAAAGUUGAAAACUGUAGUAAGAUGAGGAUUUGCACUUGGCAAUGUAGCUUACCUACAACUGAGGUUUGAACAAAAGCUACAGUUAUAAGCACAUGAGUUGGUUGUAGAACUGAUCUAAAUACUUCACCAUUGAUUAGUAUCUCGUUGAGAGUUCACCUCUUCUGGUGCCACAGACCAGCACCCUCGGCGCUCUCCCUGGCUACACAAAGCAUGCUCGUAUUGAUCAAUUCCGCAGUUGUAUAGCUACAGUUUCCGCCCCUCUUGGUUCCUCGUUCGCCACAACCCGCCUAAUUCCUGCUGUGUGAGUCAGCAAGCAACAGUGCUCACCUUCAUCCAAAUACAUAGAUUAAAAAGACCAAUGUGGGGAUGAAAGGCCGCAUAGUAUGCUGCUCGGAGAACAUAUGAACCUAACUUUGCUUCAGAGGUAAAAUUAGCAAUUCCUAGUCAUUAUCUGCUUUGACUGCAGUACCAAAUUAUCAGUUGAACUAACUUAAAAUUUAUAAUUGGUGCAAUACCUAUAUAAAUUGAGAAGGCGGUGAAGUCCAACUAUUAGAUCCAACAUCACUGAAUCCUUGAGAUCUUAAACGUGACCUACUUGCUCAUAGUUCCGACCUACUUGCUCAUAGUUAAGAUGAUUACCAUCUGCAAGAGGACAUAAAUAGUUCAACGGAGAAGAAAUUUGUCAGAAUAUAUAUGUGUGUCAUGGCCGAAAGCUUAUGUAGCAAGGUUCUUCAUGCAUGCAAAUCUCCCAAAAAUCAAUCCAUAUACCUGUUUCCAACCACUGGUACGUGCAUGUUGCUAUAACCGAAAGCACUUCUGACAUAGCAACAUUGACCAAUCACUACAGCACCUAAAUCUGUUUGCUGUUGGAAACCUCUUAGGGAUCUUAAACUCAACUCUAAAAUUAGUCAAAGACCUUCUAAGAUUAAUAUUACACUUAAUGGGAUCAACUACAAAACUCAGCUAGAUUGAUUUGUACAGCAAAUUGCAAAGAAGAUUACUUAUAUCAAUCAAUAAGUGUAAAAGGAUGUGGCCAGUUUGAUACAUCAGACUUUUUAUGUUCAGUCAGGAUAUGGCCAGAUCGAUUCAUCACAAUAAAUUCCAGUGGAAAGGGCACUCCGAACCAACAAAAACAUGAACCGUGAUACGGCUGGCCGGUUGUAGAUCGCCACUGGCAAAUAUCUCCUGGUUAAGUGAAGCGUGUAUCAGCACUACACUGAAAAUAUCAAAUGUGAAGCAACACUACACUGAAAAAAAUAUACUGGACCUCGUGAGAUACUGAGAGAACAGAAUCACAAGCAUCAACUUAGAGGAUCAGAGAGAUACAUGGUGAAAGUUAGUCGGCUUGAUGGCGAGGGCCUCACCGUAUAGGUGGCCACCGUCGAAGUGGGGGAUCAGAGUCAGCCGCGACGGAAGCAGAGUUCAGCGGCGACGGCGGAGGAGCGGAGGGUCGGCGGCAGAGGCCGACUGGAGCGGGGGGUGACGGGCAAUUUGAGCGGCGGCGGAGUGGAGGAUCGGCGAGUGGCGGUGGUAGCCCGUGCUGGCGCGUCCACUGGGCAACACAGAAGGAGCGGGCGGCGGCAGAGGCCGACUGGAGCGGGCAGCGACGGGCGAUUAGAGCGGCGGCAGCAACCCGUGCCGGCGCAUCCGCUGGGCAAGGAGCGGGCGGCGCACCGUGCACAGGAGGAGAGGGCGGAGGUUACACAGGAGAAGCAGGAUAGAGAUCGUGGUUCGUUCGUGCGGAGUAGUUUUCUUUAACGAAGAGGCAUCUACUAUCAGUCGACGGGUUAGUGGCUUGCUAGCGUUAAACACAGAGAGAUUGUGAACCAUUAGAUCGUGUGAUUAGGCGGCUGAGAUUAUUUGGAUCUGCCUCUUUCUUUCUUUUAUAGGGGUAGUAGAUGGGUAAUGUUUAAAAGGAGGUGAAAGCUGGCACAACUUUUACUAAAUGGGGCAAGUGGGAAGAAUUUCUGCUAAAUGGGCCAAUUGUUAAACUAGGGGGUGAAAAAUGGAGUUACACUAAACUAUGCGCAUUUCUAGAAAUCGGUAGUUACAGAUAGAAAGAAAGGUUUGUCUUUGAACAAAACUAGAAUUACAACUAAUAUGAGGUACAGGGACCUAAAUGUACUGCCAUUUUUACAGGAGCCAUGGAGCCACUGCAACAUUUCCCCUCAAAUAAGCCAACCAUAGGGAUUGCCCAUUUUGUCCAGCGAAAACCAGCUGGGUUAGGCUUACACUUUGCUUAUUUUGUGUGCGAUGGAAACUUUUCGGUUCCCACAAAAGAAAUAAACAUUUAAUACAAAAGCAAGAUUAUCUACCAAAAGCUGCGCACAACAAAAGAAAACAUUGCUUAAUUCGUGCAGAUAGUGCAUCUUAUCGUUCUGACAAUGGCCCAGGAAAUAGUAUGGCACGAAAGACGCAAUGCAUGAAAGCUGAAUCCUGGGUAUGAGAUAGCCUACCAAUGGUGUGCAAUAUUUUCCCCUCAAAUAAGCCAACUAUAGGAUUAUUUUAUUUCCUUGGUGCACAUUUGCACCGUUUGAACAAUGGCUGUGGAAUUAUUUUUAAUAGGGGUUAGUUACACCACAUGGUGUGCAAGAUACAGCACAUGGCGCACUAAUGAAAUCAUUCAUGUGCAACACACCAUAAGCAAGCAGAAACUUUGGUUAGGGAACAAUGCGGUGAAGUUAAGCUGGACACUGUCUUUACUUUUGUUAUUUUGUCUGUUGAAUGAAGCCUUUUUUAUACAUCUAAUCAAACAGAAACCACGGAAUUUAAAUGUGGUGACAGGGAAGCAGUAAGUGCUGAAUUUAUGGACAGAAAAGUAAAUGCUAGCGAGAUAAAUGCAGGCACAAUGUUCACCGUCCUCAAACAAAUACAGUAGUUAUUUUGAAACAACAAAUCAGGUAGAUCUAAAGAAUACUAGCUGGUAGCUGCACAUGAUCAAAUGAAAUAAUAAAUAAUGAAAACCAGAAUUGUAAUGAAAGAUGGAACACAUUCUUUUGUGAUAUUAACUUGCACAGCAUAAUAAAAGCAUAGAUGUAACAAAUCUACAUCCACUCAGUACAAGUACCCAAAGUACUCUCUGCUGCCAGUACAAGUUGGUUUACCUCUGAUACUUCAGUUUGUAAAUCAUUUUGCUACGAAAGGAUAUGAAAGCUCUUAACGAAAUUACCUGGUUGAUGAGAAAAUGCCCAGAUGCUUGGAGAUCCCACUGGGAAAGUAGGUGAAACAAUGACCCAGGGGUCUUCCAGAGCCGCCAAAAUUAGCCACGCCUUUUACAGCCUUGUUCCUCAUAUCAAGAGCAAUAACACAAGCCUUAUCCCCAAGGGUAUCAGGCAUGUGCAUAAGGUAAACAACAUCACUGUCAUGCAAGCUAAGAGCAGGAUAGCCUAGACAAGUUCUCUUGAGGUUUGGCUUGGUAUCAUCACCACGCUCCUGCAGAUUAGGUAGUAGCAUUUGGGCAUACACAGGGUUAUCCAAUGGUACAUCAUCUGGGCAUCUGAUAGUGCAGUCCUCCUCCCAGUUGCUGCUAUCAGAAGUGGAACCAAUGCUUGAAAUUUUUAAUUUUUUUGUUGCAGCAAUCCAACCUUGAGAUAUCGGGGAGCUUCCAGUGUCUGAGCCCGGUCUGACGUUAUUGUGCAUCUCAAAAUACUUGAUGUAACCUUGGAGAACAGUGAUGUUCUGAACAUACAACGGAUAACCAAUGAGCGGAUCGGGCGACAGCGGCGAAGGUAGCGGGAUGUAGCGAAGACUCUGGUUGCUGUCAAGGAGGAGAAGGUCACAGAUGAUAAUGCCCCGCCCGAGGUCGACCCAACCCACUGAACCAAGCUCCCCUCCAAUGGUGAUCCCCUUGUUGGGAGACUGGAACUCAAAAUCCUUGGGCGAAUCAAGAAGCAUCAACUUGGUGCUCCAUGCCUUUGUCUUGGAGUUGUACAGGUGGAGAUUAAAGUGCCCGUCGGUGUACUCCCGCUCAAUGAAGGCCCUGCGGAGCACGGCGAUGAAGAACAUCUCUUGGUCGUGGCAGUGCAGUAAGGCAACCUCUUGGUCGUAGAUCCUGAAGUAGGGGGGACAGUGGACGAGCUUGACCGACGGCGGCGUCUUCUUGGUGCCGGCCUGGUAGACGAAGUAGCGAAUGUUCUUGGUGUACACGUGCUGGCGCUCGGGGCAGAUGGUGAUGCGGAGCAGGACGAGGCCAUCCUCCGUAUAGGAGAUCUUGGGCAUGUCAGCGAAUGCAUCGGGCUUCAGAUCUGGGCAGUGGACGGUGAAGCAGGAGACGCGCGGCGGGGCAGCCGGCCAGAAGGUGACCAGGAUGCGCUUGCCCUUCUUCUUGGUCCUGCUCCUGCGGCCACGGGCGGUGGUGGCGUUGGUGCGGUCGCUGAGGUAGCCGAAGGAGUCGAUGAGGAUGGUCUCCGGGAGAGGAGAAUCCGGAUCCUCGGGGUGGAUAGGCGGAGGGAUCUGGAGUAGCCGGAGUUGGUGGUCAUCCAUCACCAUGGCAACCGAGGAGGUCGAUGCGGAGGUGGCGGCCGGAGGAGGAAUGGGAGUGGAACCCUAACGCAGGGAGGAGAGAUGAAUCUAUGGAUGGGCUCGCUGGCACACACUGAACGAGUCGAUAUUUUAUCUCGGGGACUCCGACGCACAGAAGAGGAGGCAACGACUGGGCCGGCCCGACUCUGUAGCGCUCAUUGUUGCAUCAUUCUCAAAAACAAAAAGCUCAUUGUUGCAUUCUCUAUACAAGAGGUCAUUGUUGCAUUCUAUAAAAAAAGGUCAAUUGUAGCAACCUUUUUGAAACAAAUCUAAAUUUUCUCGAAAUAUGAAUAUAUUUUAUUGUAAAAGAAAAUAUUUACUGAAAACGCGAACAACUUUUCAAAUUUCUGAAAAAUGAACUUACAAUUUUCUAAAAAAAAUUGAAUCAUAUAAAAACAAUUUUUUAAAUGCGUUUUUACUGUGAACAAAUUCUGAAAAUACGGAUUUCGUAAAUUCCAAACAAUAUUUGAAAACACACAAAAAAUCUGCUUUUUUAAUCUAAAAGCAUUUUCUAAAAAUUCCAAACAUUUUUAAAAAAGGUAACUUUUUUGAAAACAUAGAAAAGAAAAAGGAAACAAAAAAGGGACACAGACCGAUCAGGGGCCUUGUAGAAGGUUUCCAAAAUCGGAACCAACAUUCAAUUUAUCUAGCGUUAAAUUGGUCGGCCAACUCGGUCGCUCAUGUGCCAAUAGGCGACUAUUUGAGGCAUGUUAGUCAAAUACUAGUAAACACCAUUUAUCUCUGCUCUUAUAAAAACAAGGAUCAUUUACAUUUCAGUCCCUAACUCGAACCCACUACUCGACGCACAGAAGAGGAGGCAACGACUGGGCCGGCCCGACUCUGUAGCGCUCGGUACUGUAGCAAUCAGCUCAUUGUUGCAUCAUUCUCAAAAACAAAAAGCUCAUUGUUGCAUUCUCUAAAAAAGGUCAAUUGUAGCAACCUUUUUGAAACGAAUCUAACUUUUCUCGAAAUAUGAAUAUAUUUUAUUGUAAAAGAAAAUAUCUACUGAAAAUGCGAACAACUUUUCAAAUUUCUAAAAAAUGAAGUUACGGUUUUCUAAAAAAUGGAAUCAUUUAAAAAACAAUUUUUAAAUGCUUUUUUACUGUGAACAAAUUCUGAAAAUGCGGAUUUCGUAAAUUCCAAAUAAUAUUUGAAAACACACCCAAAAAUGCUUUUUUAAUCUAAAAGCAUUUUCUAAAAAUUCCAAACAUUUUUUUAAAAAAAGGUAACUUUUUUGAAAACAUAGAAAAUAAAAAAGAAACAAAAAAGGGACACACACCGAUCCAGGGACCUUGUAGAAGGUUUCCAAAAUCGGAACUAACAUUCAAUUUAUCUAGCGUUAAAUUGGUCGGCCCAACUCGGUCGCUCAUGUGCCAAUAGGCGACUAUUUGAGGCAUGUUAGUCAAAUAGGAAACACAAUUUAUCUCUGCUAUUAUAAAAAAACAAGGAUCGUUUAUAUUUCAGCCCUUAACUCGAACCCACUACUAAGAUUUACCCAUAAUUUUGAAGCGUGUUCAAAUUUCCCCCUCUCCCGUUAGGUGCCUUUAUAAAAAUGUCCUUCUGUGCCAUUUCCGUCUGGUCAAAGGCCUCUGACCAUCAAUAGGACGUUUUCUAGACAUAUUUGCCCUUCGAUGCAUAUAUAACUUACACAUGGACCUGCCCAAAGUUAAAAAAACUCACUAUCUCAUCCCCUCUCUUUAACUUAUAGAUGGACCCCAACAAGCAUAAAAAAUAAAAAUAAAACACACUCUCUCUCUCUCUGACAUGUGGACCAUGGGACUCACUGCGAGGGUCAACAACGGUCCACACGUCCCCAAACGCAUGUCCGGCCGGCUGCGCUCGCCGACGGCUCGCCGUACGUGGCUAUAGACGGUCGCGGGAGGAGAGUGUGAGGCGGGCAGUAUAGUUGUGUGAGGCACUCCUUGCACACCAAUUCAUCUUCACGGGCACGUCACUCGCAGGUAGGUGGGCGCGCGCAGACGACCGAGCUAGCCGAGGUCAAUCAUGGCGGCCAGCUUCGGGCAGGGCGCUCCGGGAACGGGGUCGAGCAGUGGAAGAGGGGAGUAGGUCCACAAGAUUUCAACGACGAUGCAUUGAGGUCGAGGAGGUCAACGGUGGCUCGGGGCGGACGAAUUUAGGAGCUCAAAAGCACAUCCAUGGCGGAGAUCAGAGUCCCGUCCGUCGUCUACAGGCGGCCCUAGGCCCGAUUGAGGCGGCCAGAGGGGCACAUGGCCAUGCUCUUUGGUCUCGAUCUAGCCUUCGACCGAGACAGCUAGCAUCGACGUCCUCCGCGGAAUGUCUCAUGCGCUCCCCGUGCAUGGCGUCACAGUCCGCCGCCACCCGCCUCGACCACCACCUGCAAAUCCUUCGACAAACCACCCCGAACUCGUCCCCUUGGUCUUCACAUGUAGGCACGCCGCCCCUCAUCGGCGACGGCCACCUGGCGAGCCUUGCCUUGCUUUGGAGCGCGUGGACUAGUGUGGACACUGCAAGUGGGUCCUUGGCACACAUGUCAAGGAGAGAGAGGUUAUGAGAGAGGGAGAGUUUUUUAUGUUAUAAGUGAGUGAGAGUGAAUAAGACAAAAAAAUUCUCUUUUUCCUAGGGUAGGACCCGCAUGUAAGUGACAAGUGAAUAGAGGGGCAAAUAUGUCCAGGAAACGCCCCAUUGAUGGUCAAAGGACUUUGACCGGGCGGAUAUGGCACGGAGGGCAUUUCUGUAAGGGCACAUAACGGCACAGGGGGCAAAUUUGAGAAUGCUUUGAUAUUAGGGGUAAUCUGUGUAGUAGGUUUGAGUUAGGGGCACAAAUGUAAAUGUCCCUAAAAACAAUGUUGGGUGUAAUUGGUUUUGUUCCCUGGAUCAAUUUCGGACCUCCUACAUACAUGAUCUAAACCAGGUUCUACACUUUGUUUGAUUGCCCACAAAUCCCCACACUACAUGGCAGCACAAACGCAAGCACGACAUUUGGUUGUGGGUAUGUGUAACGCCCCGGAUUCGAUGCGCCAGGUGUCCGCCAGUUAUUCGAUGUCCUUGCCAUGUCAUUUGCUUGCGUGUUGCACUUUGCCAUGUCAUCAUCUGCAUUUCAUAUCAUGUCGUCAUGUGCAUCGCAUUUGCAUACGUGUUCGUCUCAUGCAUCUGAGCAUUUUCCCCGUUGUCCGUUUUGCAAUCCGGCACUCCUAUGUCACCCGGCGUCCCCUUCUUGCCUCUUUUCGUGAGCGGGUGUUAAACGGUCUCAGAAUGGACUGAGGUUUUCCAAGCGGCCUUGGUAGACCGCAUGUCAAGUUUCGUGCCAUUUGGAGGUCGUUUGAUACUCCAACGGUUAACCGGGUAACCGUUAAAGCCUCUUUUGUGUGCAGCCCAACACCCCUUCCAAAGUGGCCCAAAACCCAGCAAACUCCCCUCCAUGCUCUCGGUCGUUCGAUCACGAUCGUGUGGGCGAAAACCGCACCUCAUUUGGACUCUCCUAGCUCCCUCUACCUAUAUAUAGACCUCCCCCUCCGAAAUUUCGGUGCAAACCCUAGUCCUCUUCCUCCCGCGCUGCCAACCAGGCCCACGCCCGCCUCCCGCUCGCCUCCCCCGAGGCCCGAUCCGCCGCCACCAUCUCCGCCUCCCCUCACCGGCGCCGCCAUCUCUGGCAGCCUCGCCGGCGACCUCCGCCGCCCUCCGGCGCCUCCCUCNNNNNNNNNNNNNNNNNNNNNNNNNNNNNNNNNNNNNNNNNNNNNNNNNNNNNNNNNNNNNNNNNNNNNNNNNNNNNNNNNNNNNNNNNNNNNNNNNNNNNNNNNNNNNNNNNNNNNNNNNNNNNNNNNNNNNNNNNNNNNNNNNNNNNNNNNNNNNNNNNNNNNNNNNNNNNNNNNNNNNNNNNNNNNNNNNNNNNNNNNNNNNNNNNNNNNNNNNNNNNNNNNNNNNNNNNNNNNNNNNNNNNNNNNNNNNNNNNNNNNNNNNNNNNNNNNNNNNNNNNNNNNNNNNNNNNNNNNNNNNNNNNNNNNNNNNNNNNNNNNNNNNNNNNNNNNNNNNNNNNNNNNNNNNNNNNNNNNNNNNNNNNNNNNNNNNNNNNNNNNNNNNNNNNNNNNNNNNNNNNNNNNNNNNNNNNNNNNNNNNNNNNNNNNNNNNNNNNNNNNNNNNNNNNNNNNNNNNNNNNCGACCGCCGCCACCUCGCCGGGCUCCGGCGCCGCCCGCGCACCUCCGCCCCGCGCCGGUCCCCUCCGGUCCGGAUCCGGUGGGAUCCGGCCGGAUCUCGCUCCGCCCGGCCACCUCGACCUCCCCGACAGCCUCCUCCGCCCGCGUCUCCGGCCGCCGUCAUCAACUCCGGCGAGGUCCGUGGAUCGGGACGAGAUCCACCAAGCCCCCGAUCCAAACGCCUCCAUCCAGGAUCGCCCCGUCCACUUUGUCCCCGAGGUGAAAUUUCCACUAAGUCCCCGAAUCUGUGACAUUUUCAUGCCAUGUUCAUCGCAUCAUAACUUGCUGCAUACUGCUCCGUUUCGUGCAUAUAAUAUGUCAAAAUGUUCGUAAGUAGGAGUUCAGGAUCACUUCUUGAUCAUUACUAGUUGACGACCGUUCCUUUGUUUCUCUUCUCACUUUCAUUUACGUAUGUUAGCCACCAUAUAUGCUUAGCCGCUGCUGCAACCUCACCACUUUACCCCUUCCUUUCCCAUUAAGCUUUGCUAGUCUUGAUACCCAUGGUAAUGGGAUUGCUGAGUCCUCGUGGCUCACAGAUUACUACACCAACAGUUGCAGGUACAUGUUAUGCGAUGAUCAUGACGCGAGAGCGAUGUUUGCCUAUUUUGGAGUUCUUCUUCUGCUUCUUCGAUCAGGGGAUAGGUUCCAGGUCGGCAGCCUGGGCUAGCAGGUUGGAUGUCGUUUGAGUUUCUGUUUGUGUUUCAUCCGUAGGCGGAUGGUGCUCUUAUGUAAGAUGAUGUUGUAUUCGUGUGGCAUUGUAUGCCUUUUGUAUGUAUCCCCAUCUAUUAUGUAAUGUUGAUGUAAUGAUAUCCACCUUGCAAAAGCGUUUCAAUAUGCGGUUCUAUCCUUGGUGGGACCUUCUAGUCGCUUUAGGAUAGUAUCGCAUAUUGGGCGUGACAAGUUGGUAUCAGAGCCUCGACCGACCUUAGGAGCCCCCUUGAUUGAUCGUGUAGUUUGGCCGUUGUUUAGUCUAGAAGAAAACUGUUUUCGGAGUCUAGUUAUAUCGGAGAGUAGGAAUUCUUUUUACUCCUCAGCCCCUUCGUCGCUCUCGUCAGGAAUCUUGACGUAGGUGUUUUGAAUUACUCCUCUUCCCUUUCAAACUUUCUUUAGGAUCACGCAGUUGGUUUUCCGAUCGUUGUUCCUCAGCUCUUUGCAUCCGGUGCAUUUCUCGUCAUGGCGAUUUGACCCUCUUUGUUUUGCAAGUUCAAUCCUCAGUUGUCUUUUUUUCCCACCCGCCCACCCCUUUUUUCUUCUCGGAACCGGAGUCCGUAAUCGAGUAUCCAUCCCACUCGUGCGAAGUCUUUGCUUUCUUUCCUCAAUGAUUUCAACCGGUGUUUUUCUCUUCAAGAUAUUCGUCGUUUCCCCUUCCAAGUUUCCUUUGUUUUUCCCGCCCUCCCACCCUCUUCUUCCCGGAGCUUGAGUCUGUUUCAAGCAUGUCAUUCGUGUGGAGCCUCUUCAGGUUUUCCCUCAAUUAAUUCAACCGGUGAAUUCUCGUCUCGUUCGUCAUUCUUCAUCUCUUUCUUUUCCGGUGGAUUCAAUUCAAGUUUUUUCAUUGUCGAUCGUAUUCUUUCCCUCAGCUCAAAUAUUUCCCUUUGCUCGUUCGCCUCUCGCCAGUUUAUCCUUCCGGAGUGCUGAAGACAUCUCAGGAGAUUCGUCUGUGUUCCAAUUAAUUCGAGGUUGUCACCUCAUUCAAAUAUUUCAAUUGUUCCGGUGCAUCAUCUAUCUAUUCAACAUCCCUUUCCAAUGAUGUUUUUCUCUUUAGUGGGCCCUAACCCACAGGUCUUUUCCUAGGAUCUUACUUGACUCUUCUAAUUAUUCCGGAGCUAUUCUAAAUUCUUUCAAUUCUUCCAGAGGCCUUGCGUUGUUCAUCUUUUUUUUUCUUGCGUUCUUGUUUCACCUCAUCCCUUUUCCCUUCCGUCUCGGUCCUAAGAUCUCGGGACGAGAUCUCUUGUUAGUGGAGGAGUGUUGUAACGCCCCGAAUUCGAUGCGCCAGGUGUCUGCCAGUUAUUCGAUGUCCUUGCCAUGUCAUUUGCUUGCGUGUUGCACUUUGCCAUGUCAUCAUCUACAUUUCAUAUCAUGUCGUCACGUGCAUCGCAUUUGCAUACGUGUUCGUCUCAUGCAUCUGAGCAUUUUCCCCGUUGUCCGUUUUGCAAUCUGGCAUUCCUAUGUCACCCGGCGUCCCCUUCUUGCCUCUUUUCGUGAGCAGGUGUUAAACGGUCUCGGAAUGGACCGAGGUUUGCCAAGCGGCCUUGAUAUACCACCGGUAGACCGCCUGUCAAGUUUCGUGCCAUUUGGAGGUCGUUCGAUACUCCAACGGUUAACCGGGUAACCGUUAAAGCUUCUUUUGUGUGCAGCCCAACACCCCUUCCAAAGUGGCCCAAAACCCAGCAAACUCCCCUCCAUGCUCUCGGUCGUUCGAUCACGAUCGUGUGGGCGAAAACCGCACCUCAUUUGGACUCUCCUAGCUCCCUCUACCUAUAUAUAGACCUCCCCCUCCGAAAUUUCAGUGCAAACCCUAGUCCUCUUCCUCUCGCGUCGCCAACUGGGCCCACGCCCGCCUCUCGCGCGCCUCCCCGGAGGCCCGAUCCGCCGCCACCAUCUCCGCCUCCCCUCGCCGGCGCCGCCAUCUCCGGCAGCCUCGCCGGCGACCUCCGCCGCCUCCCUCCGCCGGUCGCCGCNNNNNNNNNNNNNNNNNNNNNNNNNNNNNNNNNNNNNNNNNNNNNNNNNNNNNNNNNNNNNNNNNNNNNNNNNNNNNNNNNNNNNNNNNNNNNNNNNNNNNNNNNNNNNNNNNNNNNNNNNNNNNNNNNNNNNNNNNNNNNNNNNNNNNNNNNNNNNNNNNNNNNNNNNNNNNNNNNNNNNNNNNNNNNNNNNNNNNNNNNNNNNNNNNNNNNNNNNNNNNNNNNNNNNNNNNNNNNNNNNNNNNNNNNNNNNNNNNNNNNNNNNNNNNNNNNNNNNNNNNNNNNNNNNNNNNNNNNNNNNNNNNNNNNNNNNNNNNNNNNNNNNNNNNNNNNNNNNNNNNNNNNNNNNNNNNNNNNNNNNNNNNNNNNNNNNNNNNNNNNNNNNNNNNNNNNNNNNNNNNNNNNNNNNNNNNNNNNNNNNNNNNNNNNNNCCGGUCGCCCCUCGGACCCGCGUCGCCGCCUCGGCACUCCAUCGGCCGCCGCCACCUCACCGGGCUCCGGCGCCGCCCGCGCACCUCCGCCCCGCGCCGGUCCCCUCCGGUCCGGAUCCGGUGGGAUCCGGCCGGAUCUCACUCCGCCCGGCCACCUCGACCUCCCCGACGGCCUCCUCCGCCCGCGUCUCCGGCCGCCGUCGUCAACUCCGGCGAGGUCCGUGGAUCGGGACGAGAUCCACCAAGCCCCCGAUCCAAACGCCUCCGUCCCGGAUCGCCCCGUCCACUUUGUCCCCGAGGUGAAAUUUCCACUAAGUCCCCGAAUCUGUGACAUUUUCAUGCCAUGUUCAUCGCAUCAUAACUUGUUGCAUACUGCUCCGUUUCGUGCGUAUAAUAUGUCAAAAUGUUCGUUAUAAGAUGCUCUUCAUUUCAUUCCAUUGCAUCAUGUUCAUUUGAGCUCAGCUUGAUGCCCGACUCAUUGUUGCAAGAGUGCUAUAUGAUGUUAAUCUGCUGAAACUGUUAUAACUUGAUGAUUUGUCAUUUUUGUUGCAUUUGAUGUGUGCGUCUUAUGAGCAUGAGGUCUACAUGUGUUUUGUGCUAUGUCAUGCCAUCUUUACAGUGGUGUCAUCCUUGUAUUUUUGUGAUUCCUGUAGUGAGUGCAUCAAGCUUGCUAAGUAGGGUACUUGCUGUUGCUGUUUUGCAUGUCUGAAUCUGCUAUAUCAUGAUGCUAUGUUAACCUGCUUCCACAAGUCAAUCUAUGCAUAAUCUGGAGAUGUUUACUAAGGAUGUUUUGUUAUACAUAUCAUGCUCUAUCCAUCCAUGCCCCUGGUUGCAUUUAUAGCUUGUUGUAGCUUGUUGUAAUCUUGCUCUCAAAUUGCUAAAUAAUGUUGCUGUAAGCCUGUUAACAUUAAGUUCAAUGUUUCCAUGAUUGUUGUUAGUGAUCCAUGCACCCUAUGAACUUGUUCUUGUCAUGCUUAGCUUCAUAAACAUGUCUUCUUACUGUGAGUUGCCUUGCCAUGCCAUGUAUUGCUCUGUGGUGAGUGGUUCAAGCUCACCAACAUGUCUACUUAUUGUUGUUCCUGCCAUGUAUGAAUCUGUAAUAUAACUUGCUAUGUUUACAUGGGUGCCAUCAUAUCUUCUGAUCCUUUUUGGCUUAUGGUCAUUAAAGGACAUUUGUUUUAUGUAAUUAGUAGAUUCAUGCCAUGCCUUUGUUCGCCAUGAUAAGUUCCUGUAGCAUGUUGUUUGAUAGCUCUAAACUUUGCAACCUGAUGUUAUUUCUGCUAAGCCUGAAACUGUUAUUAUUUGCAAUCUUGCCAUGUCCUUUUGAGCACGUUCUAGUGAUUUCUGGAGAUAGCUUAGUGUUCAUGUUUUGUCAUGUUUUACCUGUACUUCAUGCCCAUGCCUUUUGUUUUCACGUUGAGAUGCUGUAGCAUAGUGUUUUGAUGCUUGCAAUAUGCCUAGUUGCUGUUUUGGACAGCUUGUGCUUUAAACUUGUAUAGAGUGUAUGUGUUGAACCGUUGCUCCGUUUUGAGUGUGCUCUAUAUGUAACUUGCUUAGAAUUGCAUGUAUCUUCAUAUUAUCAUGUUGCAUCCUUGUUUUGGGGUGUUUGCUUGAUGUUUGUAUGCAUUUUGCAUCAAUGCCAUGUUUAACUUGCUUUGCUCAUAUCUUCUAGGCCGUAGCUCCGAAUUAAAUGAACUUUAUAUGUAACUUGACUAGAAUUUCAUGUAGAUCAUCUUGGUGCAUCUUACCUUGCUGUUUAACAACUUGAACUUAAGGUUUAUUCAGAUCUGUACCAAUUUCGAAAUAUGCAUAUGAGGACUUACCGGAAUUGUUCUAUGUUGUUUCCGGCCUCAUUUAAACUUGCUUUGAGGUGUUGUUCUUGUUUGCAUCAUAUUUUGCCAUGAGUAGCUCCAUGUAGCCUUGUCAUGCAUCAUGCUUGUUGUGCAUCAUGCCUUGUUCAUGUGUGGUGUGUUUACUAUGUUGUGUGCUUCUUCUCGAUAGUUCCCGUUUCGUUGCGAUCGUGAGGAUUUGUUCGUCUACGCUUGGUUCGUCUUCGUGGCUUCAUCUUCUUCAUGGACUCGUUCUUCUUCCUUGCGGGAUUUCAGGCAAGAUGACCGCUACCCUGGAUCUCACUAUUAUCAUUGCUAUGCUAGUUGCUUCGUUCUAUCGCUUUGCUGCGCUACAUAUCAAUUGCUCUUCAAGCCUCCCAAAUUGCCAUGAACCUUUAACCUUUGUCACCCUUCCUAGCAAACCGUUGUUUGGCUAUGUUACCGCUUUUGCUCAGCCCCUCUUAUAGCGUUGCUAGUUGAAGGUGAAGUUGAAGAUUGCCCCAUGGUGGACAGGUUUUUGUUGGGAUAUCACAAUAUCUCUUAUAUUAUUAAUGCAUCUAUAUAUUUGGUAAAGGGUGGAAGGCUUGGCCUUAUGCCUGGUGUUUUUUUCCACUCUUGCCGCCCUAGUUUCCGUCAUAUCGGUAUUAUGUUCCCGGAUUUUGCGUCCCUAACGCGGUUGGGUGAUUUAUGGGACCCCCUUGAUAGUUUGCUUUGAAUAAAACUUGUCCAGCAAGGCCCAACCUUGGUUUUACCAUUUGCCUCACCACCACCUAUACCCUUCCCUUGGGUCGGCCAACCCAAGGGUCAUCUUUAUUCAGCCCCCCCGGGCCAAUGCUUGUCUAAGUGUUGGUCCAAACUAGAGUCCUUUGCAGCGCCACCUUGGGGAAACUCGAGGGCUGGUUUUAGUUGUACGGUGUGCUCAUCCGGUGUUGCUCUGAGAACGAGAUAUGUGCAACUCCUAUCGGGAUUGUCGGCGCAUAGGGCGGUCUUGCUGGCCUUGUUUUAUUACUGUCGAAAUGUCUUGUAGCCGAGAUUCCGAGACUGAUCGGGUCUUCCCGGGGAGAAGGAAUAUCCUUCGUUGAUCGCGAGAGCUUAUCAUGGGCUAAGUUGGGACACCCCUGCAGGGUAUAAACUUUCAAGAGCCGUGCCUGCGGUUAUGUGGCAGAUGGGAAUUUGUUAAUAUCCGGUUGUAGUAAACUUGAAGUAAACUCUUCUAAAAUACACCAACCGUGUGCAUAACCGUGAGUGUCUCUUUUCGGGGUUGAUCGAGAGGAGAACACGGUUUCUGGGUUAUGUCUGACGUAAGUAGGAGUUCAGGAUCACUUCUUGAUCAUUACUAGUUGACGACCGUUCCUUUGUUUCUCUUCUCGCUUUCAUUUGCGUAUGUUAGCCACCAUAUAUGCUUAGCCGCUGCUGCAACCUCACCACUUUACCCCUUCCUUUCCCAUUAAGCUUUGCUAGUCUUGAUACCCAUGGUAAUGGGAUUGCUGAGUCCUCGUGGCUCACAGAUUACUACACCAACAGUUGCAGGUACAUGUUAUGCGAUGAUCAUGACGCGAGAGCGAUGUUUGCCUAUUUUGGAGUUCUUCUUCUGCUUCUUCGAUCAGGGGAUAGGUUCCAGGUCGGCAGCCUAGGCUAGCAAGGUGGAUGUCGUUUGAGUUUCUGUUUGUGUUUCAUCCGUAGGCGGAUGGUGCUCUUAUGUAAGAUGAUGUUGUAUUCGUGUGGCAUUGUAUGCCUUUUGUAUGUAUCCCCAUCUAUUAUGUAAUGUUGAUGUAAUGAUAUCCACCUUGCAAAAGCGUUUCAAUAUGCGGUUCUAUCCUUGGUGAGGCCUUCUAGUCGCUUUAGGAUAGUAUCGCAUAUUGGGCGUGACAGUAUGUGCUCCUCAUAUGCAAUGUGUCAUUGUUUGGUUAUGUGUUGCCUGAAGUGUAGUGUGGUAACCUAUUAUUCUAAUGGUGAGGUUACUAGCAUAUACAUUAGUCCUAUAAAUGAUGUUGAAGUACCCGCCUCCUAGGGGCCUCGCGACGCGAGAGUGCCAACCACGCCGUUUGUUGCUCCUGGGCCUCGCACGAUUGGCUGCUUGGUGCGUUUCGCGUGUUUCGAUCUCAAAGGAUGCCUCACACUUGGACAAUUUUCCUCGAGGUCCAUAACACGUGGCUCGCGGGUGCGGCCAGGGCCACCCUCCUGCGGUGUUUCCGAUCGCGCUUGUGUGCACUCUCUCACGCGCUGCUUCGCACGCGACGGUUGAGACGGGUUUGGCUGUCAGCAUUUGCAUGCGUCAGGUGGACCCAAUUGGCAUGCGGCCAACCGGGGGAGGGUGUUGCCUUCAUUAGGUGUCUCAUAGGGGCACUACUUCAAAUGCGGAGGGUCUUGUCUGUCCGGCCUCUUGCCCACAUGGUCGGUGAUGGCCACUUGCCCGCAUUUUUUAAAUCAAGCCUUUUAUAUAUCUCCUCAAACAGUAACCAUGGAAUUUAAAUGCCCAGAUGCUUGGAGAUCACACUCUCAAGGUAGGUGAAACAAUGACCGAGGGGUUUCCAGAGGCAAAAUUAGCCACGCCUUUUAUAGUCUUGUACUCUUGUUCCUCGUAUCAAGAGCAAUCACACAUGACUUGUUGAUACGGCCAAGACUAAUCUUAGUAUUGUUGAUGAUCGCAAAAUAAUGCCGCAUGUCAGUGGAUUAAAGGUUAAGGAUAUCUAUGUGCCAAGCGACGAUGAAUUACUUUCAGUUACAGUAAAACAAGACGUUGCUUUGCUUUGUGCCAAUGAGAAGGAAGGGACGUGCAUGAUUCAAAGGGAAAGGGGAAUACUUGCAUGCAAGGUAAUGUAUUAACUCAGAGAUAUGCAUGCAAGAUUAAUCAGGCUCGUUUUGGCAAGGAAAAUUCAGUGUCCAUUUAUAGAGAGAUGGAAACCUAGUUAAUGGAAGGGAGCAUGCGGGGUGUCAUUUAUUUGGUUCGGCCAACAAUAUAAAUGACAGAGAUUUAUUUCUGUUUUUGCCACCUCCACGUAAGAAGGAAGUUUCUCAAUGUGUUGAGAGUUGGAGACUCGUACGUGAUUUCUUGUCAUUAAAGGGCACGGGCUGGGGUCCACCUCCAAUAUUAUUUAGUUGUAAGUUUAGGAUCCAUCAAGAUUUAAAAGGUAGUUUAAGAGGGUGCUUGGAUACGUUUUAGUCCCAUGACUAAAAGUAGCGGGAUUAAAACUUGCUAGCCUCACCCAUGUUUGGAUCCAAAUACUAAAGAAACUAAAAUCAAGUUAAUGAGCAUUUAUUAUCCUUCAAACCCUCCAAUCCAAAACUCAUCUGUGUUAAAGGAGAGGAGUUAAAUGAGAAGAGAGAGGACUAAUCCACAUUUUAGUAGGGGUACCCCUGACUAAAAAAAUUUAGUCUCAAGACUAGUUUUAACCCCUCUUUAGUCAGGGCUGCUUGGAACUUUAGCCUCUUAAAGAGACUAUUUUUAGUCAGACUAAAAUAAAUCCCUUGAAUCCAAGCACCCUCUAAUUGGAGAAGAGUUUUAUUACGUGUGCUAGUUUGUCCUGGUUACGUACGUAACUUGUUAGUCGGUUGCUUAUUUUUCUUUGAGACCAUGUUCCGUAGAUGUUUUGCAGGCUAUAUAUAAAGCCAAGUGCGUCCAUGUAAAAAGGAGGUUAUUUUUAUAAAAGAGACACGAUGUGUUUUGAAGGAUAGACACCCGUAUAAGUUUUAGAGGGAUCUUUAGAAAACCCCUGUGUUGCGAUUUCUUUAUGAAAUUGUUUUUGCGCGUGAGUACCAUCGUUGAGAUUGGUUUUUUCGUGCUGAGCCGCAAGGUUCAAACCCUCUAUUUCGUGUACAUCGCAUGCGCGGGCAAGAGGUACUGCUACUGAAGAUGGAGUGUCAUGAAAGGUCGGGCCGCAUUAACAGAUCGGAUCUCACCAUCGAGGUUUGGUCUAUAUCACUUGUCCUCACGGGGAUCACGUGUGUGCAUGAGGUGCAUGACGUAAACAACAUCACCGUCAACCGUCAUGCAAGCUAGGAGCAGGAUAGAAUAAACAAAUUCUCUUGAGGUUUGGCUUGGUAUCAUCACCCUCCUGCAGAUUAGGUACUAGCAUUCGGGCAUACACGGGGCAAUCCAAUGGUACAUCAUCAGAGCAUCUGAUCGUGCGGUCCUCCUCCCAGUUGCUACUAGAAGUAGAACCAAUAAUGCUUGAAAAACUUUUUUGUUGCGGCAAUCCAACCUUGGCAGAUCGGGGAGCUUCCAUUGUUUGAGCCAGGUCUGUCGUUAUCGUGGAAAUACUUGAUGUAACGCUGCAGGACAAUGAUGUUCUGAACAUACAACGGAUAACGCUUGAGUGGACCGGGCGACAGUGGUGAAGGCAGUAGGAUGUAGCGAAGGCUCUGGUGGAUGUCAAGGAGGAGAAGGGCAUAGAUGACAAUGCCCCACCUGAGGUCAACCCAACCCACUGAACCGAGCUCCCCUCUAAUGGUGAUCCCUUUGUUCGGAGAGUGGAACUCGAAAUCCUGCGGCGAAUCAAGAUGGAUCAGCUCGGCACCCCAUGUCUUUGUCUUGGAGUUGUACAGGUGGAGAUCAAAGUGUUGGGAAACAUAGUAGAAAAAAAAUCUCCCUACAAACACCCGGGAACAAUAUGAAGGUGCAUUAGAGGAUUGGAUAUCAACUCUGAGUAUGUAGUCGAAGCAGAAGAGUCAGUGUUAAUCGUACUUGGAGUCUCUCGAACCAUUGAUGAACGGUCCUACGAACCGCCCUUGAACAAUCCCAAACUGAAGACUGAAUGCAUGGACUCUCUACAGUUUGCAAGCGUAUGGUCUUCAUGAUCCAGCAGCGCAGGCCGUCCAGAACUAAUCACCGCUAGAGAAUUAGAGGAGGAGAAUAGAGCCACACUGGGCUUCUAAUUAUGAGGAUUAGAGGAACUAGAACUAGCUCUAAUUAUCUCAAUUAGAACUAGUAGUAUUGGGCUAUAGGAGGCACAUAAAACUUGUGUGUAGAAAAGGGGCCAAGACCUCCACUAUAUAUAGGUUAUAGGGGAGAGGGGCAUCCAAGAGGAGGGGAAGGACUUGUUGGGGAACGUAGCAGAAAUUCAAAAUUUUCUAUGCAUCACCAAGAUCAAUCUAUGGAGUACUCUAGCAACGAGGGGAAGGGGAGUGGAUCUACAUACCCUUGUAGAUCGCGAUGCGGAAGCGUUGCAAGAACGCGGAUGAGGGAGUCGUACUCGUAGCGAUUCAGAUCGCGGUUGAUUCCGAUCUGAGCACCGAAGAACGGUGCCUCCGCGUUCAACACACGUGCAGCCCAGUGACGUCUCCCACGCCUUGAUCCAGCAAGGAGAGAGGGAGAGGUUGGGGAAGACUCCAUCCAGCAGCAGCACGAUGGCGUGGUGGUGAUGGAGGAGCGUGGCAAUCCCGCAGGGCUUCGCCAAGGACCGCGGGAGAGGAGGAGGAGGGAGAGGGGUAGGGCUGCGCCGAAAGAGAGACGUUCUCGUGUGUCUUGGGCAGCCCAAACCUCAACUAUAUAUAGGGGGGAGGGGGCUGCGCCCCCUCUAGGGUUUCCACCCCCAAAGGCUGGCGGCCAGCCCUAGAUCCCAUCAAGGGGGGCGGCCAAGGGGAGGAGAGGGGGGGCGCCCCACUAGAUAGGCCCUAAGGCCCAUCUGGACCUAGGGUUUGCCCCCUCCCACUCUCCCAUGUGCCUUGGGCCUUGGUGGGGGGCGCACCAGCCCACCUGGGGCUGGUCCCCUCCCACACUUGGCCCAUACAGCCUUCUGGGGCUGGUGGCCCCACUUGGUGGACCCCCGGGACCCUCCCGGUGGUCCCGGUACAUUACCGAUAUCACCCGAAACUUUUCCGGUGACCAAAACAGGACUUCCCAUAUAUAAAUCUUUACCUCCGGACCAUUCCGGAACUCCUCGUGACGUCCGGGAUCUCAUCCGGGACUCCGAACAACAUUCGGUAACCACGUAUAUCUUUUCCCUAUAACCCUAGCGUCAUCGAACCUUAAGCGUGUAGACCCUACGGGUUCGGGAACCAUGCAGGCAUGACCGAGACGUUCUCCGGUCAAUAACCAACAACGGGAUCUGGAUACCCAUGUUGGCUCCCACAUGUUCCACGAUGAUCUCAUCGGAUGAACCACAAUGUCGGGGAUUCAAUCAAUCCCGUAUUCAAUUCCCUUUGUCUAUCGGUAUGUUACUUGCCCGAGAUUCGAUCGUCGGUAUCCCGAUACCUUGUUCAAUCUCGUUACCGGCAAUUCUCUUUACUCAUUCUGUAACUCACAUCAUCCCGUGAUCAACUCCUUGGUCACACUGUGCACAUUAUGAUGAUGUCCUACCGAGUGGGCCCAGAGAUACCUCUUCGUUUACACGGAGUGACAAAUCCCAGUCUCGAUUCGUGCCAACCCAACAGACACUUUCGGAGAUACCUGUAGUGCACCUUUAUAGUCACCCAGUUACGUUGUGAUGUUUGGUACACCCAAAGCAUUCCUAAGGUAUCCGGGAGUUGCACAAUCUCAUGGUCUAAGGAACUGAUACUUGACAUUAGAAAAGCUCUGAGCAAACGAACUACACGAUCUUGUGCUAGGCUUAGGAUUGGGUCUCGUCCAUCACAUCAUUCUCCUAAUGAUGUGAUCCCGUUAUCAACGACAUGCAAUGUCCAUGGUCAGGAAACCAUAACCAUCUAUUGAUCAACGAGCUAGUCAACUAGAGGCUCACUAGGGACAUGGUGUUGUCUAUGUAUCCACACAUGUAUCUGAGUUUCCUAUCAAUACAAUUCUAGCAUGGAUAAUAAACGAUUAUCAUGAACAAGGAAAUAUGAUAAUAACCUAUUUAUUAUUGCCUCUAGGGCAUAUUUCCAACAGUCUCCCACUUGCACUAGAGUCAAUAAUCUAGUCCACAUCACCAUGUGAUUAACACUCAUAGGUCACAUCACCAUGUGACCAACAUCCAAAGAGUUUACUAGAGUCAACAAUCUAGUUCACAUCUCUAUGUGAUCAACACUCAAUGAGUUCUGGUUUGAUCAUGUUAUGCUUGUGAGAGAGGUUAUUUAGUCAACGGGUCUGAACCUUUCAGAUCCGUGCGUGCUUUACGAAUAUCUAUGUCAUCUUAUGGUUGCUACCACGCGCUAUUUGGAGCCAUUUCAAAUAAUUGCUCUACUAUACGAAUCCGGUUUACUACUCAGAGUCAUCCGGAUUAGUGUCAAAGUUCGCAUUGACGUAACCCUUUACGACGAUCUCCUUUUCACCUCCAUAAUCGAGAAAAUUCCUUAGUCCACUAGAUACUAAGGAUAAGUUCGACCGCUGUCAUGUGAUCCAUUCCCGGAUCACUAUUGUACCCCUUGACCAACUCAUGGCAAGGCACACUUCAUGUGCGGUACACAGCAUAGCAUACUAUAGAGCCUACGUCUGAAGCAUAGGGGACGACCUUCGUCCUUUCUCUCUCUUCUGCUGUGGUCAGGUCUUGAGUCUUACUCAAUACUCACACCUUGUAACACAGCCAAGAACUCCUUUGUUGAUCUAUUUUGAACUCUUUCAAAAUCAUGUCAAGAUGUGCAUUCUUUGAAAGUAUCAUCGGGCGUCUUGAUCUAUCUCCAUAGAUCUUGAUGCCCAAUAUGUAAGCAGCUUUAUCUAGGUCUUCUUUUGAAAAACUCCUUUCAAACAACCCUUUAUGUUUUCCAGAAAUUUUACAUCAUUUCGGAUCAACAAUAUGUCAUUCACAUAUACUUAUCAGAAAUGUUGUAGCGCUCCCCCUCACUUUAUUGUAAAUACAAGUUUCUAACAAACUUUGUAUAAACCCAAAAACUUUGAUCACUCCAUCAAAGCGUAUAUUCUGACUCCGAGAUGCUUGCUCUAGUCCAUGGAAGGAUUGCUGGAGCUAGCAUACCUUUUAGCAUCCUUAGGAUCGACAAAACCUUUCUGAUUGUAUCACAUACAACCUUUCCUUACGAAAACUGGUAAGGAAACUUGUUUUGACAUCCAUCUGCCAGAUUUCACAAAUGCAGCUAAUGCUAACAUGAUUCCGACGGACUUAAGCAUCGCUACGGAUGAGAAAAUCUCAUCGUAGUCAACUCCUUGAACUUGUGGAAAUACUCUUUGCCACAAGUCGAGCUUCAUAGACGGUAACAUUACCGUCCAUGUCCGUCUUCUUCUCAAAGAUCCAUUUAUCUCGGAUUUCAUGGCUUCUAACCAUUUGUCGGAAUAUGGGCCCACCAUUGCUUCUCCAUAGCUCGUAGGUUCAGUAUUGUCCAACAACAUGAUAUCUCAGACGGGAUCACGUACCACUCUGAAGUAGCACGUAUCUUCGUCGUCCUACGAUGUUUGGUAGUGACUUGAUCCGAAGUUUCAUGAUCACUAUCAUAAGCUUCCACUUCAAUUGGUGUAGGUGCCACAGGAACAACUUCCUGUGCCCUGCUACACACUAGUUGAAGUGACGGUUCAUUAACCUUAUCAAGUCUCCACCAUCCUCCCACUCAAUUCUUUUGAGAGAAACUUUUCCUCGAGAAAGGACUCGUUUCUAGAAGCAAUUACUUUUGCUUCCAGAUCUGAAGUAGGAGGUAUACCCAACUGUUUUGUGUUUUCUAUGAAGAUGCAUUUAUCCACUUUGGGUUCGAGCUUAUCAGCCUGAAACAUUUUUCACAUAAGCGUCGCAGCCCCAAACUUUCAAGAAACGACAACUUACGUUUCUCUAAACGGUGUCGUCUCAAUGGAAUUGCGUGGUGCCCUAUUUAAAGUGAAUGCGGUUGUCUCUAAUGCCUAACCCAUAAACGAUAGUGGUAAUUCGAUAAGAGACAUCAUGGUAUGCACAUCAUUCUCCUAAUGAUGUGAUCCCGUUAUCAACGACAUCCAAUGUCCAUGGUCAGGAAACCGUAACCAUCUAUUGAUCAACGAGCUAGUCAACUAGAGGCUCACUAGGGACAUGGUGUUGUCUAUGUAUCCACACAUGUAUCUGAGUUUCCUAUCAAUACAAUUCUAGCAUGGAUAAUAAACGAUUAUCAUGAACAAGGAAAUAUGAUAAUAACCUAUUUAUUAUUGCCUCUAGGGCAUAUUUCCAACAGGACUCCCCUCCCCUUGCGACGGCCAAGGAAGGAAGGGGAGUCCCUCCCCUUCCCCAAUUCGGCCUCCCCUAAAGGGGAAAGGGGGGCGCCUCCCCACUUGGGCCUUGGUGACCCAAGUUGCCUUCCACCGUUUGGCCUUUUUAGGCUCGUUGAUAUUAAAUUAGAUAUAAAAGCCCUCUAAAAAUUACUAGAGCAUAUUAUGUAUAAUUUAAGAGCCCCAAAAAAUUUUCCACCUAUAUAUUAAAUUAUUGGUAUUACCCGAUAUUACCCAAUACUCUCUGAAACCCUUCCGGUGAUCCUGAAAUGCUUUCGGAUCCUCUCGCAACUAUUAUGAAUAUUAACGAAAGUAUUUCACAAAUAAAUCCUUGAUACUCUCGUCCUACUAACACUCAGCAAAUCAUGAUUACCUUAAGCAUGUGACCCUGUAGGUUCGGCAAACCAUAAUGAAGGAAAUAUGCCCUAGAGGCAAUAAUGAAGUUGUUAUUUUAUAUUUCCUUAUUCAUGAUAAAGGUUUAUUAUUCAUGCUAGAAUUGUAUUGAUCAGAAACUUAAAUACAUGUGUGAAUACAUAAACAAAUAUCGUGUCCCUAGUAAGCCUCAACUAGACUAGCUCGUUGAUCAAAGAUGGUUAAGGUUUCCUAACCAUAGACAUGUGUUGUCAUUUGAUAACAGGAUCACAUCAUUAGGAGAAUGAUGUGAUGGACAAGACCCAUCCGUUAGCUUAGCAUAAUGAUCAUUCAGUUUACUGAUAUUGCUUUCUUCAUGUCAAAUACAUAUUCCUUCCACUAUGAGAUUAUGCAACCCCCGAAUACCGGAGGAAUACCUUGUGUGCUACCAAACGUCACAACAUAACUGAGUGAUCAUAAAUAUGCUCUAUAGGUAUCUCCAAAGGUAUUUGUUGAGUUGGCAUAGAUCAAGAUUAGAAUUUGUCACUCCGAGUUUCGGGGAGGUAUCUCUGGGUCCUCUCGGUAAUACACAUCAUAAGCUUGCAAGAAAAUGACUAAGGAGUUAGUUACAAGGUGAUGUAUGUUGGGGAACGUAGUAAUUUCAAAAAAAAUCCUAUGAACACGCAAGAUCAUGGUGAUGCAUAGCAACGAGAGGGGAGAGUGUUGUCCACGUACCCUCAUAGACCGUAGCGGAAACGUUAACACAACGCGGUUGAUGUAGUCGUACGUCUUCACGAUCCGACCGAUCAAGUACCGAACGCAUGACACCUCCGAGUUCAGCACACGUUCAGCUCGAUGACGUCCCUCGAACUCCGAUCCAGCCGAGUGUUGAGGGAGAGUUUCGUCAGCACGACGGCGUGGUGACCAUGAUGAUGUUCUACCGACGCAGGGCUUCGCCUAAGCUCCGCCAUGAUAUUAUCGAGGUGUAAUAUGGUGGAGGGGGGCACCGCACACGGCUAAAAGAUCGUUGAUCAAUUGUGUGUGUCUAGAGGUGCCCCCCUGCCCCCGUAUAUAAAGGAGCAAGGGGGGGAGGCGGCCGGCCUAGGAGGAGGCGCGCCAAGGGGGGAGUCCUACUCCCACCGGGAGUAGGACUCCUCCUUUCCUUGUUGGAGUAGGAAAAGGGAAGGGAGAAGGAGAAAGAAGGAAGGGGGCGCCCCCCCUCCCUAGUCCAAUUCGGACUAGUCCAUGGGGAGGGGUGCGGCCUCCCUUUGGGGCCUUUCUCUCCUUUCCCGUAUGGCCCAUUAAGGCCCAAUACGAAUUCCCCUAACUCUCCGGUACUCCAAAAAAUACCCGAAUCACUCGGAACCUUUUCGAAGUCCGAAUAUAGUCGUCCAAUAUAUCGAUCUUUACGUCUCGGCCAUUUCGAGACUCCUCGUCAUGUCCCCUGUAACACCCCGGAUGUAACUUUCCAUAUUUGUAACUCCGACUCUUGCCAUUUUCGGCUAUGUGCUAUGAUAUUCCCUCCAUGGUCGGGUUUUGUUUGUCGUUUUGUAUUUUGUUCAUGUCAUGCAUUUCAUAUCAUGUCAUCAUGUGCAUUGCAUUUGCAUACGUGUUCAUCUCAUGCAUCCGAGCAUUUUCCCCGUUGUCCGUUUUGCAGUCCGGCGCUCCUAUCUCCUCCGGUGCACCCCUCUUGUUUUCUUUCGCAAGCGGGUGUCAAACGUUCUCGGAAUGGACCAAGGCUUGUCAAGUGGCCUUGGUAUACCACCGGUAGACCACCGGUCAAGUUUCGUUCCAUUUGGAGAUCGUUUGGUACUCCAACGGUUAACCGGGCAUCCGCAAAGUCCAUUUGUGUGUUGCAGCAAAACCCCUCUCAAAACCAGCCCAAAACCCACCCAACUCUCUUCCAUGAUGUAGGUCGUUCGAUCACGAUCGUGUGGGCAAAAACCGCACCUCAUUUGGAGCCUCCUAGCUCCCUCUACCUAUUUAUAUGUGAGUACCCCGAAAUUACAUUCACAGUCCCCGAAACCCUAACUUCCCCCGCCGCCACCGGACGUGUCCGGCGCCCGCCGGACAUCUCCGCCGCCGCGUCCAGCGGAUCGGGGGCCGCCAUGUGUCGCCGCUGCCAUCUCCACCACGCCGGCCCGCAAGCCCGCCACGGGCCCUCCCGGCCCGGCCGCCGCNNNNNNNNNNNNNNNNNNNNNNNNNNNNNNNNNNNNNNNNNNNNNNNNNNNNNNNNNNNNNNNNNNNNNNNNNNNNNNNNNNNNNNNNNNNNNNNNNNNNNNNNNNNNNNNNNNNNNNNNNNNNNNNNNNNNNNNNNNNNNNNNNNNNNNNNNNNNNNNNNNNNNNNNNNNNNNNNNNNNNNNNNNNNNNNNNNNNNNNNNNNNNNNNNNNNNNNNNNNNNNNNNNNNNNNNNNNNNNNNNNNNNNNNNNNNNNNNNNNNNNNNNNNNNNNNNNNNNNNNNNNNNNNNNNNNNNNNNNNNNNNNNNNNNNNNNNNNNNNNNNNNNNNNNNNNNNNNNNNNNNCAUCGCCGCCGCCGGACCUCGGCACCGUCGCCCCGCCGGCAUCGCCCUCCUCCGCCGCCGCGGUCGCCGCCUCCUCCUUCUCCGGCCUCGCCUCCUCUCCUGCCUCCUCGCCGUCCCCCUCGUUCUCCCGUCGCCGGCGAGCGCCACCGGAGCCCCGAGCUCGAUCCGAUCUGGUGAGCUCUAUCGUUGACUUUCCCGAUCCCAUUUUUUUCUCCUAGUCCUUAUCACCUCCAACAUGUGCCCAUGUUCAACAGUGCAUAACUCCUUGCAUGUAGCUUCGUUUCGCGCGUGUAAUAUGUCAAAUUGUUCGUAUCAUGAUGCUCUACAUUUUGUUCAAUUGCACCAUGUUCAUUAGAGGCCAUCUUGAUUCCCAAAUCUCUGUUGCAAGAGUGCUAGUUGUUGUUAUCUGCUGGUUCUUAGCAGAACUUGGAGAUUUGUUAUUUUUGUAUCAUUUAAUCUGUGCAUCUUAUGGGCAUGAGCUCUACAUGUGUUUUGUUGUAUGCCAUGCCAUCUUUCCAAGGGUGUAUUCCAUGUAUUUUUGUGAUCUCUGUGGUGACUAGCACAAGCAUGUAAAGUAGGCUCCGUAAUGUUUCUGAUUUCAGGGACUUAGUGAUUUCUCUAAGUCUUUGUCUGCUGUUGUUUUGUUGCCAUGUAAACUUGAUGCUACAGAGAGAUCCAUGCAUAUUUUGGAGUUGUUCAGUAAGGAUGUUUUGUAUCUAUAGUUGUAAUUGAUCCAUUCCUGCCCUUGUUUGCAAUUAUGGAGUGCCAUAGCAUGACUCAAUCUUGCUCUACCUUUGCUAUAAAAUAUUUCUGGCAGAUUCUUAACAUGAUAUGCACUUUUGCCAAGCUUAUUGUAGUUGAUACAUACAUGCUAUGCUUUUGUUCUUGCCAUGGUUAGCUUCAUAAACAUGCCAUCUUGCUGUAGGUAUGCUUUUUUUGUCAUGCAUUCCCUUGUGGUGACUGCAUCAAGCUCACAAAGAGGCCUUCAUAUUAUUGAUUCUGCCAUGCUCUGUUUUCUGCAAAGUCUGGAACCUGUUAACGAAACUUGCUAUGUUUACAUGCUUUCCAUCAUAUCUUCUGGUCCUUUUUGGCCUAUGGUCAGUAAGGGACUUUUGUCAUGUGCAUUUAGUAGAACACUGCCAUGCCUUGUUUUGCCAUGUUAAGUUCCUGUAGAAUGUUGAUUUCAUGCUCUGAACAUUGCUACCUGAUGUUGUUUUCUGCCAUGUCCAGUAAUUUCACUAAGUCUGAGAACCUGUUAUCUUUUGCACUUUUGCCAUGCUUGUUUGAGCUUGAUAUGUUGUGAUCUAGCCAUAGCUCAGUGUUCAUCUUUUGUCAAGCAUCUCCUGCAGAUUACUGUCAUAUGCUUUGUUGCUAUGUUGGAGUGUUGUAGCAUUGUUACUUGUUGCAUUUUAAGUGCUAUCAUGUUGUUUAUCGCAGAUUCGUGUCAUUCUUGUUUUGCUUGCCAUUUGCAAACCGUGCAUCCGUUUCCGGUGAUCUUUAUAUCUAUUUCGACCGAAAUCAUCUCAUCUUUCUAGUGGCAUGCUUGGUUUGCCAAGUUACUGCCUUGUUCAUCAUUUUCCUUCCGGAGCACGCAUACGCAUCGCAUAUCAUAUCUUGCAUAGCAUACAUGUUUUGCAUCAUGUUGCUUGUGCAUUUCUCAUGAUUGAUUGUGGUUACGUUGCUUGUGUUUUUGUCUUGGGUAGAGCCGGGAGACGAGUUCGUGAACGAGGAUGAGUACGCUUACGAGGAUCAAGCUUUCGACAACUCUGAGAACCUUGCAGGCAAGAUGACCACCCCUCGAAAUCACUUCUAUCUUUGCUUUGCUAGUUGUUCGCUCUAUUGCCAUGCUACACUACCUAUCACUUGCUAUAUCAUGUCUCCCAUUUUUCCAUGUCAGCCUCUAACCAUCCUUUCCUAGCAAACCGUUGUUUGGCUAAGUUACCGCUUUUGCUCAGCCCUUCUUAUAGCGUUGCUAGUUGCAGGUGAAGUUGAAGUUGUUCCAUGUUGGAACAUGGAUAUGUUGGGAUAUCACAAUAUAUCUUAUUUAAUUAAUGCAUCUAUAUAUAUACUUGGUAAAGGGUGGAAGGCUCGGCCUUAUGCCUGGUGUUUUGUUCCACUCUUGCUGCCCUAGUUACUGAUAUACCGGGAUUAUGUUCCUUGAGUUUGCGUUCCUUACGCGGUCGGGUGAUUUAUGGGACCCCCUUGACAGUUCGCCUUGAAUAAAACUCCUCCAGCAAGGCCCAACCUUGGUUUUACCAUUUGCCACCUAAGCCUUUUUCCCCCGGGUUUUCUAGAGCCCGAGGGUCAUCUUUAUUUAAACCCCCGGGCCAGUGCUCCUCUGAGUAUUGGUCCAAACUGUCAGUCGCCGGUGGCCACCAGGGACAACUCUGGUCUGGCCUAUCGGAAGCUUAGACAAUCCGGUGUGCCCUGAGAACGAGAUAUGUGCAGCUCCUAUCGGGAUUUGUCGGCACAUUCGGGUGGCUUUGCUGGUCUUGUUUUACCAUUGUCGAAAUGUCUUGUAAACCGGGAUUCCGAGACUGAUCGGGUCUUUCUGGGAGAAGGUUUAUCCUUCGUUGACCGUGAGAGCUUAUGAUGGGCUAAGUUAGGACACCCCUGCAGGGUAUUAUCUUUCGAAAGCCGUGCCCGCGGUUAUGAGGCAGAUGGAAUUUGUUAAUGUCUAGUUGUAGAGAACUUGUCACUUGACCCAAUUAAAAUACAUCAACUGUGUGUGUAGCCGUGAUGGUCUCUUCUCGGCGGAGUCCGAGAAGUGAACACGGUUUGAGUUAUGAAUGACGUAAGUAGGAGUUCAAGAUCACUUCUUGGUCAUUGCUAGAUGACAACCGUUCCAUUGCUUCUCUCCUCGCUCUCAUUUGCGUAUGUUAGCCACCAUAUAUGCUUUUGCCGCUGCAGCUCCACCUCAUUACACCAUCCUUUGCCUUAAGCUUAAAUAGUCUUGAUCUCGCGUGUGUGAGAUUGCUGAGUCCCCGUGACUCACAGAUUCUACCAAAACAGUUGCAGGUGCCGACGAUGCCUGUGCAGUUGAUGGGAUCGAUCUCAAGUGGGAGUUCGAUGAGGAACGUGGCCGUUACUAUGUGUCUUUUCCCGAUGAUCAGUAGUGGAGGCCAGUUGGGACGAUCGGGGAUCUAGCAUUUGGGGUUAUCUUAUUUUCAUUUGGAUUUUGACCGUAGUCGGUCUAUAUGUUUGUAUUUUGGAUGAUGUAUGAAUUAUAUUCAUGUAUUGUGUGAAGUGGCGAUUGUAAGCCAACUCUUUAUCCCAUUCUUGUUCAUUACAUGGGAUUGUGUGAAGAUGACCCUUCUUGCGACAAAACCACUAUGCGGUUAUGCCUCUAAGUCGUGCCUCGACACGUGGGAGAUAUAGCCGCAUCGUGGGCGUUACAUCCCCGAUCUCAUCCGGGACUCCGAACUCCUUCGGUACAUCAACAUACAUAAACUCAUAAUAAAACUGUCAUCGUAACGUUAAGCGUGCGGACCCUACGGGUUCGAGAACUAUGUAGACAUGACCGAGACACCUCUCCAGUCAAUAACCAAUAGCGGAACCUGGAUGCUCAUAUUGGUUCCCACAUAUUCUACGAAGAUCUUUAUCGGUCAGACCACAUAACAACAUACAUUGUUCCCUUUGUCAUCGGUGUGUUACUUGCCCGAGAUUCGAUCGUCGGUAUCUCGAUACCUAGUUCAAUCUCGUUACCGGCAAGUCUCUUUACUCGUUCCGUAAUACAUCAUCCCGCAACUAACUCAUUAGUUACAAUGCUUGCAAGGCUUAUAGUGAUGUGCAUUACUGAGUGGGCCCAGAGAUACCUCUCCGACACUCGGAGUGACAAAUCCUAAUCUCGAAAUACGCCAACCCAACAAGUACCUUUGAAGACACCUGUAGAGCACCUUUAUAAUCACCCAGUUACAUUGUGACGUUUGGUAGCACACAAAGUGUUCCUCUGGUAAACGGGAGUUGCAUAAUCUCAUAGUCAUAGGAACAUGUAUAAGUCAUGAAGAAAGCAAUAGCAACAUACUAAAUGAUCGAGUGCUAAGCUAACGGAAUGGGUCAAGUCAAUCAUGUCAUUCUCCUAAUGAGGUGACCCCGUUAAUCAAAUGACAACUCAUGUCUAUGGCUAGGAAACAUAACCAUCUUUGAUUAACGAGCUAGUCAAGUAGAGGCAUACUAGUGACACUCUGUUUGUCUAUGUAUUCACACAUGUAUUAUGUUUCCGGUUAAUACAAUUCUAGCAUGAAUAAUAAACAUUUAUCAUGAUAUAAGGAAAUAAAUAAUACUUUAUUAUUGCCUCUAGGGUAUAUUUCCUUCAGUCUCCCACUUGCACUAGAGUCAAUAAUCUAGUUCACAUCGCCAUGUGAUUUAACAUCAAUAAUUCACAUCACCAUGUGAUUAACACCCAUAGUUCACAUUGUCAUGUGACCAACACUCAAAGGGUUUACUAGAGUCAAUAAUCUAGUUCACAUCGCUAUGUGAUUAACACCCAAAGAGUACUAAGGUGUGAUCAUGUUUUGAUUGUGAGAUAAUUUUAGUCAACGGGUCUGUCACAUUCAGAUCCGUAAGUAUUUUGCAAAUUUCUAUGUCUACAAUGCUCUGCACGGAGCUACUCUUAGCUAAUUGCUCCCACUUUCAAUAUGUAUCUAGACCGAGACUUAGAGUCAUCUAGAUUAAUGUAAAAACUUGCAUCGACGUAACCCUUUACGAUGAACCUUUUGUCACUUCCAUAAUCGAGAAACAUAUCCUUAUUCCAGUAAGGAUAAUUUUGACCGCUAUCUAGUGAUCUACUCCUAGAUCACUAUUGUACUCCCUUGCCAAAAUCAGUGUAGGGUAUACAAUAGAUCUGGUACACAUCAUGGCAUACUUUAUAGAACCUAUGGCCGAGGCAUAGGGAAUGACUUUCAUUCUUUUUCUAUCUUCUGCCGUGGUCGGGCUUUGAGUCUUACUUAAUUUCACACCUUGUAACACAGACAAGAAACUCUUUCUUUGACUGUUCCAUUUUGAACUACUUCAAAAUCUUGUUAAGGUAUGUACUCAUUAAAAAAACUUAUCAAGCGUCUUGAUCUAUCUUUAUAGAUCUUGAUGCUCAAUAUGUAAGCAGCUUCACUGAGGUCUUUCUUUGAAAAACUCCUUUCAAACACUCCUUUAUGCUUUGCAGAAUAAUUCUACAUUAUUUCCGAUCAACAAUAUGUCAUUCACAUAUACUUAUCAGAAAUGCUGUAGUGCUCCCACUCACUUUCUUGUGAAUACAGGCUUCACCGCAAGUCUGUAUAAAACUAUAUGCUUUGAUCAACUUAUCAAAGCGUAUAUUCCAACUCCGAGAUGCUUGCACCAGUCCAUUAAUGGAUCGCUGGAGUUUGCAUAUUUUGUUAGCACUUUUAGGAUUGACAAAACCUCCUGGUUGCAUCAUAUACAACUCUUCUUUAAUAAAUCCAUUAAGGAAUGCAGUUUUGUUUAUCCAUUUGCCAUAUUUCAUAAAAUGCGGCAAUUGCUAACAUGAUUCAGACAGACUUAAGCAUAUAUACGAGUGAGAAACUCUCAUCGUAGUCAACACCUUAAACUUGUCGAAAACCUUCUGCGACAAUUCUAGCUUUGUAGAUACUAACACUACUAUCAGCGUCCGUCUUCCUCUUGAAGAUCCAUUUAUUUUCUAUGGCUUGCCGAUCAUCGGGCAAGUCAUCCAAAGUCCAUACUUUGUUCUCAUACAUGGAUCCCAUCUCAGAUUUCAUGGCCUCAAGCCAUUUUGCGGAAUCUGGGCUCACCAUUGCUUCUUCAUAGUUCGUAGGUUCGUCAUGGUCUAGUAACAUAACCUCCAGAACAGGAUUACCGUACCACUCUGGUGCGGAUCUUACUCUGGUUGACCUACGAGGUUCAGUAACAACUUGAUCUGAAGUUUCAUGAUCAUCAUCAUUAACUUCCUCACUAAUUGGUGUAGGUGUCACAAGAACCGGUUUUCUGUGAUGAACUACUUUCCAAUAAGCGAUGAGGUACAGUUACCUCAUCAAGUUCUACUUUCCUCCCACUCACUUCUUUCGAGAGAAACUCCUUCUCUAGAAAGGAUCUAUUCUUAGCAACGAAUGUCUUGCCUUUAGAUCUGUGAUAGAAGGUGUACCCAACUGUCUCCUUUGGGUAUCCUAUGAAGACACAUUUCUCUGAUUUGGGUUUGAGCUUAUCAGGAUGAAACCUUUUCACAUAAGCAUCGCAACCCCAAACUUUAAGAAACGACAACUUUGGUUUCUUGCCAAACCACAGUUCAUAAAAUGUCGUCUCAAUGGAUUUAGAUGGUACCCUAUUUAACGUGAAUGCAGCUGUCUCUAAUGCAUAACCCCAAAACGAUAGUGGUAGAUCGGUAAGAGACAUCAUAUAUCGCACCAUAUCUAAUAAAGUACGGUUACGAUGUUCGGACACACCAUUACACCGUGGUGUUCCAGGUGGCGUGAGUAGUGAAACUAUUUCACAUUGUUUUAACUGAAGGCCAAACUCAUAACUCAAAUACUCUUCUCCAUGAGCAGAUCGUAGAAACUUUAUUUUCUUGUUACGAUGAUUUUCCGCUUCACUCUGAAAUUAUAUGAACUUUUCAAAUGUUUCAGACUUCUGUUUCAUUAAGUAGAUAUACCCAUAUCUGCUCAAAUCAUCUGUGAAGGUCAGAAAAUAAUGAUACCUGCUACGAGCCUCAAUAUUCAUCGGACCACAUACAUCUGUAUGUAUGAUUUCCAACAAAUCUGUUGCUCUCUCCAUAGUUCCGGAGAACGGCGUUUUAGUCAUCUUGCCCAUGAGGCACGGUUCGCAAGCAUCAAGUGAUUCAUAAUCAAGUGAUUCCAAAAUCCCAUCAGUAUGGAGUUUCUUCAUGCGCUUUACACCAAUAUGACCUAAACGGCAGUGCCACUAUGUAUUAUGUUUCCGGUUAAUACAAUUCUAGCAUGAAUAAUAAACAUUUAUCAUGAUAUAAGGAAAUAAAUAAUACUUUAUUAUUGCCUCUAGGGUAUAUUUCCUUCAAUGUAUUAUGGAACGAGUAAAGAUACUUGCCGGUAACAAUAUUGAACUAGGUAUAGAGAUACCGACGAUCGAAUCUCGGGCAAGUAACAUACCGAUGGACAAAGGGAAUUACGUAUGUUGUCAUAACGGUUCGACCGAUAAAGAUCUUCGUAGAAUAUGUAGGAGCCAAUAUGGGCAUCCAGGUUCCGCUAUUAGUUAUUGACCGGAGAGGUGUCUCGGUCAUGUCUACAUAGUUCUCGAACCUGUAGGGUCCGCACGCUUAACGUUCGUUGAUGAUAUAGUGUUAUAUGAGUUAUAUGUUUUGGUGACCGAAUGUUGUUCGGAGUCCCGGAUGAGAUCACGGACAUGACGAGGAGUCUUGAAAUGGUCGAGAGGUAAAGAUUGAUAUAUAGGACGAUCGUAUUUUGACGCUGAAGUGUUUCGGGACGUACCAGGAAUGAAUCGGGUCACCGAAACGGGUUCCGGGCACCCCCCGGCAAGUUAUGGGCCUUAUGGGCCAAAGGAGGGGACAGACCAGCCCACAAGGGGGCUGGUGCGCCUCCUCCCUUGGUUGGCCAGGCCUAGGGAAGGAAAAGGGGGAGAGCUAGCCCCUCCUGCAUUUCCCUCUCAUGGGAGAAAGGAAAGGGGGGGGCGCCACCCUCCCCUGCCUUUCCUUGCGCUCCAAAUAAGGAAAGGGGGUGUGGCUUGGGAGAGACCCCAAGUAGGAUUCCUCCUACUUGGGCGCCUUCUUUGGCUGCUCCUCCCUCCCUCCCACCUAUAUAUAUGUGGGAGGGGGCGCCAACACACAACAGACAAUUGCCUAGCCGUGUGUGGCGCCCCCCUCCACCGUUUACACCCCCGGUCAUAUUUUCGUAGUGCUUAGGCGAAGCCCUGCAAAGAUCACUUCACCAUAAUCGUCACCACGCCGUCGUGCUGUCGAAACUUAUCCACUACCUCGCCGUCUUGCUGGAUCAAGAAGGCGUGGACGUCACCGAGCUGAAUGUGUGCUGAACACGGAGGUGUCGUACGUUUGGUACUCGAUCGGUUGGAUCGCAAAGAAAGUUUGACUACAUCAACCGCGUUGUGAAACGCUUCCGCUGACGGUCUACGAGGGUACGUAGACAUACUCUUACCUUCGUUGCUAUGCAUCUCCAUGGAUAGAUCAUUGCUAGUGCGUAGAAUUUUUUUUGUUUUCCAUGCAACAUUCCCAACAGUGGUAUGAGAGCCAGGUCUAUGUGUAGAUGAUAUGCAUGAGUAGAACACAAAGAGUUGUGGGCGGUGAUAGUCAUAUUGCUUACCACCAACGUCAUAUUUUGAUUCGGCGGUAUUGUGGGAUGAAGCGGCCCGGACCAACCUUACAUGUCCACGCACAUGAGACCUGUUCCACCGACUGACAUGCAACUUGUUUUGCAUAAAGGUGGCUGACGGGUGUCUGUUUCUCCUACUUUAGUUGAAUCGAAUUUGACUACGGCUGGUCCUUGAAGUAGAUUAGAAAACAAACUUGAUAAAUCACCUUUGUGGUUGUUUUUGCGUAGGUAAGAACGAUUCUUGCUAGAAGCCCGUAGCAGACAUGUAAAACUUGCAACAACAAAGUAGAGGACGUCUAACUUGUUUUUCCAGGGUAUGUUGUGAUGUGAUAUGGUUAAGACAUGAUAUGAUAUACGUUAUUGUAUGAUAUGAUCAUGUUUUGUAAUUUAUCGGCAACCGGCAGGAGCCUUAUGGUUGUCUCUUUAUUGUAUAAGUUGCAAACGCCAUGUAAUUGCUUUACUUUAUCGCUAUGCAUUAGCAAUAGUUGGCGAGACGACCACGAUGCAACGAUGGAGAUCAACGUGUCGAGCCGGUGACGAUUGAUAUCAUGACGAUGCUUUGGAGAUGGAGAUCAAAAGCACGAGAUGAUGAUGGCCAUAUCAUGUCACAUAUUUUGAUUGGAUGUGAUGUUUAUCUUUUAUGCAUCUUAUUUUUCUUAGAACAACAGUAGCAUUAUAAGAUGAUCCCUUCACUAAAUUUCAAGAUAUAAGUUUUCUCCCCGAGUAUGCACCGUUGCGAAAGUUCGUCGUUUUGAGACACCACGUGAUGAUCGGGUGUGAUAGACUCUACAUUCACAUACAACGGGUGUAAGAUAGUUUUGUACAUGUAACUUGACGAGCCUAGCAUGUACAGACAUGGUCUCGGAACACUAGAGACCGAAAGGUCAAAUGUGAGUCAUAUAGUAGAUAAGAUCAACAUAGAGAUGUUCACCAUUGAUGACUACCCCAUCUCAUGUGAUGACCAGAUAUGCGUUAGUUGAUUUAGAUCAUGUAUCACUUAGACAACUUGAGGGAUGUUGAUUUAAGUGGGAGUUCAUUAGUAAUUUGAUUAACUAAACUUAAUUUAUCAUGAACUUAGUCUUCUAGUUUUUCAUAUCUAUACUGUAGAUCAAUAGCUCGCGAUAUAGCUCCCUUAUUUUUUGAUAUGAUCCUAGAGAAAAAAUAAGUUGAAAGAUGAUAGUAGCAAUGAUGGGGACUGGGUCCGUGAUCUGAGGAUUAUCCUUAUUGCUGCACAGAAGAAUUAUUUCCUUGAUGCACUGCUAGGUGACAGACCUAUUGCAAGAGCAGAUGCAGACAUUAUGAAUGUUUGACUAGCUCUAUAUGAUGACUACUUAAUAGUUUAGUGCGACAUGCUUUACGACUUAGAACCGGGACUUCAAAAAUGUUUUGAACGCCACGGAGCAUAUGAGAUGUUCCAAGAGCUUAAAUUGGUAUUUCAGACUCAUGCUCGUGUCGAGAGGUAUGAGACCUCUGAUAAGUACUUUGCCUACAAUAUGGAGGAGAAUAGCUCAACCAUUGAGCAUGUGCUCAGAAUGUCUAGGUACUACAAUCGCUUGAAUCAAGUGGAAAUUAAUCUUCCAGAUAAGAUAGUGAUUGACAAAGUUCUCUAGUCACUAUCACCAAGCUACUAGAACUUCAUGAUGAACUAUAAUAUGCAAGGGAUAACGAAAAUGAUUCCCGAGCUCUUCGCGAUGCUGAAAUCGGCUCAGAACGUCCGUUAGCUAGGCUCUUUGCCAUCUGCUAGCGGACGACAAAGAGUUGUGCCCUAUCUAACAAAAAGCCCUCGCCCUACCCCUAUCUCUCCCUUGCUUCCCUCAUCCCAACCCCGCGCCGCCACCCCGCCACGCCUCGCCUCACCGCCCUGGCCCCCGUUGCCGCCCCGGCCCGCGUUGCCGCACCGGGCCACUCCGCCCCACGGUGCCGCUCUGGCCGGCCUCGCCGCCCCAGCCGCCCCAGCCGCCCCAUCCCAUCUGCGCCACCCUGUCCACGCNNNNNNNNNNNNNNNNNNNNNNNNNNNNNNNNNNNNNNNNNNNNNNNNNNNNNNNNNNNNNNNNNNNNNNNNNNNNNNNNNNNNNNNNNNNNNNNNNNNNNNNNNNNNNNNNNNNNNNNNNNNNNNNNNNNNNNNNNNNNNNNNNNNNNNNNNNNNNNNNNNNNNNNNNNNNNNNNNNNNNNNNNNNNNNNNNNNNNNNNNNNNNNNNNNNNNNNNNNNNNNNNNNNNNNNNNNNNNNNNNNNNNNNNNNNNNNNNNNNNNNNNNNNNNNNNNNNNNNNNNNNNNNNNNNNNNNNNNNNNNNNNNNNNNNNNNNNNNNNNNNNNNNNNNNNNNNNNNNNNNNNNNNNNNNNNNNNNNNNNNNNNNNNNNNNNNNNNNNNNNNNNNNNNNNNNNNNNNNNNNNNNNNNNNNNNNNNNNNNNNNNNNNNNNNNNNNNNNNNNNNNNNNNNNNNNNNNNNCCACCUCGCCGCCCCACCUCGCCGCCCCGGCCGCUCCAAGGUGAGACCUUUUCUUCUUUUUUUUCUGUUUUUUUAGAUUUAGUUUAAUUAGGUUUAGUAUAAUUUAGUUUAGGUUUAUUUUAGUUUAGUUAGUUUACUUUAGAUUUAGUUUAGUUUAGGUUAGGUUAAGUUUCUGGUUUAGUUUAGGUUUAGUUUAGUUUAGUUAGUUUAGGUUUAGUUUAGUUUAGGUUAAGUUUCUGGUUUAUUUUGAAUAUGUGAAAUAUGUUGUUAUUUUUUUAGUUCAAGCAUUUAUUCCCGCAUCGACGUCGAUGAUGCCUAUGCCGCAUCCUCGUCGUCGACUCGGUGGAGGAGGCCUGCUUGAUCAGAGGGGCCAUGUCCGAGACUGGGUUCCGCCGGGCUGGUACUGGGGGUUCUACCUUCUGGGGGGCGCAGCUUGGUGAGCAGCCACCCCAUUGUUGACCCGAACCUUGUUUGGUGGCGGUCGCGUGGGUCAGUGACGGUGCCGAGGCUUUCAGACACCGCGGAGGUGGUACGUCACCGUGUCAGCGAGGAGGACGAGCACGUCCGUCGCUACAUGGUUUCCUUGGAGGGCAGGUUCGACAAUACCUGGCAGGUUCUUCAAGGAUCUCACUGGAGCUAUGAUCCUGUGAUGGUUCCUUCUCUUUGGGUAUCCAUCGCCCGCGCCGAUACCCGUCGUUCGCUACGGUUCUAGCUGUAUUGGCGAUGCUAUAUGUAUGAUACUAUUUGAGUUGUAUUAGUGAUAAUAUUCUAUGAUGUACGGAUGCAAGAGAUGAUGUAGUUUUUAUUAUUGAAUGCAUGCUAAUUUAGUUUACCCGGGGACGAGCGGGUUAGGGGGUUCCUCGGUGUCGAUGGUACCCUAAAUAGCAGGUAUCGUCAGUGCGAGAUACAUGUGGUCGUCAGUGUCGAAUACUACAUCCACGCCCACAAGUGACACAGGGGUCCUGCAUCCCGCAUCAACAGUUCUCGAUGUCGAUGGCGGUCGAAUACCAUUGCGAAUUUGUCUGGCAGCCUCUGAGAUGACGAUUGAAAGCUAAGUGUUGAAACUUGAAACACCCAAACUGACUCAAGUCGGUUUGGUUGUUUGAAAUUUCAAUACUUGGCAUUAAUCCUCAUCACAGAGGCUGCCAGACAAAUUUGCCAAGGUGUUCGACCAUCAUCGGCCACCAGACCUAUUGUUGUAGGACGCCGGGCGCCAGCGUCACUUGUGGGACGUGGAUCUAGUGUUCAACACCGAGCGCCUCAUGUAUCUUGCACCGAUGAUACUUGCUAUUUAGGGUUCUAUCGACGCCGAGGAACCCCUAAUCCGCUCGCCUGUUGUAAAUAUUUAGUUAGGUUGAUAGAAAAAACAAUAUUGCUAUGAAACUCAUCUUUCGAUUUAAAUGUGCAGUUUUUUCGUCGCUGCGAGGGUCUAGUGUUCGACGAGCUCCGCUUCUGCGUUUGUGGGUUAGCACAAAUGGCAUAUCCUCCCCCCUUGAUUUGCUCUAUUCCGGUCUUUGUGCCGAUGAAACUUGCUAGCUAUAGGUCUUCAAUCAUCAGUAUGCGUGACCACUAUGCGUCUCCCGUUCGAAAGGGUUACAUCUAUAAAUAUGCAUGCAUUUGCAUAUUAUAACCGUGAUUCUUUCGAAUUGUCCCACUUUAUCCAUGGACAGCCCGAGUAUGUGUAGAUUGGGUUCGUUUUCCCAUAUGCUCUGCUCCGGAUCCGAUGCAGAAUUUCGUCAGUGCCUCCUUGUUGUUCUCUGGGUACACAUCCUCUUUGCUUAUUGCCGAGACGUGUAUCAGGAGAACAAUGGGGAGGUGCUGCCUAAAUUUUGCGUCGGAUCCAGAGUAGAGCAUGGGAAAACAAACCCAAUCUACACAUACUCGGGUGGGAUUAGGACCUAUCUUUACCUAUUAGCGUCUAGGUUGCAUGGACAUAACAAAAGUGACAAACUCCAUUAACUGAUGAAUAUAUACAUGUUGAUUUAUAUAUAUAUAUUUCUUAUGUGUCCAGUAGCUAGGCAAGAUGACUGAUCAUGCGUGGAUGUACACCGGUCACACUAGUCAGAAAGACAUGAUCAUUGAAUGGUUAACAAAAACCAAGGGGUUUCUGAGAGCCGCAUUUGCAAAUGGCCAGAGGACAACAUGGUGCCGUUGUGCCGGGUGCAACAAUUGGCACAAGAGCACAGAGGAUGAAAUGGGAAAACACCUGCAGAAGUGGGGUUUUACGCCAGAUUAUAUGGUGUGGACAUUUCAUGGCGAGUCUGUCCAACAUGCCAGAGCUGAGGUGCUUCGUCAUCACACCGACGAGCAUGGUACCGGGAUGCAAGACAUGGUGCAAGACUUUGAUGAUGCUCAGGACUCGGACGAUGAGAUGGAGGAAUCUGCAAAGGCCUUCAAUGAAAUGUUGGAGUCUUCAAAACGUCCUCUUCACAAGCACACCGAGUUUUGUCAGCUGGAUGCCAUCUCACAAAUAAUGGCUCUGAAGGCUCAAUUCAACUUGGGCAGAGAAUGCUAUGACACAAUGAUGACAAUAUUUGGAUGUUUUCUACCCAAAGGCCAUGCACUACCUGCAAACCUGUACCAGUAAGACAAAAUCCUCCAUGCUCUUAAGAUGCCCUAUGAGAAGAUACAUGCCUGUGAGAAAGGAUGUGCCUUAUUUAGGCUUUAGUAUGCGGACUUGAACUAUUGUCCCAUUUGCAAGUCAUCCAAGUAUGUUGUGGUAGACAAUGGUAUGGGUGAGAAGACGCAGACCAAAAUCCCCGUUAAUGUUCUUCGGUUAUGCCAAUCGUACCAAGACUUCAAUGUCUUUUCAUGGUCGAAGAGACGGCCAGAUAGAUGAAAUGGCACAAAACGGGCAAAAGAACCCAACUAGAUGCAGAUGGGAAGCUGAUGAUGGUGCACACAUCGGAUGGUCAAGCAUGGAAGAGCUUCGAUGCAUUACAUGAUGACAAAGCGGCAGAUCCGAGGCAUCCUCGAGUCGGCAUCAGCAUGGAUGGGUUCAGUGUGUUUGGUUUGACGGCAGCCCAAUACAGUUGUUGGACCGUAUUUGUCUUUCCACUCAAUCUCCCCCCCGGACAGAUUAUGCAAAGAAAGAACAUUUUCCUGAUGUUGAUAAUUACAGGGCCCAACUAUCCGGGGAAGAAUAUGAAUGUGUACAUGCAGCCGCUGAAGGACGAAUUGCAAGAAGCCUGGGAUAAUGGGUUCAAGACAUACGACGCCUUUAGAAAAUGGAACUUCAUAAUGCGUGUCUGGUACAUGUACUUGACGCAUGACUUGCCAGCGUAUGCGCUAUUCGUUGGUUGGUGUGUGCAUGGAAGGUUCCCGUGCCCCACAUGCAAGGGAGCUCUUGAGUUUCGUUGGCUUUAGGCCGGUCACAAGUUUUCUUGCUUCGACAUGCAUAGGCAGUUCCUGGAUCCUCGCCAUAAGUUCAGGAAAGACAAGAAGAACUUCAUCAGAGGUAGAGUUGUCAAAAACCCUGCACCACCUCCGUUGACAGGCCAAGAGACCCUGGAUCAGUUAAACGCUCUCAAGCCAGAUCCAGAGCGUCCAGGGUAUUUCAAGGGGUAUAAUUUGAAACACGCCUGGACUCACAAGACAUACUUGUGGGAUCUUCCUUACUUCAAAGACCUCCUUUGCCCACACAACAUCGACGUGAUGCACACUGAGAAGAAUAUCGCUGAGGCACUUUUUGGUACAUUGUUUCGGCAUAGAUGGGAAGUCAAAGGAUAAUACUAAGGCUAGAGUCGAUCUGGAGGCGCUAUGUGAUAGUCCGUUACAAAACAUGAAAGAACCGAAAGGAAAGCAGAACUGGACGAAGCCAAAGGCAUGGUUUAAUCUUGGAAGGCCAGCUAUGAGGGAAAUUAUCUUGUGGGUGCAACAGCAGUUGAUGUUCCCUGAUGGGUAUGCAGCGAAUCUAAAGAGGGGAGCGAGUCUUGAUAAAUUGAAGAUAUUUGGUCUCAAGAGUCAUGAUUGGCACAUAUGGAUUGAGUGGGUAAUGCCGGUGAUGUUGCAUGGAUUCAUCCCUGAGGAUGAAUGGCUAGUACUGGCAGAGCUGAGCUAUUUCUUCCGUGUUCUUUGUGCGAAAGAACUAUCGCCUGGCCUGCUAGAAGAAAUUGAAGAGUUGGCGUCGGAGUUGAUCUACAAGUUAGAGAAGAUCUUUCCGCCGGGCUUCUUUAAUGAAAUGUAGCACUUGAUUUUGCAUCUCCCAACCGAGGCAAGAUUGGGGGGCCUGUGUCGGUGUACAAAAGUAGGGGCCUUCUGUACCCCUUUACUUGUGCACAGGCAGUCGUAGCCGCACCUGUGGCGGGCUUGGUGAGGCAGAAGAAGCAAAGAUACAAGACUACCAGAGCAGCGCUCAAGCCAGAGGCGCGAAGAGCAAAGGGGCAAGAUGGGCUUCCCCCGGCAAGACCCUUGCUGGGGCGGCCUAUGCGGCCCCGGCAAAAGCCUUGCUGGGGCAAAUUGCCCAACACCAGCAAGACCGCCACCCUUGAGCCUGAGAGUUCUGACACCAUUGAGAACGUCAGGACCAAGGCUCGGGGGCGCCUGCGUGGUGGCAUGCAGAUCUUUGUGAAGACCAAAGUCCUGUAAGACUAGAUAAGAACCAGAAGACGAAGACCCCCGGCAAGACUCUUGUCGGGGACGCCCACGAGACCCCGGCAAGACCCUUGUGCUACGUCUUGAGCUUGCGUUGGUUUUCCUUGAAGAGGGAAGGGUGAUGCAGCAAAGUAGCGUAAGUAUUUCCCUCAGUUUUUGAGAACCAAGGUAUCAAUCCAGUAGGAGGCUCCUCAAAAGUCCCAUGCACCUACACAAACAAACAAGAACUCACAACCAAUGCAAUAAAGGGGUUGUCAAUCCCUUCAUGGCCACUUGCGAAAGUGAGAUCUGAUAGAGAUAAUAUGAUAAGAUAAAUAUUUUUGGUAUUUUUAUGAUAUAGAUAGGAAAUGUAAAAGAUGCAAAUAAAAGUAGAUUGAAAGCUUAUAUGAUAAAAGAUAGACCCGGGGGUCAUAGGUUUCACUAGUGGCUUCUCUCAAGAUAGCAUAAGUAUUACGGUGGGUGAACAAAUUGUUGGGAAACGUAGCAGAAUUUUAAAAUUUUCUACACAUCACCAAGAUCCAUCUAUGGAGUUUACUAGCAACGAGGGGAAAGGAGUGCAUCUACAUACCCUUGUAGAUCGCGAGGCGUAAGCAUUCAAGUGAACGGGGUUGAUGGAGUUGUACUCGUCGUGAUCCAAAUCACCGAUGACCGAGCGCCGAACGGACGGCACCUCCGCGUUCAACACACGUACGGAGCAGCAACGUCUCCUCCUUCUUGAUCCAGCAAGGGGGAAGGAGAGGUUGAUGGAGAUCCAGCAGCACGACGGCGUGGUGGUAGAAGUAGCGGGGAUCCCGGCAGGGCUUCGCCAAGCGCAAGCGGGAGGGAGAGGUGUUGCAGGGGGGGAGGGAGGCGCCAGGGGCUGUGGUGCUGCUGCCCUCCCUCCCCCCACUAUUUAUAGGGGCCCUAGGGGGCGCCGACCCCUGGAGAUCCCAUCUGAGGGGGGGGGGGCGGCCAAGGGGGGUGGCUUGCCCCCCAAGCCAAGUGGGGCGCCCCCACCCCUAGGGUUUCCAACCCUAGGCGCAAGGGGAGGCCCAAGGGGGGCGCCCCAGCCCACUAGGGGCUGGUUCCCCUCCCACUUCAGCCCAAGGGGCCCUCCGGGACAGGUAUCCCCACCCGGUGGACCCCCGGGACCCUUCCGGUGGUCCCGGUACAAUACCGAUAACCCCCAAAACUUUCCCGGUGGCCGAAACUGGACUUCCUAUAUAUAAUUCUUCACCUCCGGACCAUUUUGGAACUCCUCGUGACGUCCGGGAUAUCAUCCGGGACUUUAGCGUUUCCGCAUACUAAUAUCUCUACAACCCUAGCGUCACCGAACCUUAAGUGUGUAGACCCUACGGGUUCGGGAGACAUGCAGACAUGACCGAGACGCCUCUCCGGUCAAUAACCAACAGCGGGAUCUGGAUACCCAUGUUGGCUCCUACAUGUUCCAUGAUGAUCUCAUCGGAUGAACCACGAUGUCGAGGAUUCAAUCAAUCCCGUAUACAAUUCCCUUUGGCAAUCGGUACGUUACUUGCCCGAGAUUCGAUCGUCGGUAUCCCAAUACCUUGUUCAAUCUCGUUACCGGCAAGUCACUUUACUCGUACCGUAAUGCAUGAUCCCGUGGCUAACUCCUUAGUCACAUUGAGCUCAUUAUGAUGAUGCAUUACCGAGUGGGCCCAGAGAUACCUCUCUGUCAUACGGAGUGACAAAUCCCAGUCUUGAUCCGUGCCAACCCAACAGACACUUUCGGAGAUACCCGUAGUGCACCUUUAUAGUCACCCAGUUACGUUGUGACGUUUGGUACACCCAAAGCACUCUUACGGCAUCCGGGAGUUACACGAUCUCAUGGUCUAAGGAAAAGAUACUUGACAUUGGAAAAGCUCUAGCAAACGAACUACACGAUCUUUAUGCUAUGCUUAGGAUUGGGUCUUGUCCAUCACAUCAUUCUCCUAAUGAUGUGAUCCCGUGAUCAAUGACAUCCAAUGUCCAUAGUCAGGAAACCAUGACUAUCUGUUGAUCAACGAGCUAGUCAACUAGAGGCUUACUAGGGACAUGUUGUGGUCUAUGUAUUCACACAUGUAUUACGAUUUCCGAAUAACACAAUUAUAGCAUGAACAAUAGACAAUUAUCAUGAACAAGGAAAUAUAAUAAUAACCAUUUUAUUAUUGCCUCUAGGGCAUAUUUCCAACACAAAUUACUGUCGAGCAAUUGAUAGAAAAGCAAAUAAUUGUGAGAUUAUCUAGGCAUGAUCAUGUAUAUAGGAAUCACGUCCGUGACAAGUAGACCGAAACGAUUCUACAUCUACUACUAUUACUCCACACACCGACCGCUAUCCAGCAUGCAUCUAGAGUAUUAAGUUCAUAAGAACAGAGUAACGCAUUAAGAAAGAUGACAUGGUGUAGAGGGAUAAACUCAUGCAAUAUGAUAUAAACCCCAUCUUUUUAUCCUCGAUGGCAACAAUACAAUACGUGCCUUGCUGCCCCUGCUGUCACUGGGAAAGGACACCGCAAGAUUGAACCCAAAGCUAAGCACUUCUCCCAUUGCAAGAAAGAUCAAUCUAGUAGGCCAAACCAAACUGAUAAUUCGAAGAGACUUGCAAAGAUAACUUAAUCAUACAUAAAAGAAUUCAGAGGAGAUUCAAAUAUUUCUCAUAGAUAAACUUGAUCAUAAACCCACAAUUCAUCAGAUCUCGACAAACACACUGCAAAAAGAGUUACAUCGGAUAGAUCUCCAAGAAGAUCGAGGAGAACUUUGUAUUGAGAUUCAAAUAGAGAGAAGAAGCCAUCUAGCUAAUAACUAUGGACCCAAAGGUCUGUGGUAAACUACUCACAACUCAUCAGAGAGGCCUUGGAGAAGAUGUAGAGGCCCUCCGUGGUUGAUUCCCCCUCCGACGGAGCGCCGGCGAAGGCUCCAAGAUGGGAUCUCGCGGAUACAGAAGGUUACGGCGGUGGAAAUAAUUUUUCGUGGUGCUCCCCGAAGGUUUCAGGGUACGUGGGUAUAUAUAGGAGGAAGAAGUAGGUCGGUGGACGCUCGAGGGGCCCACGAGGGUGGGGGGCGCGCCCACCUAUAGGGGGCGCACCGGGCACCCUCGUGGCCGCCUCCUCUGUUGCUUGACGUCCACUCCAAGUCCCCUGGAUCGCGUUUGUUCCAAAAAGAUCGCUCCCGAAGGUUUCAUUCCGUUUGGACUCCGUUUGAUAUUCCUUUCCUUCGAAACACUGAAAUAGGCAAAAAAAUAGCAAUUCGGGCUGGGCCUCCGGUUAGUAGGUUAGUCCCAAAAAUGAUAUAAAGUGUAAAGUAAAGCCCAUAAACAUCCAAAACAGGUAAUAUAAUAGCAUGGAACAAUAAAAAAUUAUAGAUACGUUGCAGACGUAUCACCUUGCCGGGGCCCCAGCAAGACCCUUGCUGGGGACAUCUGCAGAGCUGCAGUCAGGCCCACACCUACCAAGGUUUCGCUGCCCCGCGCCCGUUCCGACGUGGCGGCCAGCCCGCCAACUAGGCGAGCGCCUGCGUGGCAGCAUGCAUCUUCUAGGCCAACUAGCCAAGCACCUGCGUGGUGGCAUACAGAUCCUCGUGAAGACCCUGCCACCGCACCAGCUCAGCAGCAAGCCAGCCAGCGUGGCGCUACAUGCCUCGUCAGCUUGGAUGCGCGCCGGAGCGAUGCGAGGCGGCGACGGACGGGACGAGCUUCUUUGCCGCCCCCGAUAAAGCAAGAGGGCACGUUGGCAGCGCAUUAAAUGCAUUUGUCCUAUGGUGCCAGGCGAUAGACUUGUACACUGUACAUACUUUCCACCUCCUGUGUGCCGAUGUGGCAACCCCUUUGACAUAUAAAAGGAGGCCCAAGGCGUACUGAGGCAGGAUUCAGACUUUUUGGACUGGGCAUGCACCGCAGCUAGUUCAAGAGCUCAAGAACACUAAAUACACACAAAGCAGGACUAGGGUUUUACGCAUCGUUUGCGGCCCGAACCUGGGUACAAAUUCCCCCAUGUUGAUCUUCUAGACCCGCUCUUUGCACAGCCCCACGCCCCACCGACCGUAGUAGGGAUUCCCUGUGAUCCCAUAGGUGUCGUUUCCCCCAAAAUCUUUGGCGCGCCAGGUAGGGGGAGCGCUGAAGCUGUGAUAAUCCGGUUUUGAAGCCAACACAUCGACUCCCUCAUCGGGAUGGAUCGAGAGGAGAAGGCGACGUUGAUCAGCCACACUCCGGUACCGUCCGCAGCCGCGACGAUCAUCCACGUGACAACGGAAAAGCUAAGUCAUGCAAAACCUUGAGUAAUUUCCUUUUUGUAGGGUUAUUUUCCUCGAAAGAUCUUGCUCCUUGUAUGGAAAACCUGUAUGCAAUGGAACCCUUCCGCUAUUGGCAACGCCCUUGUUCUGUUUCGAGUCCGCUCAACAGUUCAAGCGGCCGCGCUGAGAACGGCAAGGUGGCUUGCCCGGCAGCAAGCGCCCCCCGGCAGGCUUUUAAGGAUCCUUCCUCAAAGCGCCACAACAUGGGUUUACGCGUCGGCAAACCUAUCCAACUAGGCGUAGGAUGUGUACAUACAAGGAAAGAUCGAACAGGAAGAUAGCAUGCUUCAUUUCAAAGUACUACAGAGUUAUAUUACAUCAAUAAGUUGCUGCAGUUCUAACUUAAGAUAAAAUUGUCUUGGUCAUGAACUCGCAGCGGCGAUGAGAAACGGGGUGCCUAGUCCCGGUGCUGGCCCUCCACCCUCUUGACUCCGUCAACGCAGCUGAUGAUGGGCUCGAUACGCUCCUCGAGCGCCAUGAGGUCCGCAUCCUCCGGCAAGCUCUCCAAUGUGCCGGCGAAGUCGACGCUGGGGUUCCAGAAUGCCACCUUGGUGAGCACCUUGGUCAGGGCGCCCCAGCAGAGCUUCCGAGCCUCAUUGGCGAGAUAAGCUACUCGGUUGGAGCGGAGCUGCUCCAGGGCAUCAAGGAUGCGCUCAAAGAACAAGGUCAGCCUGGCGUUGGGGCUCACGUUCGUCUCCUGGGAGAACCUGACGUCCGGCAUGCCUAUGUCGGCUAGCUGGGUGGUGAGCUUCUCCGCGACGACGACGAGGCGGCCGAUCUAGAGGUUUACGCUCUUCACGUAAUCCUUGUGGGCGGCGGCGUCAUCGCUCCGCAGUCGCUUCUUGUCCUCCAGGGCCUUGUUCAGGGUCUCCUCACAAGCCCUAACCUCCGAAAGCGUCCCCUCCAAACCGUCCCAUGCACGACCCCCACGUCAUGCACUCAAUGCGGGUCGUGGGGAAGCGCAACUGGCGAAGGAGUUACCGCAGUUAAAGCUCUGCCACGCGUGCCUGCGCGCCGUUCUGGGCCUGGCCCAACAACGCUCCGCGCUUAUGUGUGGCCCAGGCCCGGGGGCUCCUGUCAGUGUACAAAAGUAGGGGCCUUCUGUACCCCUUUACUUGUGCACGGGCAGUUGUAGCCGCACCUGCGGCCGGGCUUGGUGAGGCAGAAGAAGCAAAGAUACAAGACUACCAGAGCAGCGCUCAAACCAAAGGCGCGAAGAGCAAAGGGGCAAGAUGGGCUUCCCCCGGCAAGAGCCUUGCCGGGGUGGCCUAUGCGGCCCCGGCAAAAGCCUUGCUGGGGCAACUUUCCCAACACCAGCAAGACCGCCAGCCUUGAGCCUGAGAGUUCUGACACCAUUGACAAUGUCAGGACCAAGGCUCGGGGGCGCCUGCGUGGUGGUAUGCAGAUCUUUGUGAAGACCAAAGGCCUGCAAGACUAGAUAAGAACCAGAAUAUGAAGACCCCCGGCAAGACUCUUGACGGGGACGCCCACGAGACCCCGGCAAGACCCUUGCCGGGGACAUCUGCAGAGCCACAGUCAGGCCCACACCUACCAAGGUUUCGCUGCCCCGCGCCCAUUCCGACGUGGCGGCCAGCCCGCCAACUAGGCGAGUGCCUGCAUGGCAGCAUGCAGCUUCUAGGCCAACUAGCCAAGCACCUACAUGGUGGCAUACAUAUCUUCGUGAAGACCCUGGCACCGCAAGCUCAGCAGCCAGCCAGCCAGCGUGGCGUUGCAUGCCUUGUCAGCUUGGAUGUGCAUCGGAGUGAGGCGAGGCGGCGACGGACGGGACGAGCUUCUUUCCCGCCCCCGAUAAAGCAAGAGGGCACGUCGGCAGCGCAUUAAAUGCGUUUGUCCUAUGGUGCCAGGCGAUAGACUUGUAGACUGUACAUACUUUCCACCUCCUGUGUGCUGUUGUGGCAACCCCUUUGACAUAUAAAAGGAGGCCCGAGGCGUACUGAGGAAGGAUUCAGACUUUUUGGACGGGGCAUGUGUUGGGGAACGUAGUAAUUUAAAAAAAUUCCUACGCACACGCAAGAUCCAUCUAGGUGAUGCAUAACAACGAGAGGGGAGAGUGUUGUCCACGUACCCUCGUAGACCAAAAGCGGAAGCGUUAUGACAACGCGGUUGAUGUAGUCGUACGUCUUCACGAUCAGACCGAUCCUAGCACCGAAAGUACAUCACCUCCGUGAUCUGCACACAUUCUGCUCGGUGACGUCCCACGAACUCUAGAUCCAGCUGAAUAUCGAGGGGGAGCUUCGUCAACACGAUGGCGUGAUGACGGUGAUGAUGAAGUUACCGAAGCAGGGCUUCGCCUAAGCACUACAACGAUAUGACCGAGGUGGAAAUCUAUGGAGGGGGCACCGCACACGGCUAAGAUAACUGUCAACUUGUGUGUUCUAGGGUGCCCCCCUGCCCCUGUAUAUAAAGGAGCAAGGGGAAGGCCGGCCGGCCCUAUAGGCGCGCCAAGGAGGGGAGGAAUCCUCCUCCUAGUAGGAGUAGGGAUUCCUCCUUUCCUAGUCCUACUAGGACGGGGAAGGAAGGAGAGGGAGAGAGGGAGGGAAAGAGGGGGCGCCACCCCCUCCUUGUCCAAUUAAGACUCCUCAAGGGGGGGGGCAGCCCUAAGGCCCCCUCCUCUCUCUCUCUCACAAGGCCCAUGUUGGCCCAUUAGUUCCCCCGGGGGUUCCGAUAACCCCCCGGCACUCCGACAAUUAUCCAGUGACCCUCGGAACUCAUCCGGUGUCCGAAUAUAGUCAUCCAAUAUAUCAAUCUUUAUGUCUCGACCAUUUCAAGACUCCUCGUCAUGUCCGUUAUCACAUCUCGGACUCCAAACUACCUUCGGUUCAUCAAAACACAAAAACCAUAAUACCGAUCGUCACCGAACGUUAAGCGUGCGGACCCUACGAGUUUGAGAACUAUGUAGACAUGACCGAGACUCAUCUCCGGUCAAUAACCAAUAGCAGAACCUGGAUGCUCAUAUUGGUUCCUACAUAUUCUACGAAGAUCUUUAUCGGUCAAACCGCAUAACAAUAUACAUUGUUCCCUUUGUCAUCGGUAUGUUACUUGCCCGAGAUUUGAUCGUCGGUAUCUCAAUACCUAGUUUAAUCUCGUUACCGACAAGUCUCUUUACUCGUUCCCUAAUGUAUCAUCCGGUGACUAACUCAUUAGUCACAUUGCUUGCAAGGCUUAUAGUGAUGUGCAUUAUCGAGAGGGCCCAGACAUACCUCUCCGAAACACGGAGUGACAAAUCCUAAUCUCGAUCUAUGCCAACCCAACAAACACCAUCGAAGACACCUGUAGAGCGUCUUUAUAAUCACCCAGUUACGUUGUGAUGUUUGAUAGCACACUAAGUGUUCCUCCGGUAUUCAGGAGUUGCAUAAUCUCAUAGUCAUAGGAACAUGUAUAAGUCAUGAAGAAAGCACUAGCAACAAACUAAACGAUCAAGUGCUAAGCUAAAGGAAUGGGUCAAGUCAAUCACAUCAUUCUCUAAUGAUGUGAUCCCGUUAAUCAAAUGAAAACUCAUGUCUAUGGCUAGGAAACUUAACCAUCUUUGAUUCAACGAGCUAGUCAAGUAGAGGCAUACUAGUGACACUCUGUUUUUCUAUGUAUUCACACAUGUACUAAGUUUCUGGUUAAUACAAUUCUAGCAUGAAUAAGAAACAUUUAUCAUGAUAUAAGGAAAUAUAAAUAACAACUUUAUUAUUGCCUCUAGGGCAUAUUUCCUUCAGUCUCCCACUUGCACUAGAGUCAAUAAUCUAGAUUACACAGUAAUGAUUCUAACACCCAUGGAGUCUUGGUGCUAAUCAUGUUUUGCUCGUGAGAGAGGCUUAGUCAACGGGUCUGCAACAUUCAGAUCCGUAUGUAUCUUGCAAAUCUCUAUGUCUCCCUCCUUGACUUGAUCGUGGAUGGAAUUGAAGCGUCUCUUGAUGUGCUUGGUUCUCUUGUGAAAUCUGGAUUCCUUUGCCAAGGCAAUUGCACCAGUAUUGUCACAAAAGAUUUUCAUUGGACCCGAUGCACUAGGUAUGACAUCCAGAUCGGAUGUGAACUCCUUCAUCCAGACUCCUUCAUUUGCUGCUUCUGAAGCAGCUAUGUACUCCGCUUCACACGUAGAUCCCGCCACGACGCUUUGCUUAGAACUGCACCAACUAACAGCUCCACCGUUCAGUAUAAAUACAUAUCCGGUUUGUGACUUAGAGUCAUCCGGAUCAGUGUCAAUGCUUGCAUCAACGUAACCAUUUACAACGAGCUCUUCGUCACCUCCAUAAACGAGAAACAUAUCCUUAGUCCUUUUCAGGUAUUUCAGGAUGUUCUUGACCGUUGUCCAGUGAUCCACUCCUGGAUUACUUUGGUACCUCCCUGCUAAACUAAUAGCAAGGCACACAUCAGGUCUGGUACACAACAUUGCAUACAUGAUAGAACCUAUGGCUGAAGCAUAGGGAAUGACUUUCAUUUUCUCCCUAUCUUCUGUAGUGGUCGGGCAUUGAGUCUGACUCAACUUCACACCUUGUAACACAGGCAAGAACCCUUUCUUUUCUUGAUCCAUUUUGAACUUCUUCAAAACUUUAUCAAGGUAUGUGCUUUGUGAAAGUCCAAUUAAGCAUCUUGAUCUAUCUCUAUGGAUCUUGAUGCCAAAUAUAUAAGCAGCUUCACCGAGGUCUUUCAUUGAAAAACUCUUAUUCAAGUAUCCUUUUAUGCCAUCUAGAAAUUCUAUAUCAUUUCCAAUCAACAAUAUGUCAUCCACAUAUAAUAUUAGAAAUGCUACAGAGCUCCCACUCACUUUCUUGUAAAUACAGGCUUCUCCAAAAGUCUGUAUAAAACCAUAUGCUUUGAUCACACUAUCAAAACGUUUAUUCCAACUCUGAUAUGCUUGCACCAGUCCAUAAAUGGAUCGCUAGAGCUUUCACACUUUGUUAGCAUCCUUUGGAUUGAUAAAACCUUCGGGUUGCAUCAUAUACAACUCUUCUUCCAGAAAUCCAUUCAGGAAUGCAGUCUUUACAUCCAUUUGCCAAAUUUCAUAAUCAUAAAAUGCAGCAAUUGCUAACAUGAUUCGGACGGACUUAAGCAUCCCUACAGGUGAGAAAGUCUCAUCGUAGUCAACUCCUUGAACUUGUCGAAAACCUUUCGCAACAAGUCGAGCUUUGUAGACAGUAACAUUACCACCAGCGUGAGUCUUAUUCUUGAAGAUCCAUUUAUUCACGAUGGCUUGCUGAUCAUCGGGCAAGUCAACCAAAGUCCACACUUUGUUCCCAUACAUGGAUCCCAUCUCAGAUUUCAUGGCCUCAAGCCAUUUCGCGGAAUGUGGGCCCAUCAGCGCUUCCUCAUAGUUCGUAGGUUCGUCAUGGUCAAGUAACAUGACCUCUAGAACCGGAUUACUGUACCACUCUGGUGCGGAUCUUACUCUGGUUGACCUACGAGGUUCAGUAGUAACUUGAUCUGAAGUUACAUGAUCAUCAUCAUUAGCUUCCUCACUAAUUGGUGUAGUAGUCAAAGGAACUGAUUUCUGUGAUGAACUACUUUCCAAUAAGGGAGCAGGUAUAGUUACCUCAUCAAGUUCUACUUUCCUCCCACUCACUUCUUUCGAGAGAAACUCCUUCUCUAGAAAGGAUCCAUUUUUAGCAACAAAUGUCUUGCCUUCGGAUCUGUGAUAGAAGGUCUACCCAACAAUCUCCUUUGGGUAUCCUAUGAAGACACAUUUCUCCGAUUUGGGUUCCAGCUUAUCAGGUUGAAGCUUUUUCACAUAAGCAUCGCAGCCCCAAACUUUAAGAAACGACAAUUUGGGUUUCUUGCCAAACCACAGUUCAUAAGCUGUCGUCUCAACGGAUUUAGAUUGUGCCCUAUUUAACGUAAAUGCAGCCGUCUCUAAAGCUGAAAGGAUCGAUAUAGUUGACUAGAGGGGGGGGGUGAAUAGGCAAAACAAAUUUUAACUUUUCUUUACCAAUUUAAACUUUGCAUCAAAGUAGGUUGUCUAGAUAUGCAACUAGGUGAGCAACCUAUAUGAUACAACAACAAUAAGCACACACGCAAGCAAGGGAUAAGGCACAAAUAAGCUUGCACAAGUAAAGGCACGAGAUAACCAAGAGUGGAGUCGGUGAAGACGAGGAUGUGUUACCGAAGUUCCUUCCCUUUGAGAGGAAGUACGUCUUCGUUGGAGCGGUGUGGAGGCACAAUGCUCCCCAAGAAGCCAGUAGGACCACCGUAUUCUCCUCACGCCCUCACACAAUGCGAGAUGCCGUGAUUCUACUAUUGGUGCCCUUGGAGGCAGCGACCGAACCUUUACAAACAAGGUUGGGGCAAUCUCCACAACUUAAUUGGAGGCUCCCAACGACACCACGAAGCUUCACCACAAUGGACUAUGGCUCCACGGUGACCUCAACCGUCUAGGGUGCUCAAACACCCAAGAGUAACAAGAUCCACAAGGGAUUAGUGGGGGAAUUCAAAUAUCUCUUGGUGUAAGUGUAGAUCGGGGCCUCCUCAACCAAUCCCUAGAGAAUCAACAAGUUUGAUUGGCUAGGGAAGGAGAUCGGGCAAGAAUGGAGCUUGGAGCAAUAAUGGAGCUUGGAGGUGGAAGAGGUAGUCAACUAGAGGAGGAAGACACCCCUUAUAUAGUGGAAGAACAAAUCCAACCGUUAUCCACCAACUCAGCCUGCGCAGUGCGGUACUACCGCAACUGAGGCGCGGUACUACCGCAGGGACACACGGUACUACCGCACCUGAGGCGCGGUACUACCGCAGAGCCCCGCGGUACUACCGCCCACGCAGCAGUGACCAGAACAGCCACACAUGCACUAAGGCAGAGGGCAGUAGUACUGCUGGCGCGGUACUACCACUCCCUCUUGCGGUACUACCGCAAGGCAGGGGCUGUCCAGGGAUGGGAAGGCACAGAUAUAAAAAAUUACAUCCGUGGCUACUUCCGCAGAGUUGGAGUCGAUGCAAAAACCCGACGCGGUAGUACCGUAAGCCAGCUGCGGUACUACCGCGCGAGGUGCGGAUGUAAAAAAAUACAUCUGCCCCUUAUAGCCGCGUAGUUGCGGAACUAAGCAGGGACCACGGUACUACCGCUUACCAGAAGUAGUACUACCGUGGGGCCUUGCGGUACUACCGCACCAGCGGGCGGUACUACCGCAAGGUCCUGCGGUACUACCGCUCUGACGAGUAGUACUACCGCACUUCCUAGUUCGGCAGACAAGAGCUAUAAUUGCAUAGACAAGGAAAACUUAGGAUGCUCCAAAGGGAAGAGGAAAGGAGGUGCAAGGGACGAUGUGUACGUGAUGAAUCCACCCAACCUUUACAAAGCGGACCCCCUCUUAAUAGUACGGCUUCCCUACGAUUCAAUACCACUAAAAAGAACCGAAGAGAAACGCCGUCUUCUAUAGCCUUUGAGGGGAACCCAAUCAUCUUAUGCCUAGUCAAUAUAUCUGAAAUAUUUGAUGCACAUGAUUAGUCCGCAAAAGCAUUGUCAUCAAUCACCAAAACCAACUAAGGGAUAAAAAUGCCCUUACAAUCUCCCCCUUUUUGGUGGAUUGAUGACAACACGGGAUUUGCACGAGGGUAUAACGCAAAGAGCAAGGGUAAACCCCAAGUCUCUAAAAUAUAGACGGGCUCCCCCUAGAUGUGUGCUAUCUCGAUGAGUGCUUUGGACUGCACGGCACACAUACUAGGAUCAACACUCCCCCUAUAUUUUAUAGACAUGGGAAAUCUUGCAAUUAGGCUAAAGCUAAGCAAGAUAGACAGGAGCAAAAUGUAAUAAGUACAAGAUAGAAUAAGCUCACUACAGUGCGAUAGAGUGCAUAUGUCUUACACCAUAUGAUAGAAGGUCUCACGAGCACAAACCAAAGCAAACCAAAGCAAACGAAAUAAACAAAGUUCAACUGACCCAAACACGACACAACUCGCAGCAAAUCCUACACUCUCUCCCCCUUUGACAUCGAGACACCAAAAAGGUAGAGAGGACACCUACAGCAAUAGUGGUGGCUCAAGCGGAGUAGUCACUGGCACGCUCCUCGUCGGACUCUGCAGCUGGGACGGACUCCUCCUCAGACUCGGUCCACCGAUAGCCCUGCUUGUGCAGCCAUUCUGCCUCUGGGGUGAUGUUCACCUCUGACCCGCUAGAUAUGUUCUCGCCAAAGGUCCUGAAAAUCCGCUUGUCGCGGUGGCGAGUCUCCUUGGAAGCCACAUGGGUCUGGUACUGCCCCUUUGCUUGCAUACAAAACAACAUCUUCAUCUUGUUCUUCAGUCGCUUAGCCCAAGAAGGCUCAGAGGUGGGAGGGAUGUAACCCUCAGAGCUAUCCUCGUCUGCUGCCUCCUCCUCAUCCUCAUCUGCAUCUACGUCCAUGGCAGCCACAGUAGCGGCACGAGAGGUAGUGUUGGCCCACUGAGGCUUGAUACGGAGGUUGAUGGGCUCAUGCCGGAUCCAACCAGGGGCCUCAAACUCAUCCUGAGGGUAGACCCGCUCCCAAGUAGCUGAGAUCAACAGAAACAAAUAAGGUCCAUAGAUGGGGACCUUGCGGUUGUAGACCGCAAACCGAAGCUCAAUCCACAUGAUAUGUGAGACAUCAAGUGGUUGUGUCUGAGAGUUGCGAGCAUCUUCACACAGGAGCAUCAUAUCCACCAGAUAGGCAUGCACCUUGUCCUUGUCCCCAAUGUGUGGGAAGAGUGUUGCGGAAGAUCCGGUGCAUGAUGUCAAGAAAGGAGUUGAGUACCCAAGUUGACUUGCCAUUGGAGAGCUUCUUCUCCACAAGGUAGGGCAUGAGCUUGUUCUUGUUGGCAGACUCGGGAUUGGCAUGAGGGCGAACACCUUGGGGUGUGGCGAGCCCCUCAUCCGGAACCCCAAGCAGGGUCAUGAAUUCCUUCCAAGCAGCAGUCAGCUGUCGGCCAUUGGUCAUCCAAGUCAUGGUCCUUUCCUCAUUGGGAUGAAAAUGCAUGGAGGCAAAAAACUGAGCAAGGAUCUCAGGAUCAUAGUCUUUGUGGAAUGAGAUGAUAUGCUCAAUGCCAAAUUGCUCUACGAGGUCCAAAGCCUCACCAAAGUAUUCCCGGUGCGCCUCUUUGCGCAUGCGAUGCAUGUUGAUCCACUUCACCUCCACAUGGGUAUUUUGCUUGGCCUUGAUGACAUCCAGAUAAAUGAGAUUCUGCUGCUUGGUCCAGAAUAGGUCAUUCCCUUGAAAGUUAGCACGAGGGUUUCCAUACGGAUUGAUCUUUCUCUGAGCGAUGAACUCAGCAAGCGGUAUCUCAUCCAUACCCUUGGCGGGUUCCUUCUCUUUGGUGGCAGAGGUCUUGGUUCUGCGUUGGGGGGCAUUGGAGCCCUCUGCUUCCUCUGUGUUGUGCAUACGUUUGGAUCCCAUGUCACGGCUUGGAUUGGAGCGGCGAGCCGGAGCACCUGAGCCACCACCUAAACACACACCACAAAACAAACACGCAGGAAACGCGAGAAGGAUCAAUGCAAAGACCACAACAAAGCAGGAGAAACAAAUAGACUUGGCACGUGAGAAGUGCCACAAGAGGGAUUUGAGAUAACGGUAGUAAUGCGUGUUGUGCCACGUGCGGUAGUACCGCUCCAAGGAGCGGUAGUACCGGACGUGCGGUAGUACCGCACCCGCAGGGCGGUAGUACCGGACGUGCGGUAGUACCGCACCAGCAGGGCGGUAGUACCGGACGUGCGGUAGUACCGCACGGUUGCAGAUCCGAAAUAGCCAUGGAGAUCUGAGCACAACCGUGUCAACACGCGGUACUACGGUCAAUCAAAUCCAUCACGGGACAACUAUAGCAAGUACCAACACUACACAAAACUACUCUCCUACAUCCUACUCUUGCAUAGAUUUGGCCUAAAAUCUCAAGAACAACUUGCAUCUCCCAAAACCUAAAAGCAACAAGACGAAAAAGAAAAAGAGAGGGAUUGGGAACAAACCUUGUUCCAUGGCAAGAGGGAGUGGUGGGGAACGAUCCCACCGGUCGGAAUCCGAGGAGAGCGGCCAGAGACGGAGAUCCGGCGAGGACCUCCGGCGCUGUUCUUGAGCGAGAGAGAGAGAGAGGUAGAGAGAGACGAAGUGGGGAGAGAGACGAAUGGGUAUGGGGGAGUUAGAACUCCCCCUGCCCGUGUUUAACCCCCACGCGCCCUUGACCGCACAGAAGUACUACACGUCAUCGCGGUACUACCGCCUGGGCGGAAGUACCGCACCGAGGCCGUAGUACUGCUCCCCCAGGCGGCAGUAAAAAAUUACUGCCGCACUGGGUGCGGAAGUACUGCUCACUCCUCUCGCGGUAGUACCGCACGUCAUCGCGAUACUACCGCUAGGGCAGAAGUACCGCACCGAGGCCGUAGUACCGCUCCCCCAGGCGGCAGUAAAAAAUUACUGCCGCACUGGGUGCGGAAGUACCGCGCGCCCUCCUUGCGGUAGUACCGUGGUAGGCCGCGGUAGUACCGUGGGCUCAAAAACAACAGUUUCAACCAAAGAUAACAACUAAGAACGGAACCUUCAAGCGAGAGACCACAACAAGGAACUAACACACUGGACACCACAAGCACGAGCUCGCCACGAAGUAAGAGAGGCAAGAACCAACACAGACCAAAAACGAGACACAACCUCUCCAAGAAGAGGGCGGUGGCCGGAGCCACCUAUGUUUGAGUCAAUUGGUAUGGCACCGCGAAGAAUUAUCCUUGGGCCCAUGACCAAAACUCGUCUUUGAAGCACAAGUACCAUCAAAAAUGGCUAAUGUGAAAGAGUUGAUCACUUUAUGCAUAAUGGGGGGAGGGAGAGUUCAUUGAGAGAACAAUACUCCCCCUAUGUCCAUGCCUACACCUAGAUUAGACAACAAGUUGAGUGUGGUGGGGUGUGCAAGGGGUCAAGCAACAUUGCUCGAAUCAAUGAUAUUUAGCUCAUGCCUUAACUUGCGAAAUCUUGCUUCAUCCAAAGGCUUCGUGAAAAUAUCUGUAAGGUUAUCAUGGGUGUUGACGUAGUUGAGCUCGAUCUCCCUUCGCCUAAUGUGAUCUCGGAUGAAGUGAUAUCGAAUCUCAAUAUGCUUCGUCUUGAAGUGUUGCACGGGGUUAAGAGAAAUCUUGAUGGCACUUAUUUUCACACCAAAGAGGCACUUUGUCACAAAUGAUACUAUAAUCCUUUAAAGUUUGCCUCAUCCAUAAGAGUUGUGCACAACAACUCCCAGCCGCCACAUACUCCGCUUCGGUGGACGAGAGAGACACACAACUUUGCUUUUUAGAAGACCAACUUACCAAAGAGCAACCAAGGAAUUGGCACCCUCUGGAAGUGGACUUCCUAUCCACUUUGUCUCCCGCCCAAUCGGAGUCCGAAUAUCCUACAAGCUUGAAGUUUGCUCCUCUUGGGUACCAUAAGCCAAAGUUUGGGGUAUGAGCCAAAUAUCGAAAGAUUCGCUUGACCGCCACAAAGUGGCUUUCCUUAGGUGCGGCUUGAAACCGUGCACAAAUUCCCACACUCAACAUGAUAUCCGGUCUAGAUGCACAAAGAUAAAGCAAGGAACCAAUCAUGGAGCGAUAUACCUUUUGAUCCACCGCUUUACCAUUGGGAUCGAUGUCAAGUUGGCACUUGGUGGGCAUUGGAGUGGACGCCGGCUUGACAUCACUUAGUUUGAAUCUCUUGAGAAUGUCUUGAGUGUAUUUGGCUUGGUUGAUGAAGGUUCCUUCUCUUCUUUGCUUUACUUCGAAACCGAGAAAGAACUUCAACUCUCCCAUGGAAGACAUCUUGAACUUUGAGGUCAUGAGUGCGGCAAAUUCCUCAUUGAAAGUUUUGUUAGGGGAACUGUUGAGGAUAUAACCCUUAGAGUCACCCGCCCGAAGGGGCCGGGUUACUCAUAAUGGUCAUCGCCUGAAGCCCGGCGCCAAGCUUGAAGACGGCGGGCCAGAGAUGGGCUUAAGACCCGGAGAUGGCUUAAGGCCCAUAGUUGCAACCGCUAUUAUGGUAGAACUUGUAGUGUAAGGCAAGAAUAGUUGAGAGUCCGAGCCGGACACUCUUAUGAGCCGGCCGGGACUCUGAGAGCUGCUGGGCGUCAACCUCUCUAUAUAAAGGGACGACCCGGCGGCGGGUCAAGGAGAAGGAAGAUCUCGUCGAGAGCCAGGCCUAGCAGUUAAGCUCCCUGGUCAUCGAAACCCUAAUCAAUACCACCUCAACUGGAUGUAGGCUUUUACCUUCACCGUAAGGGGCCGAACCAGUAUAACCCUCGUGUUCCUUGUCCCAUUUAACCCCUUCAAGCUUCCUAGCUGCGAUGGCUCCACGACUAAGUCCUAGCUCGAGGACAUCUGCCGUGACAAUUCCACGACAGUUGGCGCCCACCGUGGGGCCAGCGCACGGUGGAUUUGAGUUCUUGAAGGGCAGCUUCGAAGGGCUCAAGGGAUACGCUGUGGGCCGGAUGACCAAGAGUCGUCGCGGCAAGCUCUACAUCGACGAUGCAAACUGGGGCCCCGACGCCGGCUCAAUUGAGUACGGGUACCGGGUCCCCUUCGGCGGAAUUCAUGUCUUCAUUGGCAAGAUUGGUGAGCCGGGCCCUAAGCCAGAUCUCUGCGCCGACCUCAUCGAGACGGCUCAGUGUGCACGACCUGCCCGGGCUCUACCUGCCUUGAGGCAUGCUUUUGUGGGAUGUGUUCAUGGAGGACUCUCCGAAGGGUCUGGAUCUGGUGAUGAGACGGCCGCCGGCUCUGACGGCGAGUCGUCCACAGAUGAGUCAAACUCGUUGUAUCAACUUCAAGAUGGCAGGCUCAGGGGUUGUUCCGAUGGUGACAGUAUUCCGGAUCCUUUUGAGCCGCCGAGCCGGGUUGGGAUCUUCAUGGCCGGUGCGCAACCUGUUCAAAACCCCGCCGCUGGGUCAGGAAACCCGGUACCCUCGCCGGCUCAGGUGCUGAUGGAUCUCACGGACAAGAUGACGGCCCUGUUGACCGCCACGGUUGACCCGGCGGAUCAAGCUCAGCAUGACGUGGAGGUGGCGCAGUUAAAUUUAGAUCUAGUGAAAGCCAAGGAGGAUCUGGUGGCGGAAGGGAUUAGGAUGGCUGCGGAGAGGGCGGCUCUCGACGCCCAGACUCAGUUGAUUCAGGCGCAGUCCUUCCGGCUCACGAUGGAUCAGAACGCGUCCAAUGAGGUCAUGAGAAAGAGGCAUCAAAAGGCCCAAUCUCGACUCCCUCCGGUCUACGAUCCUCGAAACCUCUUCAAUACGCCAGGUGCAGGGUCUAGUAACCUGCCGGGGAUCAUAGUGCCCGGGUCUGGGACCCCUGUUCAGCCACAAGUGAUGGGGCCUCCCCGGGUGAACCCCGCCCCGCCUUAGUAUGUGCCAAUACCACCGGGUCAUUAUGCUAACCCGCUGGAGAAUAUGGUCGCCGCAGUAGCAUGGCUGGCGGCUCUCCCAAUUGACGGCGACUCUCCAACGGCUAUUGAAACCCGCCGGGUCAGAGAACUCCUUCAGACAGCACUGGCGCAGCAAGAGGCGUAUUCUUACAGCCGGGACAGGAUCCACUCAACCCCUCGUCCAGGCCGGAGCCCGAGUUAUAGCAGACACAUGGUUCCAGCGACCGGCUCAAGUAAUGUCCAAUGCCAUGACCCGCCCCCUGGCCAUGGCCCGGCUCAUAACGGAGCCUUUCAUGCAACAGACCAAGACAGAGCGCGGCAGGAGGCGGAGCAGGUGCCUCAGUUGACGGCUUACCAGACUCCCCCAGCUUAUCCGACGACUUCCGUCGAUGUGGGUAUCCCUACGAGGACUGGAGGUGUCCCUUGUUUAGUGUCGGCUCUCCGCAAUGAGCGUCUACCCAAGGAUUUCAAAGGGCCUAGGAAGGUGCCUAAUUACACGGCUGACUUACAACCCGGAGCCUAGAUCGAGAGUUACGAGAUGGCCAUGGAAUUGCUGGAGGUCAGUGAAGCAGCAAUGGCCAAGUACUUCACCAUGAUGUUAGAUGGGACUGCCCGCACUUGGUUGAAAGGGCUACCACCGAACUCCAUCGGGUCUUCGGCUGAGUUGAAGGCUCGGUUCAUCCAAAACUUCAAAGAUACCUGUAGGCAGUCUAUGUCAAUUGUGGAUUUGACUAACUGUAAACAGCAGGAGGGUGAGUCUACGACACAUUGGGUUCACCGGGUCAAGGAGAUAAUACAUUCAUCUGAUAAGAUGGAUGCCGGCUCUGCAGUCUUAAUGUUGGAACAGAAUUGUUGUUUCCUGCCCUUGAAGAUGAAACUCGGGCGGCUUAAACGUGACUGCAAUGAUAUGGGUACGCUGAUGGCGGCUCUCGUCAAGUACGCUGAUUCUGAUAGUACCAAGGACCCCGCUUCAGAUGAUGAAAGGACAGGGAAGGGAAAGAAGAACGGCAAUGGCAAGGGUCCUCAGCAUAACCCGGGGAACCAAGGAUGUGGCAAGCGUAAGGCCGACGCCAGCCUAGAGUUCGUGGCCAACGCCAGCUCACAGGGGAAUAACCAGCGACGCAAGGGAAGGCCACCUCCCCGAGCCGGCGGGUCAGGCCCGACGCUGGAACAACUGUUGAAUGAGCCUUGUCCAAGGCAUGGCUCUAGGGAGAAGCCAGCUACUCAUCUAUGGAAGGAUUGCACAAUCAUGAAAGCCUUUAAGAAUUCCAAUGCCUUUAAUGACAACCAUGGCCCGGGCGGCGGUUCAGGCACUGGCGGUUUUCAUGGCCCGGGCGGCGACUCAAAUUCUAAUCCUCAGAACGGUCAAGGGGGCUUUAAUCAGCAGUCUGGCCAUGGUCAUCAACAGCAGCAGGGGGGUUAUCAGACCAACCCAAAGCAGCUCAACGGGGGACAGUAUCACGUAUUUACCACCAGUCUGUGUAAGCGAGAUCGGAAGCUUCAUAAGAGGGCUAUGAAUGCUGUUGAGCCGGUGACUCCACGCUACUUAAGAUGGUCUGAGCAGCCUAUUGUGUGGAGUAGGGAGGAUCACCCUCCUGGGUUGAUAAUCCGGGUCACUUGGCCCUGGUGGUGGCUCCUCAGGUGGGAGGAUAUAAAUUCACUAAGGUACUCAUGGAUGGAGGCAGCAGCAUCAACAUCCUCUAUUAUGAGACUUUCCGUCGUAUGGGGUUGAUUGAUAAGAACCUCAGCCAGUACAAUACUAUUUUCCAUGGUGUGGUGCCUGGUAAGUCGGCUUAUCCAGUUGGUAAGAUCGAGUUGGAAGUGGCCUUUGGAGACGAGUACAACUACAGGGUGGAAAAAUUGACCUUUGAAGUGGUCAAGAUAAGAAGUCCAUAUCAUGCCAUAUUUGGGCGGCCGGCUUACGCCAAGUUCAUGGCACGGCCGUGUUACGUGUAUUUACAGCUCAAGAUGUCGGGUCACAAUGGGACCAUUACGGUUCAUGGCAGCCGGAAGGUGGCCUUGGAGUGUGAGGAAGGUGAUGCAGCUUAUGCAGAAUCUGUUUGUGCAACAGAGGAGUUGAAAUUUUACAAGGACAAUGUUGACCCAAAAGAUAUGACCUCUCUAAAAAAGCUGACUACGGAGCAAGAGCCGGCAAUGAAAUUUAAGUCGGCUGAUAAGACUAAACUUGUUGAUUUCGUUCCAGGUGAUUCAUCUCAGCAGUUCAGCAUCAGUGCCAAUCUGGAUCCAAAAUAGGAAAGCGCGCUCAUCGAGUUCAUCCGUGAGAAUAGGGACAUCUUUGCAUGGAAGCCUUCUGACAUGUCGGGUGUACCUAGAGAACUCGCUGAGCACACUCUCAAUGUUGAUCCGAAAUUUAAGCCGGUCAGGCAAUUCCUUCGGCGGUUUAAUAAGAGAGGCGGAAAGCCAUUGGUGAAGAGGUGGCCCGGCUCUUGGCGGCCGGGUUUAUUGUUGAAGUCUUUCACCCGGAGUGGCUAGCUAACCCGGUGCUCGUGCUCAAAAAGAAUGGCACCUGGCGGAUGUGUGUGGACUACACGGACUUAAACAAGGCAUGUCUGGCUGAUCCUUUUGCUCUUCCCCGUAUUCAUCAAAUCAUUGAUGCUACGGCGGGUUGCGAGCACUUAAGUUUCUUGGAUGCUUAUUCUGGAUACCAUCAGAUUAAAAUGGCAGUUAAGGACCAGGAGAAGACGGCGUUCAUCACUCCCUUUGGAGCCUUCUGCUAUGUGUCUAUGCCCUUUGGGCUCAAGAGUGCAAAGGCGACUUAUCAGCGUUGCGUGCAGAACUGUCUUCAUAACCAGAUUGGGCGCAAUGUUCACGCCUAUGUGGAUGAUAUUGUGGUUAAGUCCAGGGAGAAGGAAACCUUGAUAGAUGAUCUGAGGGAAACCUUUGAUAAUCUCCGGGUCUACAAGAUGAUGCUUAACCCGGCCAAGUGUGUUUUUGGUGUUCUUGCAGGCAAACUCUUGGGUUUCUUGGUUUCUAAUAGAGGCAUUGAAGCUAACCCGGAGAAGAUCAAGGCAAUCACCUCUCUGGCUAAGCCGGCGUGUAUAAAUGACGUCCAGCGCCUGGCGGGUCGUAUCGCUGCUUUAAGCCGGUUUAUAAGCCGUUUGGGUGAGAAGGCCAUGCCAUUGUACCAGUUGAUGAAGAAAACUGAUAACUUUGUCUGGAAUGAUGCUGCUAAUACUGCUUUUGAGGAUUUGAAGAGACAGCUGGCAGAGCCCCCAGUCCUUGCUGCUCCGGUUGACAAGGAGCCUUUAUUGCUGUAUGUAGCUGCUAACACACGGGCCGUCAGUGUGGCUAUGGUGGUGGAGCGCAAGGAAGAGGGUAAGGAGCACCCGGUUCAGCGGCCGGUUUAUUAAGUCAGUGAAGUGCUCAUCGAGUCCAAACAGCGGUAUCCACAUUGGCAGAAGCUUGUUUAUGGUGUGUUCAUGGCAAGCCGGAAGCUUAAGCAUUAUUUCCAGGGUCACCCUAUCACUGUGGUCAGUUCUGCCCCCCUUGGAGAUAUCAUUCAAAACAGAGAGGCCACAGGGAGAGUGGCUAAGUGGGCUAUAGAGCUCGGAUCUCAUGGUCUGAAAUACGUACCACACACUGCUGUUAAAUCUCAAGCCUUGGUGGAUUUCAUCAACGAUUGGACAGAGCUACAAGUGCCCGAAGAAAAGCCAGAUAACACAUAUUGGACUAUUCACUUCGAUGGGUCCAGGAAAUUGGAGGGCUCGGGGGCUGGAGUUGUAUUGGCUUCCCCUAAAGGUGACAAGUUCCAUUAUGUGCUACGGUUGAUGCUUCCUUGUACUAACAAUGCGGCUGAGUACGAGGCCUUGCUCCAUGGUCUUCGGAUGGCUAAGGAGAUGAGCUUGAGUCGGGUAAGGUGCUUCGGCGACUCAGACUUAGUAGCUCAAAAGUAUCAGGCAAGUGGGAUUCCAAGGACCCUCUCAUGGCGGCUUAUCGCCAUGAAGUUGAUGCUAUUGCUGGACACUUUCAGGGUUACCAAGUAGAGCACAUCGAUUGCAGGAAGAACGAGGCGGCUGAUGCUUUAAGCCGGCUGGGCUCUCAGCGAAAACCGAUGCCGCCUAAUACUUUUCUGGAUGUCUUGCAUAACCCUUCUGUUAAGUUGCCUACAGAGGAAGACUUGGCUGUCCUUGACCCGGAGGCACAGUUGGUGGCGGCUCUCCACAUCACCCCGGACUGGACGGUGCCUUACUUGGCUUACAUGACCCGAGGAGAUUUGCCUGAGGAUGAAACGUUGGCCAGACAAAUAACCCGGUGGUCUAAGUCAAUGGUUGUUAUCAAUGGUGAGCUGCAUCGCCGCAGUGUUACAGGAGCGUUCCAGCAUUGUGUCUCCCCUGAGGAAGGUCAAGAAAUCUUGCGUGAGAUUCACGAAGGGGAUUGUGGCCAUCAUGCCGGCUCAAAAUCCCUUGUUGCAAAGGCUUUUCGUCAUGGUUUUUAUUGGUUGACGGCUCAUGCUGAUGCGGAGGACUUGGUCAGUAAAUGUGACGGUUGCCAGAGGUUCUCACGACGGGCUCAUGUGCCGGCUCAAGAGCUGCGGAUGAUACCAAUCACUUGGCCAUUUGCGGUCUGGGGGCUCGAUAUGGUUGGGCCUUUUAAAAGGUCUAAGGACAAGAAGACCCACCUCUUGGUGGCAGUUGACAAAUUCACAAAAUGGGUGGAAGCAGAGCCAGUUAGCAAGUCUGAUGCAGCCACGGCGGUUCAGUUCAUGAAAAAGGUGAUCUUUCGCUUUGGCUUUCCACACAGCAUUAUAACUGACAAUGGUACCAAUCUGUCCAAGGGCGCCAUGAAGGAGUUUUGUCAAUGAGAGCAUAUUCGACUUGAUGUUUCAUCAGUGGCUCACCGUCAAUCUAAUGGUCAAGCUGAGAGAGCUAAUCAGGAGAUUCUGAAAGGCAUCAAGCCCCGGCUCUUUGUCCCUUUGCAACGGAUGCCGGGUUGUUGGGUGGAGGAGUUACCCUCCGUGUUAUGGAGCAUCAAUACUACUCCUAACAGGUCUACGGGUUACACGCCCUUCUUCAUGGUUUAUGGAGCGGAAGCAGUCCUCCCCAGUGACAUCCGUCAUGACUCGCCUCGAGUGGCGGCUUAUGUUGAGGCGGAUAAUGAACAGGCGCGCCAAGAUGCUCUUGACUUGUUGGACGAACAACGUGAUGUGGCAGCAGCUCGCUCAGCAAUUUACCAACAAGACCUGCGCCGUUAUCACAGUCGCCGGGUUAAAUCCCGGGUCUUCCAGGAAGGUGAUCUGGUGCUCCGGCUCAUCCAAGAUCAAACAGAUGCGCACAAGCUAUCCCCGCCUUGGGAAGGACCCUUUGUGGUCAGCAAGAACUUGCACAACGGGUCAUACUACCUUAUUGACAUUCACGAGCAUAAAGAUUAACGUAAGUCGGAGGAAGAGACCCGUCGGCCGUGGAACGUAGCUCAGCUCCGGCCUUAUUACACUUGAGCCACCGGCUCUCAUAAUGUACAUAUUUCUAUAAGCCGUGUAUAUAUUAUGAUAAGCAAUAAAGCAGGACCUCUGUCCUUUUUUCUCCUCCAAAGGUAAAGGUGUUGUUUCCAUUACAAGAUCACAUGGUAACUUGGAGAUGGAUCCGGCUUAUGAUCGUAUUCGAAUCUAGCCGUACGCAAUAUAAUCACUUGGGGGCUUCCUGUUCAAACAUAGGUCGUAUUCGAACCAAAGAGAACAUAGCUGUCGAUACCCAUUUGAUUGGCAAAGUGCCGAGCUCAUUGGGGAGUCUUCUUUGAUCAUAUUUGAAUCAUAGCUCAACCCCCUUUGGGAACCGACGUGGAUCAUAUUUGAAUCAGCGUCGUUAAACAACUCUUAAGGUCAUUUGGGGGCUUCCUGUUCAAACAUGGGUCGUAUUCGAACCAAAGAGAACAUAGUUGUCGGUACCCUCUUGAUCGGCAUCGCCAAACCCACUGGGGGCUAUAUGAUCGCAUUCGAAUCUUAGCUUAACCCCUUUGGGACGGGUCUCUGGUCGUAUUCGAACCGGAAGCCCUUGAGUUUUGAUUUUCUGAUUUACAACAAGUUCUUCUGGUGCUAUCAACAGUGUACACGGCGGUUUUUGUUCCGCCGGCUUAAGUUUGACUCACGAUGCUAGUCAUGCACAAUCAGCAUUGUCAAGACUGGUAAACCGGAGUUGAGGUACCAACCUUAUUAUCCGGGUUAUAUAAUCUAGAAGUGUACUUGAAGGCCGGUAAGUGUGUUAUUACGGUUAUGUCAAAGACGUAAUUGAGGACCAGUCUUUCGUGACUUAGAUUUAUAUUCCGGGUUAUAUGUAUGAGACUAUGACUCUCAGUGCGGUAAGCCGCCUAGAGACUUGUGAUUUGUUUUUCUAUGCAGGAUAGUUAAAGACAACUAUUUGAGCUUAAGGAAAAUGAAUUAUCAAUUAUGACCCGGAGGAAUAUAAGGAAGCAACUUCAAUGGAAUUAAGCAUUCAGCACGUGCACGAUGGCACGACAAAGUUAAAAUGUUGGUCCUAUUCUAUUACAAGACUCCCCGAGUCCAAAAGGGUGAAACAUUGUUUAACAAGCCGCCUAAAGAGUCAAGAUGCUUGCCAGGACGAAGCUUCCGGCUCAUCCCUCUCCGCUCCUCCGGCUGUUCCCAAGACCUGGAAGGUUGACGAUUUCCAGUCAAUGCCGCUCAAAACUUCAAAUUGAGCAUCCUCGUCAAUUAACCCGGCCGGGUCAAUUUCCGGGGCAAAGGUGUGCUUACGAGUCGGCGGGACUAAGCUGAUGGCUUCGUAACGCGGAGUGGGGAUCCUCUGAUUCUCUGCAUCGUAGCCCGGAUGAUACUUGGUCAGAUCAGUGUCAUUCCCAAUCAGGGUGGCCACCGGGCGCACGAUCUUCACACAGGCAGCAAAGUCCUUUUGGUCGAAAGGGGUGCCGUCUUCCUUCAAGCUGGGGUAACCAAGUGCGAUGUCCGCCGGGUCUAGCUCUGGAAGGAAAGCCUUCGCCCGGCUCAGAGCAGCUAUGGCUCCGGCUCUUGUAGAGGCCUGUCACAGCUCUUGGACACGCUGAGGAAGAACGGCAAGCCGGCGAAGAACUUCCGCCAGGUGAGUCGGAACCUCGUUGGAUAGGGCCACCACGGCCAAAGCGCGCUGUGACCCGGUGUAGAGUUACUCCACCAGGGUGUACACGGCCUUCAGCUUGGUCAGCACGUUCUGAUUGAGGUUGGCGCUUCUGGGACCUGUUUAACAAAGUAAGAUAAUCCGUUCUCAAUGAUGGGAGUUAUGGGACAUAAAGACUGUAAACUUGUUCAAAGCCUGCAGAAGGACUUACCGAAGAUUGCGGUGACCAUUUGUGACACAUGGCGUUUUAAGCCGGAGAGUUCGGCGGUUCUCUCCGUCAGAGCCUUCUCCGCCUGUUCGGCCCGGCUCACCAGAGCAGCCUUCUCUUCGGCCCAAGUUUUCCUUUCAGCUUCAAACGUCUUCUUCAGCUUCUCUUGAGCGGCAAUGCUGGAUUCGAAUUUGGCGUUAGCCGUCCGGGUCUCAGUUUCCUGAGUCGUUAGGCGGUUCUUCAGCUCUGAUAUAUCAGCCUCAAAUUUCUUGCAAAUAGCCUGCACAAUUUCCGGGUUAUAGUAUGAACAGUUAUUAUGCAACUUUAGAGUCCCAAGCAUUUUCCAAGCAAAGACACUUGGCACUUGGGGGCUAAUGCAUGUCGAAAGUUUUCUAUCUACAAAAUUACCAGUUCAUGAGAGUAAGCCGGAAGAUAAGUCUACAACAUAUUCUAUCAUAAGUAGUAGGCUUGGGGGCUAGAGUAUGGUAAAGAUAACUAUGCAGUAAGCAAUAGAGUGGUACCUCAGACUUCUGUUGUAUCUGAUUCACCAUGUUGAUCUCCAAAUCCCGGCUGUUGUGCACCUGACUGACAUAGCCGGAGACGAUCUCUCCGAUGCUCAAGUUAGCAUAGUUGGUGAUGUCCAGCUUGGCCCGGCGGCGCUCUAGCAACUCUUCCUUUGCAGAGCACUUAGCCAAUGCAGUGGGUCUCCCCGGCUCGACAAACUCCGUCCGGGUGAUUACCACGUCCGGGUCAUCGGCCGGCUGAGCCGGGCUGGAGAUGUCCGGGUUGGUGGAAGUCUCCGUGGCUGGCUCAUCGGUUGGGAUGGUGGCUUUAGGGGCAGAGGCAGCUGGCGGCUCUUGAGCUGCAACCUCCGGCUCAGGCAAGACCGGUUCUUUGACCGGCUUGUUCUUUUUUGCUCUUUUACUGAGCUUUGCUUGAGCACUGAAAGGACAUAAGUUUAGUACAAAAGUAUGAGUAAAGAUAAGCAUAACAAGAGAUGAUCAUCAUUUACCCGGGUACGGUCUUGAAAGCCGGCAGGUUCGAUUGCAUAGAUUCGCCAGAGGAGGGUGAAGUUUCCUGAUAAUUUGAAUCAGAAGAAUUGAGCGGUUGACGUAUAACACCCGCCAAAGGAUGAAAAGGAUAUAAGUUGGAGGUGACCUCGGUCCGGCGCUUCCUCGACGCUUCAGGUAAGCCGGAGGAGAGGUCUGCAUCUUUGUUGGUCCGGGUGUGCCGCCGGCUCUCAUGAAUCUGUCGCUUCAAAAGAAAUUGAGGAUCUUGAUAAGCUAAAGGAUGUGAAAAUCUUACUUUCCGGGUUACUCUUCGGACUUUCAGCCUUGGCAAGGGCUCCGAGUCGGAGGAAAGUGUCAUUACCUCUUCAACCACCGGGUUACUUGCUCCGGUGUCGUCCUGCUGAUGACCAGUAUCAAUAAGGUGGACAGGAAUAAACAAGGAAUGCAACAAGAGCUUACAGGUUCAGGGGUUACCUCUGACUCGGAGCUGUCACUUAAUUGAUGCAGCUCUGAGGCAGUAGGCCUGCUUCCCUUCUUGCGGGGAGCGGCUCUCCUGGCGGCUUUCUUAGCCUUCCUGGCUGCCUCAUGGUCAUACUUGACCUUCUAGAAUUUAUCAUCAGCCUGAAAAAUACAAUGAAGAUUUCUUAAGGUUCAGAUGGAAACUAUCUAAAGGAGAAAAUAUGAUAUUCAGAUCAGCGGCUUACCGCUGGGGCCGGGUUGGUCUUGCAGAAGGGGCUUAAGCCGGUCCUGCCGCAGUCUGCCCAGCUCUCGUUCAAGAGGGCCUUGGUCAUGUCUUCAGCAACGUCUUCAGGAAGAUCGUUGCGGCUGUGUCGCAGGGGGUCAUCUUUCCGGCCCGUGUAAUCACACAUUAAGCCGGGGCGGUGGCUCAAGGGAAUCACCCGCCACGAGAUCCAGACCCGGACCAGAUCAAUGCCAUUGAGGCCAUUUCCCAGGAGAGCCUUGAUUUUGUUGAUGGUGGGGAUCAGAGGUUGGCGCUCCGCCUGAGAUAGCUUGUUUGACAGAGGGUGAGUUGGUUCCAGACGCGAGGGACGAAAGCCGGGCAGCGGGCUCUCGUCAGCCGGCGAAGUGUCCUGGCAGUAGAACCACGUCUGGUUCCAGUCCUUUGGAUGGCUGGGCGGCUCAGCGUAAGGAAAGAGGCAGUCUCUCCGGCGUUGAAUGGAGAUUCCACCAAGUUCCAGGCUUGGUCCGUUGGCGCACUCAUUUUGGCGGUUCAAAUAGAAUAGCUCUCUAAAGAGCAGAAGGCUGGGCUCUUCUCCAAGGUAGACUUCGCAGAACAUUUGGAAAUUGCAUAUAUUCGACACAGAAUUGGGUCCUAUGUCUUGUGGCCGCAGAUCAAAGAAAUUCAGCACAUCUCUAAAGAACCUUGAGCCGGGCGGUGCGAAGCCCCGGCUCAUGUGAUCCGCAAAUAUUACCACUUCACCAUCCUUGGGUUGCGGUCUCUCCUCUGACGGGUCAGGGGCACGGUAAGACAUGACAUCCUUUUUGGGCAGGUAGCCCGUCUUCACAAAGCCCGCUAAGGUUUCCUCAGUGACGUUGGACCUCAGCCAGUUGCACGUGAUGAGUGCUUUGGGAGCUUUGGGAGGCAUGGUGAAAGUCGGAAGCCUAUGAUAAAAGGAAAUGUCCGGUUCAAUUAUAAGCCGGAGGAAGUUUACAGUUCAAUGUUUAAAAUGGCGGCUUAUGAAGGGGCCUAAUGACAUAUGGCUAAGUGCAUCGGGUUAUCUAAGCCGCUGCAGGUAGUGAGAGUAAUUCAAAUUGUCUACAGCUUUAUCAUAAAUGAGCCGGCAAAUUUUACGGCGCGUGGCUUCUCUGAGCCGGAAAUAUAAGCCGCCAUAGCUCAGCAGAUGCAGUUUUUUACUAAGUGUGAUGAAAACAAGUUUCACCGAUCGCAGUGAAUAUUUUGGAUCAAAAUGGUUGACUAAAAGGAAAAGUUUCUAGACCUAAACCAGACGCAGAAGAAGUUCAUAGGUUCGAAUGGAGCCUUUAUGUAGGGAAAAGGGAUCUAUAUACAUUGGAAACGGGUGUGAAACAACUACCGCAACAGUCCUCUAUAGUCUACAGAUCAAGAAGGGGUGGUAAUAAUGAAAUCUACCAAGAGCUCGCGAUGAACGACGACGAACACGGGAAGAACAGCAAGAACCCUAAUGCCGGUCUAUUCUACGGAGUAACAAGGGCUUACAGGUACUGGAGAGUUGCGGAGGUCGCCGCCGUUUAUCUGGUCACGUCAGGUUGGUGCAGCGGCCAGAGUCGGAGAAGACAGGAAGACCCGCGGCGGCGGCGGCGAUGGAGCUCGAGCGAGAGAGUAGUGGCGAGAGGAGGAAGACGAGUGGCUGGAGGCUCAUCGGGCCGGACUAUUUAUAAGGUGAGGCUCAUAAGUGGGCGCGAGAAAUGAGGAGGCCACGGCGCGGUAAUCUCACCACAAAAACGCCUCGAUUUUCGGGACGACAGUUAAAGAUAAGAUCCUUUGCGGAUAUGGUGGAGUAAAAAAUGGACUUAAUGGAAGAUGACGUCACGGCGGGUUACCCGGAAUCCAGAAGAUGACAUCACGACGGGUUAUAGCCUUCACACAAUUGUAAGCCGGAGAUUUUCUGUCAAAAGGAUUGAAGAUUGACAUGAGCCGGCUCAAAUCAAUCUGGGGCCUAAUGUUGAGGAUAUAACCCUUAGAGUCACCCGCCCGUAGGGGCCGGGUUACUCAUAAUGGUCAUCGCCUGAAGCCCGGUGCCAAGCUUGAAGACGGCGGGCCAGAGAUGGGCUUAAGACCCGGAGAUGGUUUAAGGCCCAUAGUUGCAACCGCUAUUAUGGUAGAACUUGUAGUGUAAGGCAAGAAUAGUUGAGAGUCCGAGCCGAACACUCUUAUGAGCCGGCCGGGACUCUGAGAGCUGCUGGGCGUCAACCUCUCUAUAUAAAGGGACGACCCGGCGGCGGGUCAAGGAGAAGGAAGAUCUCGUCGAGAGCCAGGCCUAGCAGUUAAGCUCCCUGGUCAUCAAAACCCUAAUCAAUACCACCUCAACUGGACGUAGGCUUUUACCUUCACCGUAAGGGGCCGAACCAGUAUAACCCUCGUGUUCCUUGUCCCAUUUAACCCCUUCAAGCUUCCUAGUUGCGAUGGCUCCACGACUAAGUCCUAGCUCGAGGACAUCUGUCGUGACAAUUCCAUGACAGGAACCAAAUAUAAUAUCAUCAACAUAUAGUUGGCAUACAAACAACUCCCCUUUGACCUUCUUAGUAAAAAGAGUGGGGUCGAUUAGCCCAACUUCAAACCCAUGAUCUUGUAACAACUCGGUAAGGUGGUCAUACCACGCACGUGGGGCUUGUUUAAGGCCAUAGAGUGCCUUAUCGAGUUGAUACACAUGAUCGGGAAAGUAGGGAUCCUCGAACCCGGGGGGUUGCUUGACAUAAACCAACUCAUUAAUGGGACGAUUAAGAAAAGUACUCUUCACAUCCAUUUGUUGCAACUUAAAGUUGUGAUGAGAAGCAUAAGCAAUCAACAACCGAAUAGAUUCAAGGCGAGCAACGGGAGCAAAGGUUUCACCAUAGUCGAUACCCUCGACUUGGGAGUAGCCUUGUGCCACCAAUCGUGCCUUGUUGCGAAUGAUAGUCCCAUGAGCAUCUUGCUUGUUCUUGAAUAUCCACUUGGUUCCAAUGACAUUGUGGUUCCCCGUUGGCCUCGGCACUAAUCUCCACACCUUGUUGUACUCGAAGUUGUUGAGUUCUUCAUGCAUGGCAUUAAGCCAAUCCGGAUCUUCGAGUGCUUCAUAUACCUUAUGGGGUUCAACACAAGAGACAAACGCGUGAUGUUCACAAUAGUUUGCCAAUUGUCUACGAGUGCUUACCCCCUUUUGAAUGCUUCCAAGCACAUUCUUCAUGAGAUGACCCUUGGUGGAGAGCUUGGAUGCAAUCUUGGCAGCACGAUGCUCCAAUUCCUCCUCGGUGGUGAGUCGAGGAGCGGUCACUUGAUCAUCUUGAGCGCCGUCUUGAGCUUGUUCUUGAUCUUGAACUUGAUCGGAGGAGAGAACUUGACCUUGGGCAUCACUUGGUGUGUCACCACCAUCUUGAGCAUGAUCUUGCCCUUGGUCUUGUUCAUGAGGUUGAGGGUCUUCACUUUGUUCUUCGGAAGCGUGUGGGCGUUGGGUUGGUGAUGGCUCCACUUGAGUGGAGCAUUGUCCUUCUCCUUCGGCCACAAGGGGUUCCUCAAUGGGUAGAAUAAAACCAACACCCAUUCUUCUUAUGGCUUGAGGAGGAAUUUCAUCACCUACAUCACAAGUGCCACUUUGCUCCACUUGGGAGUCGUUAUUCUCAUCAAACUCCACGUUACACGUCUCCUCAAUAAGCCCCAUAGAUUUAUUGAGGACACGGUAAGCAUGAGAGUUUGUCGCAUAACCAACAAAUAUGCCCUCAUAAGCUCUAGCCUCAACUUUAGACAACCGAACACCUUUCUUGAGAAUGAAACACUUACACCCGAACACCCGAAAGUACUUGAGGUUGGGCUUGUUACCGGUGAAAAUAUCAUAUGGAGUCUUGUUCAAGCCCUUGCGGAGGUAGAGCCGAUUGGAUGCAUGACACGCGGUGUUGAUGGCUUCGGCCCAAAAGUUGUAUGGAGACUUGAACUCCGCCAUCAUGGUCCUUGCCGCAUCCAUCAACGUCCGGUUCUUCCUCUCCGCAACACCGUUUUGUUGAGGGGUGUAAGGUGCGGAAUAUUGAUGCUUGAUCCCCUCAUCACUAAGAAACUCAUCCAAAGUGUAGUUCUUAAACUCGGUGCUGUUGUCACUUCUUAUUGUCAAGAUCUUUGUAUUGUGUUGACGUUGGGCUUCAUUCGCAAAGUCAAUGACGGUUUGUUGGGUCUCGCUCUUCCUCUUGAAGAAAUACACCCAAGUGUAUCUUGAAUAGUCAUCCACAAUCACCAAGCAAUACUUCCUACCCCCAAGACUAUCAAAGGAUGGAGGCCCAAAGAAUCCAAAUGAAGGAGCUCCAAAGGCCUCUUAGAGUAAAUGAUAGUUGUGGGAGGGUGAGCCGUCUCAUGUAGCUUUCCUUCGAUACAAGCACUGCAGGCACGAUCUUUAGCAAAACUAACAUUCAUUAGUCCACGGACAUGGUCCCCCUUGAGAAGACUUUGCAAAGAUAUCAUAUUGACAUGGGCUAACCGGUGAUGCCAAAGCCAUCCCACGUCAACUUUAGCCAUUAGGCAUGUCGCGGUCUUAGUGGGUCGCUCUGAAAAGUUAAUCACAUAGAGACCGUUCUCGACAUGCCCAACAAAGGCUACUUUAAGAGUCUUGCUCCACAAGAGGGCCACGGUAUCAAUAUCAAAGAAAGUGGCAAAGCCCAUGAUUGCAAGUUGACGAAUGGAAAGUAAAUUGUAUGCAAGGGACUCAACAAGCAUGACCUUCUCGAUCGUGAGAUCAUGAGAAAUGACAACUUUGCCGAGUCCCAAUACCUUAGAAGACGAGGCAUCACCCCACUCGACAUUGAUGGGCAUAGAUGGAAUCUUGUGCACGUCCACCACAAAGUCCUUGCUUCCGGUCAUAUGAUUUGUAGCUCCACUAUCAAGCAACCAUGAUCCCCCACCGGAAGCAAACACCUACAAGAGAUCAAUGCUUGGUUUUAGGUACCCAUUUUGUAAUGGGUCCUUUGAUGUUAGUAAUUAGGGUCUUAGGAACCCAAAUAGACCAUUCAAUAUACUCAUAAGGAGAACCAACAAAUUUGGCAUAAACAUGCCCAUCACUAGCACGGCAUAGCACAUAAGAAGGAUUAAAGUCGCCGGCUUUGUUGGAAGGGGUGCCAUUGCCCUUCUUGACACCGCCACCCUUCGCAUUGUUCUUCUUAUCCUUGGAAGCACCCUCUCCCUCCUUCACAAAAGUUUGCUUGAGAGGAGGAGGUCGUUUGGUCUUGUCAUUCUUCUUCUUGUUCUUGGGCUUGGGUGUGAACCCAAUCCCCUCCUUGGCCAUAACUUCCUUUUGAUUGCUCAAAAGGUCGUUGAGGUUCUUCUCACCUUGUAUGCAUGACACAAUGCCUUUCUCAAGUUGCUCCUUCAACUUAGCAUUCUCCUCAACAAGAUGCACAUGCUCACAACAAGGGUUAGUAGCAUUUGCAUUAUCAAUUAACACCAUAUGAGGAAAGGUGGCUUUCUCCUUAGUUAGCUUCACUUGGAGUUGAUCAUGAGACUCCUUGAGGCUAGCAUGAACACCCUUCAAGACUUUGUGAGCCUUGUCAAGAAUGUCAAACUCCUCUUUGAGUCUAGCAAGAUCAACCCCAAGCUUUGGCUUCUCGGAGUUUAGCACACGAGACACAACAAGAGCAUGAUCAAGAUCUUUCUUUAACUUAGCAUGAUCAUUGUUGUAUGACUCCUCAAAGACAAACGAAGACCACGCUCUUCGUCAAGAGCAUUGGAAAGAUCCGAAAUCUCAUCGGCAUAGUCACGACUAUGCCCCUCCAUCUUAGAGAUGGUAUCUUCGUGAGCCUCGAUCAUGUCAUUGGCUUCACCAAGUUGUUCCAAGAGAGCAACGAAGUGCUUCUUGGAUUUACCCUUGAGUUUACUCAUAAAGGUCUCAAACUCAUUUUCCUCCACAUUUGUCCCCUCAUAUUCAUCAAUGCUAUCCGUCGAAGAAGGAUGAUUAAUGAUGGUAGUUUUGAUGUUGGGGGUUACCUUGUUGGUGGCUUUAGCCAUGAGGCAUUUGGCGAUGAUGUUCUCAUUGGGUGAGUUGAAGAGAGACAUCCGUGGAGUCAUUGCAAUGGCAACGGAGGCCAUAGCAACCGACUCACCAUCUUCAUCAUCGUCAUCAUCCUCAUUGUACUCUUCUUGUACCACCAAUGCCUUGGGAGGAGUCUUCUUGGUGAAGUUGCUCUUGUUGGGGAAUGACUUGCCCUUGUCCUUUCGGAUGAGCUUGCCACCAUUGUCUUCCCUCUUCUCGUAAGGGCAUUCCGCAACAAAGUGGCUCACAUUGCCACAAUUGAAGCAAGUCCUCACUCAUUGCUUGCCCUUUGCGCCACUUGAAUAGUUCUUGUUGAAGUUUGGCCUUGAGUUCUUCUUGCUCCAAAAUUGCCUUGAAGCAAGAGCCAUGUGUUCAUGAUAGGCAUACUUCGUAUCUUCGAGGUUGCUCUCCUCUUCUUCCUCUUCAUCCUCUUUCUCCAUACUCACCUUGGCCUUUAGUGCAAGGUUGGCCUUCUUUACUCUUUGAGAGCGAAGAACCGCAUUGUCGGCGGUCUUGUCCAAGAUGCUCAUAGCAACGAACUCAUCCAACACUUCACUUGAGGACAAGGUGUGGAAGUCCGGCCUUUGACGCAUGACGGAGGACAUGGCUUUGUGGUAGGUCAUCAUUGCCUUGAGGAAUUUGCGCUCGAUCCAAUUUUCAUCCGUGUCCUUACUACCAUGAUCUCGGAGAGAGACCGCGAGUUUGGUUACUCUCCGAAAAAGCUCACGAGGUUCUUCAUCUUCUUUCAUUGCAAACUCGUCGGCUUCAUCUUGCACCACUUCAUAGUUGGAGCGUUGAAUGCUUGCGCUUCCCCGAUAGAGGGAAACAACUUGGAGCCAAGCAUCUUUGGCCACGGUGUAAGGCCGGAGAUGAGGAAGAUCUUCGGGUGGGAUUGCUUCUUGGAUGAUGAAGAGAGCAUUCUCAUUGAAUUGAUGAUCCACAACUUCUCUAGGAGUGAAGUUACUUCGGUCAUGCGGAUAAAAACCUUCUUCAAUGAUUCUCCAAAGGUUAGUGUUCACAUGAUUUAAAUGACGCUUAAAACGAUAGAUCCAAGAAUCAAAAUCUACAUUCUUCUCAAUCUUAGGGGCCGGGCCGACAUGAUUCAAAUGAGUGGAAGGGAGCGUUCCACCAUAGACAGGUGGAGGUUCCACAUGGGCAAAGAUGCCAGUGCCAUUUUUACCACUAGAAGAAGGAGCUUUCUCGCUAGUAGCUUCCCCUUUGUCGGAGGUAGCAUCCGUCACCUUGUUGGCGGGACCACCCACUUUCAAUGGUGCGGUGGAAAGUUUAAGCCCUUCUAAGUAUUUAUUAAACAUGCUUUCGACCUCGGUAGUCAUGGAGGUUUUCAAUGUGUCCAACGCCACAUUUAAUUCCUCACGAGAGACCGCGGUUCCCCCAUCUCCCGUAAACGAGACCGGAUUCACACCGGAGUGCUCCUCCACACCGUCUACGACGUCAACCAUACUCUUCGGACGGUAAAGUCCUUAAUAAAGAGACAAGGCUCUGAUACCAAUUGAAAGGAUCGAUAUAGUUGACUAGAGGGGGGGUGAAUAGGCAACUAACAAAUUUUAACUUUUCUUUACCAAUUUAAACUUUGCAUCAAAGUAGGUUUUCUAGAUAUGCAACUAGGUGAGCAACCUAUAUGAUGCAACAACAAUAAGCAUACACGCAAGCAAGAGAUAAGGCAUAAAUAAGUUUGCACAAGUAAAUGCACGAGAUAACCAAGAGUGGAGCCGGUGAAGACGAGGAUGUGUUACCGAAGUUCCUUCCCUUUGAGAGGAAGUAUGUCUCCGUUGGAGCGGUGUGGAGGCACAAUGCUCCCCAAGAAGCCACUAGGACCACCAUAUUCUCCUCACGCCCUCACACAAUGCGAGAUGCCGUGAUUCCACUAUUGGUGCCCUUGGAGGCGGCGACCGAACCUUUACAAACAGGGUUGGGGCAAUCUCCACAACUUAAUUCGAGGCUCCCAAUGACACCACGAAGCUUCACCACAAUGGACUAUGGCUCCAUGGUGACCUCAACCGUCUAGGGUGCUCAAACACCCAAGAGUAACAAGAUCCACAAGGGAUUAGUGGGGGAAUUCAAAUAUCUCUUGGUGGAAGUGUAGAUCGGGGCCUCCUCAACCAAUCCCUAGAGAAUCAACAAGUUUGAUUGGCUAGGGAAGGAGAUCGGGCGAGAAUGGAGCUUGGAGGUGGAAGAGGUAGUCAACUAGAGGAGGAAGACACCCCUUAUAUAGUGGAAGAACAAAUCCAACCGUUAUCCACCAACUCAGCCUGCGCAGCGCGGUACUACCGCACCUGAGGCGUGGUACUACCACAGGGGCACGCGGUACUACCGCACCUGAGGCGCGGAACUACCGCAGGGGCACGCGGUACUACCGCAGAGCCCCGCGGUACUACCGCCCAUGCAGCAGAGACCAGAACAGCCACAUAUGCACUAAGGCAGAGGGUGGUAGUACUGCUGGCGCGGUACUACCACUCCCCCUUGCGGUACUACCACAAGGCAGGGGCUGUCCACAGAUGGGAAGGCACGGAUAUAAAAAAUUACAACCGUGGCUACUUUCGCAGAGUUGGAGUCGAUGCAAAAACCCGACGCGGUAGUACCGUAAGCCAGCCGCGGUACUACCACGCGAGGUGCGGAUGUAAAAAAUUACAUCCGCCCAUUACAGCCACGUAGUUGCGGAACUAAGCAGGGACCACGGUACUACCGCUUACCAGAAGCGGUACUACCGUGGGGCCUUGCGGUACUACCACACCAGCGGGCGGUACUACCGCAAGGUCCUGCGGUACUACCGCUCUGACGAGCAGUACUACCGCACUUCCUAGUUCGGCAGACAAGAGCUAUAAUUGCAUAGACAAGGAAAACUUAGGAUGCUCCAAAGGCAAGAGGAAAGGAGGUGCAAGGGGCGAUGUGUACGUGAUGAAUCCACCCAACCUUUCCAAAGCGGACCCCCUCUUAAUAGUACGGCUUCCCUACGACUCAAUACCACCGAAAAGAACCGAAGAGAAAUGUCGUCUUCUAUAGCCUUUGAGGGGAACCCAAUCAUCUUGUGCCUAGUCAAUAUAUCUGAAAUAUUUGAUGCACAUGAUUAGUCCACAAAAGCAUUGUCAUCAAUCACCAAAACCAACUAAGGGAUAAAAAUGCCCUUACAAAAGCGUAACCCCCAAAUGAUAGCGGUAAAUCAGUAAGAGACAUCAUAGAUCGCACCAUAGCUAAUAAAGUGCGGUUACAACGUUCGAACACAACAUUACGCUGUGGUGUUCCGGGUGGCGUGAGUUGCGAAACUAUUCCGCAUUGUUUCAAAUGAAGACCAAACUCGUAACUCAAAUAUUCUCCUCCACGAUCAUAUCGUAGAAACUUGAUUUUCUUGUUACGAUAUUUUUUCACUUCACUCUGAAAUUCUUUGAACUUUUCAAAUGUUUCAGACUUAUGUUUUAUCAAGUAGAUAUAUCCAUAUCUCCUCAAAUCAUCUGUGAAGGUCAGAAGAUAACGAUACCCGCCGCGAGCCUCAAUAUUCAUUGGGCCACAUACAUCAGUAUGUAUGAUUUCCAACAAAUCUGUUGCUCACUCCAUUGUUCCAGAGAACAGAGUUUUAGUCAUCUUGCCCAUAAGGCAUGGUUCGCAAGUACCAAGUGAUUCCAAAAGUCCAUGGAGUUUCUUCAUGCGCUUUACACAAAUAUGACCCAAACGGCAGUGCCACAAAUAAGUUGCACUAUCAUUAUCAACUCUGCAUCUUUUGGCUUCAAUAUUAUGAAUAUGUGUGUCACUACUAUCGAGAUUCAAUAGACCACUCUUCAAGGGUGCAUGACCAUAAAAGAUAUUACUCAUAUAAAUAGAACAACCAUUAUUCUCGGAUUUAAAUGAAUAACCGUCUCACAUCAAACAAGAUCCAGAUAUAAUGUUCAUGCUUAACGCUGGCACCAAAUAACAAUUAUUCAGGUCUAAAACUAAUCCCGAAGGUAGAUGUAGAGGUAGCGUGCCGACGGCGAUCACAUCGACUUUGGAACCAUUUCCCAUGCGCAUCGUCACCUCGUCCUUAGCCAAUCUUCACUUAAUCUGUAGUCCCUGUUUCGAGUUGCAAAUAUUAGCAACAGAACCAGUAUCAAAUACCCAGGGACUACUGCAAGUCUUAGUAAGGUACACAUCAAUAACAUGUAUAUCACAUAUACCUUUGUUCACCUUGCCAUCCUUCUUAUCCGCCAAAUACUUGGGGCAGUUCCGCUUCCAGUGACCAGUCCCUUUGCGUUAGAAGCACUCAGUCUCAGGCUUAGGUCCAGACUUGGGCUUCUUCACUUGAGCAGCAACUUGCUUGCCAUUCUUCUUGAAGUUCCCCUUCUUCCCUUUACCCUUUUUCUUGAAACUGGUGGUCUUGUUGACCAUCAACACUUGAUGCUCCUUCUUGAUUUCUACCUCCGCAGCCUUUAGCAUUGCGAAGAGCUCGGGAAUCAUCUUAUCCAUCCCUUGCAUGUUAUAGUUCAUCACGAAGCUUUUGUAGCUUGGUGGCAGUGAUUGAAGAACUCUGUCAAUGACACUAUCAACUGGAAGAUUAACUCCCAGCUGAGUCAAGUGAUUAUGAUACCCAGACAUUUUGAGUAUAUGCUCACUGACAGAACUAUUCUCCUCCAUCUUGCAGCUAUAGAACUUAUUGGAGACUUCAUAUCUCUCAAUCCGGGCAUUUGCCUGAAAUGUUAACUUCAACUCCUGGAACAUCUCAUAUGCUCCAUGACGUUUGAAACGUCGUUGAAGUCCCGGUUCUAAGCCGUAAAGCAUGGCACACUGAACUAUCGAGUAGUCAUCAGCUUUGCUCUGCCAGGCGUUUACAACGUCCGGCGUUGCUCCUGCAGCGGGUCUUGCACCUAGCGGUACUUCCAGGACGUAAUUCUUCUAUGCAGCAAUGAGGAUAAUCCUCAAGUUGGGGACCCAGUCCGUGUAGUUGCUACCAUCAUCUUUCAACUUAGCUUUCUCCAGGAACGCAUUAAAAUUCAAAGGAACAGUAGCACGGGCCAUUGAUCUACAACAACAUAGACAUGCAAAAUACUAUCAGGUACUAAGUUCAUUAUAAAUUAAAGUUCAAUUAAUCAUAUUACUUAAGAACUCCCACUUAGAUAGACAUCCCUCUAAUCAUCUAAGUGAUCACGUGAUCCAAAUCAACUAAACCAUGUCCGAUCAUCACAUGAGAUGGAGUAGUUUUCAAUGGUGAAUAUCACUAUGUUGAUCAUAUCUACUAUAUGAUUCACGCUCGACCUUUCGGUCUCAGUGUUCCGAGGCCAUAUCUGCAUAUGCUAGGCUCGUCAAGUUUAACCCGAGUAUUAUGUGUGUGCCAAACUGGCUUGCACCUGUUGUAUGUGAACGUAGAGCUUAUCACACCCGAUCAUCAUCUGGUGUCUCGGCACGACGAACUUUCGCGACGAUGCAUACUCAUGGAGAACACUUGUACCUUGAAAUUUAGUGAGAGAUCAUCUUAUAAUGCUACCAUCGAACUAAGCAAAAUAAGAUGCAUAAAGGAUAAACAUCACAUGCAAUCAAUAUAGGUGAUAUGAUAUGGCCAUCAUCAUCUUGUGCCUUUGAUCUCCAUCUCCAAAGCACCGUCAUGAUCACCAUUGUCGCCGACGCGACACCUUGAUCUCCAUCGUAGCAUCGUUGUCGUCUUGACAACUAUUGCUUCUACGACUAUCGCUACCGCUUAGUGAUAAAGUAAAGCAAUUACAUGGCGAUUGCAUUUCAUACAAUAAAGCGACAACCAUAUGGCUCCUGCCAGUUACCGAUAACUAUGUUACAAAACAUGAUCAUCUCAUACAAUAAAAUUUAGCAUCAUGUCUUGACCAUAUCACAUCACAACAUGCCCUGCAAACACAAGUUAGAAGUCCUCUACUUUGUUGUUGCAAGUUUUACGUGGCUGCUACGGGCUGAGCAAGAACCGUUCUUACCUAUGCAUCAAAACCACAACGAUUUUCCUCAAGUGUGUUGUUUUAACCUUCAACAAGGACCGGGCAUAGUCACACUAGAUUCAACUAAAGUUGGAGAAACUGACACCCGCCAGCCACCUGUGUGCAAAGCACGUCGGUAGAACCAGUCUCGCGUAAGCGUACGCGUAAUGUUGGUCUGGGCCGCUUCACCCAACAAUACCGCAGAAUCAAAGUAUGACAUGCUGGUAAGCAGUAUGACUAUUAUCGCACACAACUCUUUGUGUUCUACUCGUGGAUAUAACAUCUACUCAUAGACCUGGCUCUGAUACCACUAUUGGGGAACGCAGUAAUUUCAAAAAAAUUCCUACGCACACGCAAGAUCCACCUAAGUGAUGCAUAGCAACGAGAGGGGAGAGUGUUGUCCACGUACCCUCGUAGACCGAAAACGCAAGCGUUAUGACAACGCGGUUGAUGUAGUCGCACAUCUUCACGAUCCGACCACUACUAGAAAAAAGGCUAUAGCUAAUAUGGACAUUAAUGGCGCACCAAGUAUGUGGUGCACCACUGCUAUAUAGCAGUGGCACACCAUAUAUAGGUACGCCAUUAGUGUCCAUAUCACUAAUGGCGCACCACAACCACGGUGCGCCACUACUAACAAUUUUUUUUUUCAAAACUAGUAAUGGUGCACUAGGGGAUAGUGCGCCAUUACUAGUUUUAACAUGUAAUGGCGCACCACACACUCUGUGCGCCACUACUAACAAUUGUUUGUUUACUCUCUUUUUUUCAAAACUAGUAAUGGCGCACCUGGGGAUAGUGUGCCAUUACUAGUUUUAACUAGUAAUGGCACACCACAACCACGGUGCAGAUCGUCGCCAACAUCGUCAUCAACACUGUUGCACCCAUAAUAGCUAACGAUCAGUAUGUCCAACAUCCUCUGUUCAUGUCUGUUUCUACAGCUAUUGUUACGUGUUUGCUGCUGUUAUGCAUGUCUUGCUGUUCUUCUAGUUUGCUAGAUUAUUGCAUGCUAGUAUCUCUUCUAGUCAUGAAUUAUUUACUGGAAUUAAUCAUGAACUUGCCUGAUAUUCCAACAAUCCAAAAACCUAAUUAUAGGCAAUUUCCUGAGUUAACUAUGGCUGGAUUCGCUGAUGCACAGAGACCGGAUAAGUUUACCGGUGUGCACUUUAAGAGGUGGCAGGUGAAGACCACGCUCUGGUUUACUGCUCUGAAAGUUUUCCACGCUAGUGUUGGUGCUCCAGAGGGAAUGACCGACGAAGAUAGGAGAAAAUUCCAGGAAGCCAAUACUAUGUUUGUGGGAUGCAUUUUGAGUGUUCUUGCUGACCGUCUGUGUGAUGUGUACAUGCACACAAAUGACGGAAAAAUUCUGUGGGAUGCACUGAAUGCAAAAUUCGGUGCAACAGAUGCAGGCAGUGAACUGUACAUCAUGGAGAGUUUUCAUGACUACAAGAUGGUGAAUAACCGUUCUGUGGUUGAACAAGCUCAUGAGAUACAGUGCAUUGUGAAGGAACUUGAACUCCUUAAAUGUGUUCUACCCGACAAAUUCGUGGCUGGGUGCAUGAUUGCAAAGUUGCCUCCUUCAUGGAGGAAUUUCGCCACAACUCUGAAGCAUAAGAGACAGGAGAUAUCAGUUGAAAAUCUGAUUGCAUCUCUUGAUGUUGAAGAAAAAGCUCGGGCUAAAGAUACCACUGAAAAAGGAGGUGAGGUUCAGCCUACUGCUAACAUGGUGCAUAGGUACCCACAGAACAAGAACAAAGGGAAGAACAAACCUGUUUUCAACAAGCCUACCAAGACUACUACCUUCAAGAAGAAGAAGUUCAACAAGGCUGAGCUAGAGUGCUAUGCCUGUGGGAAGCCUGGACACUUUUCCAAGGAAUGCCCUGAACGUGCAGAACGCAGAGGGAAAACAAGCUCCAAGACUGUCAACAUGGUGACCGCUAGCAAUACUGAUGGGUAUGGUAAUUUACCUAUUGUGCUUUCAGUAUUUCAAUCAUCUUCGUGGUGGAUUGAUUCGGGUGCUAACGUUCAUGUGUGUGCUGACAUCUCCCUGUUUACUUCUUAUCAGGUCGCAAGGGAUUCUUCCGUCCUAAUGGGGAAUGGGUCACAUGCUUCUGUUCGUGGCAUUGGCACGAUGGAUCUGAAGUUUACUUCGGGAAAGAUCGUGCAACUAAGGAACGUGCAGCAUGUCCCUACUAUGAACAAGAAUCUAGUUAGCGGCUCCCUUCUAUGUCGAGAUGGAUUUAAGGUAGUUUUAGAGUCCAAUAAAGUAAUUGUGUCAAGAUUUGGACAAUUUAUAGGAAAAGGCUAUGAGUGCGGAGGCUUGUUCCGCUUUUCUCUUCCAGAUUUUUGCAAUAAGUCAAUAAACCAAAUUUGUGCUAGUGUUAAUGAUGAUGCAAGUAUUUGGCACUCUCGUUUAUGUCAUAUUAAUUUUUGUUUAAUGUCUCGGCUAUCCAGCAUGAGUUUAAUUCCGAACUUCACAGUUGCCAAAGGUUCUAAGUGCCAUAGUUGUGUGCAAUCUAAGCAACCUCGAAAGCCUCAUAAGGCUGCCGAGGAGAGAAACUUGGCACCUCUAGAACUCAUACAUUCUGAUCUUUGUGAGAUGAAUGGUGUGUUGACAAAAGGUGGAAAGAGAUAUUUCAUGACUUUGAUUGAUGAUGCGACUAGAUUUUGCUAUGUUUAUUUGUUGCAAACUAAAGAUGAAGCAUUAGACUACUUUAAAAUCUAUAAAGCUGAAGUUGAAAAUCAACUAGAGAGAAAGAUCAAGCGUCUUAGGUCCGAUCAUGGUGGAGAGUAUUUUCCAAAAGUUUUUGAUGAAUUUUGUGAGGAACAUGGUAUUAUUCAUGAGAGGACGCCUCCCUAUUCACCUCAAUCAAAUGGAGUGGCCGAGAGGAAAAACCGCACAUUGACUGACUUGGUGAAUACCAUGUUAGACACUUCUGGUUUGUCUAAGGCAUGGUGGGGGGAGGCUCUAUUGACUUCAUGUCAUGUCCUGAAUAGAGUUCCCAACAAUAAUAAAGAGAAAACCCCUUAUGAGGAGUGGGUUGGGAGAAAACCAUCACUUUCUUAUUUGCGCACUUGGGGAUGUUUGGCAAAGGUCAAUAUUCCUAUUCCUAAGAAACGCAAACUUGGACCAAAGACAGUGGAUUGUGUCUUUCUAGGGUAUGCUCAACGGAGCAUUGCUUAUAGGUUUUUAGUGGUAAAAUCUGAAGUACCUGAUAUGCAUGUUGAUACUAUAAUGGAAUCUCAUGAUGCAACAUUUUUUGAGAACAUAUUUCCUAUGAAAGAUAUGCAUAGCAUUGCUAGAUUUUCUUCUGAGAUAAUUCCUGAAUCUAGUACAACUGAUGAAUAUUUCGAACAAUCACAUGAGGAAGUCCUUGAGAAGGAUAACAAUGAAGUUCCUAGAAGGAACAAGAGACAAAGGAUUGCAAAAUCCUUUGGUGAUGAUUUCAUUGUAUACCUUGUGGACGACACACCCAAGACGAUUGCAGAAGCAUAUGCAUCUCCGGAUGUAGAUGAUUGGAAAGAAGCUGUUCAUAAUGAGAUGGACUCAAUUCUUUCUAAUGGAACUUGGGAACUAACUGAUAGACCAUAUGGUUGUAAACCUGUGGGUUGUAAGUGGGUGUUCAAAAAGAAGCUAAAGCCUGAUGGUACUAUUGAUAAGUACAAGGCGCGGCUAGUGGCCAAGGGCUACACUCAGAAAGAAGGCGAAGAUUACUUUGACACCUAUUCACCCGUUGCUAGAAUGACCACCAUUCGAGUGUUACUUUCCUUGGCUGCCUCUUAUGGUCUUAUCAUUCAUCAAAUGGAUGUAAAGACAGCUUUUCUCAAUGGAGAGUUGGAAGAGGAGAUCUAUAUGGAUCAGCCUGACGGGUUUGUGGUAAAGGGUGAAGAGAGAAAGGUGUGCAAGUUGUUAAAAUCUUUGUAUGGUCUGAAACAGGCACCUAAGCAAUGGCAUGAGAAGUUUGAAAGAACUUUGACUUCUGCAGGAUUUGUCAUUAACAAGGCUGAUAGGUGUGUUUACUAUCGCCAUGGUGGGGGCAAUAGUGUCAUAUUAUGUUUGUAUGUGGACGACAUACUGAUCUUUGGUACAAACAUUAAUGCAAUUAAUGAGGUCAAGUCUUUUCUAUCAAAAAGUUUUGACAUGAAAGAUCUGGGAGAAGCCGAUGUAAUUCUAAACAUCAAACUUAUUAAGGAUGAGAGUGGGAUUACAUUAACGCAAUCUCACUAUGUUGAGAAGGUCUUGAACCGAUUCGGUUUUAUGGAUAGCAAGCCUUCUCCAACACCUUAUGAUCCCAGCGUGACACUCAGAAAGAACAAGAAAGAAACGAGAGAUCAAUUAAGAUACUCUCAAAUUGUCGGUUCACUCAUGUACUUAGCUAGCGCUACAAGACCAGAUAUCUCUUUUGCUGUGAGCAAACUGAGUAGGUUCAUGUCCAACCCGGGUGAUGAUCAUUGGCAUGCACUAGAAAGGGUCUUGCGCUAUCUGAGAGGUACUAUGAGUUACGGAAUUACUUAUUCAGGGCAUCCUGCUGUGCUAGAAGGAUAUAGUGAUUCAAAUUGGAUCUCCGAUGUUGAUGUACUUUACGCAACAAGUGGGUAUGUAUUUACUCAUGGUGGUGGUGCAGUGUCAUGGAGGUCUUGCAAGCAAACCAUAUUGACGAGGUCAACUAUGGAAGCAGAAUUAACUGCUUUGGACACAGCUACUGUUGAGGCAGAAUGGCUGCGUGAGCUCUUGAUGGACUUGCCGGUUGUUGAAAAACCUACCGGCUAUUCUUAUGAAUUGUGAUAACCAAACGGUUAUCGCUAAAGUGAACAAUUCUAAAGAUAAUGCAAAGUCAUCAAGACACGUGAAAAGACGUUUGAAGUCUGUCAGGAAGUUGAGAAACUCCGGAGUAAUAACUGUUACGUAUAUACAAACAGACAAAAACCUGGCAGAUCCCUUUACAAAGGGACUAUCAUGAAAUGUGAUAGAUAUUGCAUCGAGGGAGAUGGGUAUGAGACCCAUAGAUGUUACACCAUAGUAGUAACCCAACCUUUGUGAUUGGAGAUCCCGUGAAUUAGGAUCUGGGAAGAACAAGCUAUUGGUUAACUGAGGAGAGUAAUAACUUAUGAUCGUCUCCAAGUGAAGAUGCAAAACUCUCAGAGCUGUAAGGCUCAGAUCUGUAAGGCAGGUCGGCAACAUGCCUUAAUGUGGUUCUAUUGGCUAUAAUUAGCAAAGAUGCUGUCCUACAGAGCAGUCUUGAAAGAACACACCUAUAUGAGUUCUGACUGUAAAUGUCGCAGUCUAUGAGAUUGGGGUGAUCUCUAGUAAACUCACAAAGAGACCAGGGAGUAUGACGUAUAAGCUCCAAACCGCGGGGUAGCCUACUGGCGGUCAGGUACUGGUUAAGACUUUGAGUGAAACCUAUUCACACAAAACUAGCAAUUCAAGGCAUAGUCCAUUGUCAAGUUGUGAAUGGAUGUAGCUUAAAGUUCUAGGCAGAAGUUCAACUUAACAGUCUCUGCUGAAACACUGGUAUAUUAAACAAGUGGUGAGAGAAGGAAAAUCUCUAAAUGGGUAUUUGAGAUCUGGUGGGGGAUUGUUAGAAUUAAUGGGCUAGGCCCAUAGCAAUUUCUGAAAUCUCAAAGCCCAUGUGUAAAAUGGCAAGUGGUGGUGCUAAGUUUAGUCCCACCUUGGAAGUUGAAGAAGAGUUGGACCUCUUUAUAUAGUGGGUUCUCUCCACCACUCUAAGUGGUGUGUGAGAAGAGAAAGGUAAAACCUCACGCGCGCGCUCGCUCGCCUCGCUUCGCCUGGCCUGGCCGGGCCGGGCCGGGGCAUGGCGAGGCGAGGCGGCGCGUACAUGCGACAUGCGCGUGAAUGGUCCGCCGAAAUCCGGUCCGUCUCCUUGCAGGAGCGCAGCUUCCUUUUGCCGUUUUAUUUUUAUGUCUUGGCAGACAAGUUUUUGAUUUCUUGUCCGGUAAGUAUACGAAUUAGAAACCGAGUCGGUUUGGGAUUGUGGUCGUGACACAAUAUCGCCUCUGGUCCUAAUAUAUAUAUAGCUACCGGCUGCGGCCAGAGACACACCGAAAAACACCUAGGGUUUUGCCUCAUCUCACAACUUGCGCCGCCAUCGUAGUCUACUCCAUCCCAAACGCCCGCGUGCAUCGGCGCGUGGGAGAGCAGGUCUCCGGAACCGUUCGUCUUUGCGAUCCUGCACCGGGAGAGGACGAAUUAGGUUUUUGGGAAGCGUUGUGCGCGACUGCUCAAAUUCGUUAUCACGGGUCGUCUUCCGUCCAAGUCGGGCGGUGCUACUCAUCAUCGUAUUCAUCGCCGUCAGCAGCAGAUCGUCGCCAACAUCGUCAUCAACACUGUCGCACCCAUAAUAGCUAACGAUCAGUACGUCCAACAUCCUCUGUUCAUGUCUGUUUCUACAGCUAUUGUUACGUGUUUGUUGCUGUUAUGCAUGUCUUGCUAUUCUUCUAGUUUGCUAGAUUAUUGCAUGCUAGUAUCUCUUCUAGUCAUGAAUUAUUUACUGGAACUAAUCAUGAACUUGCCUAAUAUUCCAACAAUCCAAAAACCUAAUUAUAGGCAAUUUCCUGAGUUAACUAUGGCUGGAUUCGCUGAUGCACUGAGGCUGGAUAAGUUUACCGGUGUGCACUUUAAGAGGUGGCGGGUGAAGACCACGCUCUGGCUUAUUGCUCUGAAAGUUUUCCACGCUAGUGUUGGUGCUCCAGAGGGAAUGACCGACGAAGAUCGGAGAAAAUUCCAGGAAGCCAAUACUAUGUUUGUGGGAUGCAUUCUGAGUGUUCUUGCUGACCGUCUGUGUGAUGUGUACAUGCACAUAAACGACAGAAAAAUUCUGUGGGAUGCACUGAAUGCAGAACUCGGUGCAACAGAUGCAGGCAGUGAACUGUACAUCAUGGAGAGUUUUCAUGACUACAAGAUGGUGAAUAACCGUUCUGUGGUUGAACAAGCUCAUGAAAUACAGUGCAUUGUGAAGGAACUUGAACUCCUUAAAUGUGUUCUACCCGACAAAUUCGUGGCUGGGUGCAUGAUUGCAAAGUUGCCUCCUUCAUGGAGGAAUUUCGCCACAACUCUGAAGCAUAAGAGACAGGAGAUAUCAUUUGAAAAUCUGAUUGCAUCUCUUGAUGUUGAAGAAAAAGCUCGGGCUAAAGAUACCACUGAAAAAGGAGGUGAGGUUCAGCCUACUGCUAACAUGGUGCAGAGGUACCCACAGAACAAGAACAAAGGGAAGAACAAACCUGUUUUCAACAAGCCUACCAAGACUACUACCUUCAAGAAGAAGAAGUUCAACAAGGCUGAGCUAGAGUGCUACGCCUGUGGGAAGCCUGGACACUUUUCCAAGGAAUGCCCUGAACGUGCAGACUGCAGAGGGAAAACAAGCUCCAAGACUGUCAACAUGGUGACCGCUAGCAAUACUGAUGGGUAUGGUAAUUUACCUAUUGUGCUUUCAGUAUUUCAAUCAUCUUCGUGGUGGAUUGAUUCGGGUGCUAACGUUCAUGUGUGUGCUGACAUCUCCCUGUUUACUUCUUAUCAGGUCGCAAGGGAUUCUUCCGUCCUAAUGGGGAAUGGGUCACAUGCUUCUGUUCGUGGCAUUGGCACGGUGGAUCUGAAGAUUACUUCGGGAAAGAUCGUGCAACUAAGGAACGUGCAGCAUGUCCCUACUAUGAACAAGAAUCUAGUUAGCGGCUCCCUUCUAUGUUGAGAUGGAUUUAAGGUAGUUUUAGAGUCCAAUAAAGUAAUCGUGUCAAGAUUUGGACAAUUUAUAGGAAAAGGCUAUGAGUGCGGAGGCUUGUUCCGCUUUUCUCUUUCAGAUUUUUGCAAUAAGUCAAUAAACCAAAUUUGUGCUAGUGUUAAUGAUGAUGCAAGUAUUUGGCACUCUUGUUUAUGUCAUAUUAAUUUUGGUUUAAUGUCUCGGCUAUCCAGCAUGAGUUUAAUUCCGAACUUCACAGUUGCCAAAGGUUCUAAGUGCCACAGUUGUGUGCAAUCUAAGCAACCUCGAAAGCCUCAUAAGGCUGCCGAGGAGAGAAACUUGGUGUCGUGGUUCUAAGCCUGACAGUAGAGUGGGGGUAGGUAUGGAGAGGCAAGGUCCUAGCUAUGGAGAGGUUGUAAACACAAGGGAUGUACGAGUUCAGGCCCUUCUCGGAAGAAGUAAUAGCCCUACGUCUCGGAGCCCGGAGGCGGUCGAGUGGAUUAUGAGUAUAUGAGUUACAAGGUGCCGAACCCUUCUACCUGUGGAGGGGGGUGGCUUAUAUAGAGUGCGCCAGGACCCCAGCCAGCCCACGUAGGAGAGGGUUUAAGGUGAGUUAAGUCUGGGGCGUUACUGGUAACGCCCCACAUAAAGUGUCUUUACUAUCAUAAAGCCUACUUAAUUACAGGCCGUUGCAGUGCGGAGUGCCUCUUGACCUCCUGGUGGUCGAGUGAGUCUUCGUGGUCGAGUCCUUCAAGUCAGUCGAGUGAGUCCCUCGUUGGUCGACUGGAAGGCGACCUCUUCUAAGGGUGUCCUUGGGUAAGGUACUUAGAUCAGGUUCGUGACCCUACCCUAGGUACAUGACCCCAUCAUUAGCCCCCGAAUGGAUUGAGGCUUCGAGUGAGGAAGGAGUUGAUGUUGUUUCCGAUUAACCUUUGCACACUGGUCGUGCGUUGUUCUGGAUCAAAGAAUCUCUUCGUCGAUAGUGAGCAACUUGUCUUCAGUCGACUCGAUCCAUUCUCUUCUUUCGUCGAGUGGUCUUUCGGGCUUCGACGAUCUCCGAGCGACGGAUCGCGAGAAACCCCGCGUCUGACAGACCGAUCUGCCGUUCGCGGAUUCCGCGGGAUGCGAAAUUUGGGGACGCGCGCGAAGCGGAGCGGACCGCGACGUUCGGAUGGGACGGGACAUAGACGCCUCGAUCUCCGUGCCGCUUUCUUCGCCACGUAUCCCGUCUGCAUAACUGUUCCUGGAUAUGAUUAGAUCGACCGGGCCCACCUGUCAUCCACUCGGAAGGGACCUUAUAAAUGCGCCCGGCGAGGAUUUCUGUACUGUGCCUCAGCAUUCUCUCUCUCUCUCUGCUCCCUUCGUCCCCGUCCAGCGCGCUCGCCCUCGCUCCCGCACAACUUCCCUUCGCGCAUCUCGCCGGCAACCAUGGCCAAGGAGAAGACGGCGGCGCUGGAACGUGCGAAGAAGGCGUCGGCGCCGGAGAAGGCAAAGGGGAGAUCUACCAGCCGCAGCGGGUCCUCGUCCAGAUCCCGCCUGCCGAAGGGCUGGGUCCAAGGAGACUGGAUCCAGUCGACCAUCACAGAGAAAGACCUCCUCGAUAUGGCCAACGAGGGCUUGAUCCCUCAUGGAGCUGCGAGGCUUCCGGGGAAGGAGUGGCAGCCCCAGCCAGAAGAGGGUGAGUGUGUGCUCUUGGCCACCCAUGUUGAUCCUGGAUUUUCCUUGCCGCCGAGUAUUUUCUUCCGUGGCUUCUUGAAUUUCUUUGGAGCGCAGCUCCACCACUUUACCCCAAACUCUAUUGCCUAUCUUGCCGCGUUCGUGUCCAUGUGUGAGGGUUUCCUGGGCUGUCGACCGCACUGGGGUUUGUUCAAGCAUAUAUUCACGUGUCUCUCUCAGACCGUGAAGAAGGCGAGCCCAGGUGAUGAGAGAACCUGAGUCGUCCAAAUGUGUGGGGGUCUGGGGAUCCAGGUGAGGAAUAAGAGCACCUUCCCGCCCAUGACCUUUCCCGAGUCAGUCAGAGGCUGGCAGUCGACCUGGUUCUACUGCCAGGACCAGUCGACGCCGGGACAGUCGAGUGGACUCCCACAGUUUACCAUGGACCGAGUGAACAAGCCCUCCUCUCUAAAGUUGAUUCCGGAGGAGAAAGCUGACGUGAAGAUGUUGAUGGAGCGCGUGGUGCAGUUGGUUCGGGAGGGAGUGACGGGCAUGGACCUCCUGGAGGUCUUCCUCACGCGUCGCAUCCAGCCCCUUCAGUUCCGGAGCCACUGCAUGUGGUUGUACUGUGGGACUGAAGACGAGACUCGAGUCCAUCCAGAAGCAGUCGACGAUGUCACUCUGGAAAGAUGGAUGGUAGUCGUUACCGGAAACAAGGACAACCCACGCGGAGCCAGAAGGAUUCCUCCACUCGACCACAACAGUGAUCCAAACAAGGUACACUUGCUCUGCUCUCCACUGCGUUCUUGUCGCAUUCAUUUCUGUUUAUCCUGCCGACUGGUCGACUGAUCCUUGUCUUGAUAUCUGCUAGGCUCUCACCGAGCUGUACUCGAUGCCCAAUGGGGCACAAGCUCCGACUGAGGAGGGUGAGGCGAGUGGGGGCGAGAGCCAGGACGAGGAGGAAUGGGACUCGGACGUUGCAGAGGAUGAUGAUGAUGAUGAUGAUGAUGAUGACAGUGAUGAAGAUGAUGUUGAAGACGAGGAGGAAGAGGAGGAGGAGGUCGUACCACCGCGCUCGGAAAGGCGGUCGAAGCUUGUCCACGACCCUUCGACCGAACGUGGUAAGGGCGUUGCGACCGCCGCUCAGUCGACCAAGCGCCCUCGGACCACCUCUCCGGUGCUGACUGAAAAGGCGCCGAAGCAGCCCAGGGCGGCCUCGUCGAAGUCGAUCAAGCUCCUGCCGAAGAUGAAGGUGUCCAUCCCCACCAUAUCAGGGUAAUCGUGCUGCUUAAGUCUUCUUAUUUUGUGUGAACUUUGUCUCUGGUCGACGCUGAAGUUAGUCGACUGAUCCUUUGGAGUUGCAGUGCUGCUACUUCUGAAACCUCAGCCCGGGCUGAUGACCACGAGAUGGAGGACGCAGCAACUUCGAAACCAGGUACUGUAUUCUUAACGCCGUUCUUAGUCGACUGACUCGCGAUCUCUGAUCCUGAUUCUUCUCCGUAGCUCCACCCAAUGUUGUUAUCAAUCUCCCUGAUGAUGAUGAGGAUGAAGAACCACUAAAGCGCAGGAGGAGUCGGAAAGCGUCCGCCAAUAAGGUGCCUCAGGAUGUGACGGCGCCUGAGAUUCUGACUGCGGAGGAAGAGAACACCACUCGACACACGGUGUCCUUCGCAGAUCCAUUGACGAGUGCUCAGCAGCCCUCCCUCUUCACGACGCACCACGUCCCAGAGGACCAAGCUGGCGUGGCGAAAGAAGCGAUACGCCAGGCGGGAAUCAUGAUGGAGCAGUUGAAGACCAUCCGGGAUGCGAGCCAGGCAGCUUAUGACGCCAGUUCUGCCCUCCAAAGCAAUGUCCAGGUCAGUCGACCAUCGUUUGUUCUGUUGGAUAUGCUACCAAAAACUUUUCCUUUCCGGAAUUUAUAGUAGUCACCCAUUGGGUGUGUCGAUUAAACUCCGUGUUAGCGGGGGCACGCUGAGUGCACCCGCUGGGUGUAGUCCCCAAGGCUAAGGUCGACUGCUGGCAGUCGGCCUUAGGCUUUAUGAUGUCAAUCUUUCUGUCAGUCGACUAUGUCGACUGGAUUUCACAAACCGGUGGGGGCACGCUGAGUGCACCCACUGGGUGUAGUCCCCGAGACUGUGGUCGACUGCUUGCAGUUGAUCACAGUCUUAGAGAAUGCAUCUCGCUCUUUUUUUUUGGAGGUCGACUGGUCGACUUUGUCUUCAACAGAAUUAGUGGGGGCACGCUGAGUGCACCCACUGGGUGUAGUCCCCGAGACUACGGUCGAAUGCUUGUAUUCGGUUGUAGUCUUAGAAACGUGUGUUUUUUCCUUUUUCACUCGGAAGUGAAUUAUAUUUGACAUUUAGUCGAUUGGUUCUUCGCAGAACUCUUGUGAUCUUGUGGCUCGCUACUCUGAGCUGGAAAACAAGCACACUCAACUCGAGCUGAGCUUGAAGCUGGUUCAGGAGAAGCUGACGAAGGCAAAGGAGGAUACCGAAGGUAUGUUUGGUGAGACCCUGACGGCUGCUUCUCCCCUUGUUUGUUUCAAAAUCUGAUCUUGCUGUAACUUACAGGUAAGGUAAGGGAGGCCCAGCAGAAGAAAGACCUCGAACUAGCUGAGAAGAUCAAGCUUGCUGACGAGAAGUUAGCUUCAGUCACCAAGCUUGAACAAGACAAUACCAAUCUGAAAGCUGCUCUUGGGAUCGCCAACAAGGAGGUCAGUCGACUAAAAACUGAUAAAGCUGCCCUGACCGACCAAGUCAAUAAGUUGACUGGGAAGAAAAACGAUCUAGAAGCCUUCCUGAGUGGUCUUGCCAAGAAGCUGUUUCUUAUGCUUGAAGGUAAACCUCUAUGCUUGGCAAACAUUUCCAAUUGUGGUUUUUCCAUUCGACCAUCCCCUUGACUUUAGUGAUCAUCCUUGCAGAAUUUUGUCAAAACUUUGAAGAAGAAACUAGCCGGCUGGAGCCAAACCUCGACCCCGUCAAUUCUCCGGUGAACGACGAAGUUGCCAUGGAUGUUUUCCGACUGGAGUCUCAUGUUGCAGCUGUCGUGGACUAUCUCGCAAGGCUGAAGGCCGCCACAUCUCGCAUCGACUCGACGCUCUGGCCUGAGGAGACACUUCAGAAUGACCUUGAGUCGCUGAUGGCCCGCUUGAACACGAUCCCUGGUCGAGUGCAGGAAUGGAAGAAGUCAUCGGCUCGGUGUGGUGCAGAUGUUGCUCUGUGUCUGUCCCGAGUCCACUGUAAAGACGCGCGAGAAGAGAAGCUGGCGGCUCUUCGGGUGGCCAACUCCAAGAAACACGACUUCAGGUCCUUUAUGGAAACUUUCCUUGCAGCUGCCACUCGGAUCGCCGACGGAAUCGACCUUGAUGAAUUCGUUGCACCUUCCAGCCCUCCUCAGGAGGGGUAAAAAACUUCUUCUGGCUCGACGCUUUAAAUUUGCCUCGGUAUGCCGAGUGGAAUUGUAACCGAUAAACCUUAACAGGCUUAACGCCUGAGCACUUUCGGUUCCUUUAGAUAUCGAUUCAAACUUAAAUUUGGUGCUUGAAUACGAUUGCCUUUGGCUCGAAAUGUCUUUCGCAGGUUCAAAGCAAGGCGCCUUUACAGCAAUCGACUUAUUCUUUAGUCCACUUAGGCGAGCACUGGGCUGCGGCUAAGCCUCCGAGUGGAAGCCCGGCUUACCACUCGGUAGGAUUUCUAUAACUUAGGCGAGCACAGGGCUGCAGCUAAGCCCCCGAGUGAGAGGUUUGCUCUGCACUCGGUAGGAUUUUUAUAACUUAGGCGAGUGCUUGGACUGCAGCUAAGCCCCCGAGUGAGAGGGUCGCUCUUCACUCGGUAGGAUUUUUGUAACUUAGGCGAGCACAUGGCUGCAGCUAAGCCUCCGAGUGAAAGUCUGGCUUACCACUCGGUAGGAUUUUGAUAACUUAGGCGAGUGCUUGGACUGCAGCUAAGCCCCCGAGUGAGAGGGUUGCUCUUCACUCGGUAGGAUUUUUGUAACUUAGGCGAGUGCUUGGACUGCAGCUAAGCCUCCGAGUGAAAGUCUGGCUUACCACUCGGUAGGAUUUUUAUAACUUAGGCGAGCGCAGGGCUGUAGCUAAGCCUCCGAGUGAAAGUCUGGCUUACCACUCGGUAGGAUUUUGAUAACUUAGGCGAGUGCUUGGACUGCAGCUAAGCCCCCGAGUGAGAAGUUUGCUCUCCACUCGGUAGGAUUUUUAUAACUUAGGCGAGCGCAGGGCUGCAGCUAAGCCUCCGAGUGAAAGUCUGGCUUACCACUCGGUAGGAUUUUGAUAACUUAGGCGAAAUGGAUUCGCAGCUAAGCCCCCGAGUGGGAGUCUGGCUCACCACUCGGUAGGAUUUUUACAAACUUAGGCGAAACGGAUUCGCAGCUAAGUCACCCACUGAGGGGGAAUUUUAUUGGACAAAAAUAAAAAGUGACAGAAAUUAUGGAGGAACUAUGACACUAUUAUUUUGAGGUCCAUGAACUACAGAAGUACUUUAUUGCAACUCAUCCGAGUGAUAAAACUUAAGUAUAAAAUGGGCGGAGUAGCUCCGCGUUCCAAGCUCGGGGCUCGUCGAUAUUAUGCUCGACGUUGUAAAGACGGUACGCCCCGUUGUGGAGAACCUUGGUGAUGAUGAAGGGGCCUUCCCAAGAAGGAGCAAGCUUGUGUGGUUUGUGCUGAUCCACUCGGAGAACUAAAUCUCCUUCUUGGAAGGCUCAACCUCUCACAUUUCUGGCGUGGAAACGACGCAAAUCUUGUUGGUAGAUGGUCGACCGGAUCAGAGCCAUCUCCCUUUCUUCCUCUAAAAGGUCGACUGCGUCCUGCCGCGCUUGUUCAGCCUCUGCUUCGUUGUAGAUUUCAACUCGAGGAGCAUUGUGGAGAAGAUCACUCGGCAAGACUGCUUCAGCUCCGUAGACCAAGAAGAAUGGAGUUCUUCUGGUCGACCGAUUAGGUGUGGUCCGCAGCCCCCAAAGCACUGAGGGAAGUUCGUCGACCCAAGCUCCAGCCGCGUGUUUGAGAUCCCGCAUCAGUCGAGGCUUCAAUCCCUUAAGAAUCAGUCCAUUAGCUCGCUCUGCUUGUCCAUUCGACUGCGGAUGGGCGACUGAAGCGUAGUCGACCCGUGUGCCUUGGGAGUUGCAGAAAGCUCUGAAUUCCUCUGAGUCAAAGUUCGACCCAUUAUCCGUAAUGAUGCUGUGCGGGACUCCAUAUCUGAAUAUUAGUUCCCUGAUGAAGCUAACAGCAGUACCGGUGUCAAGGCUCUUGAUUGGUUUAGCCUCGAUCCACUUGGUGAACUUGUCGACUGCCACCAGUACAUGCGUGAAGCCACUUCGUCCUGUUCUCAAAGGACCGACCAUGUCCAGUCCCCAUACUGUGAAAGGCCAGACGAGUGGGAUGGUCUUCAGGGCCGACGCAGGCUUGUGCGACAUAUUCGAGUAGAACUGACAUCCCUCGCACUUAUCCACUAUCUCUUUUGCCAUCUCAUUCGCCUUUGGCCAGUAAAAUCCGGCUCGGUAUGCUUUGGCCACGAUGGUCCGAGAGGACGCAUGAUGAUCACAGGUCCCCGAGUGAAUAUCAUUGAGGAUGAGUCGACCUUCUUCUGGUGUUAUGCACUUCUGACCAAUUCCAGUCGCGCUUUCUCUGUAUAAUUGUCCUUUGAUUACGGUAAAGGCCUUAGAUCGACGGACGAUCUGUCGAGCCUCUUCCUCAUCCUCCGGAAGCUCUUUUCUCCACUAAAUCCGAGUCGCCAUAGACCAUCAGGCGACGGACGCCGAGUGAAAUGGCCAUGCGCAACCCAUAUAAGAGGGCCUCAUAUUCUGCCUCAUUGUUGGAGGAAUCAAAGUGAAUCUGGAGCACAUAUCUGAGCUUAUCUCCUCUGGGGGAAACCAGGACAACCCCAGCACCGGAACCAUUCAACAUCUUAGAGCCAUCAAAGAACAUGGUCCAAUGCUCCGAGUGAACUUCAGUCGGCUGCUGCUGUUCAAUCCACUCGGCGAGGAAAUCUGCUAUUGCCUGGGACUUAAUGGCUUUCUUUGCCUCAAACUUGAUAUCAAGGGGAAGAAGUUCAAUCGCCCAUUUGGCCACUCGACCAGUUGCAUCUCUGUUGUGCAAAAUCUCUGAUAGUGGAGCGUCGCUGACGACUGUGAUGGAAUGAUCAGAAAAAUAAUGAGCAACCUUCUUUGUGGUCAUGUAUAUUCCAUACACAAGCUUCUGAUAAUGAGGAUAUCUCUGCUUGGAUGGAGUCAAGACUUCAGACAAAUAAUACACUGGGCGCUGAACUUUGAGAGCUUUUCCUUCUUCUUCCCGCUCGACCGUAAGCACAGUACUGACAACUUGUCCUGUGGCUGCGAUAUAGAGCAACAGAGGCUCUUUGCUGACUGGAGCAGCAAGCACCGGCUGGGUGGAGAGCAGAGCUUUUAGCUCGGCAAACGCUGCAUCAGCUUCUGGAGUCCACUCGAACUUGUCUGUCUUCUUCAUCAGUCGGUAAAGAGGCAAUGCCUUUUCUCCGAGUCGUGAGAUGAAUCGACUUAAUGCGGCCAAGCAUCCAGUAAGCUUCUGGACAUCGUGCACUCGCACAGGGCGUUUCAUUCGGAGAAUAGUGCCAAUCUUCUCUGGGUUAGCGUCGAUUCCCCGUUCGGAAACAAGAAAACCGAGUAACUUGCCACCAGGAACUCCAAAUGUGCACUUUGAUGGAUUGAGCUUGAUAUCAUAUCUUCUGAGGUUGGCAAAUGUUUCGGCGAGAUCAGCGAGCAGGUCGGAACCUUUUCGUGACUUGACAACGAUAUCAUCCAUAUAUGCUUCCACAUUCCGACUGAUUUGAGUGAGAAGACACUUCUGAAUCAUUCGCAUAAAUGUGGCUCCGGCAUUCUUGAGGCCGAAUGGCAUGGUGAUAUAGCAGAAGCACCCGAAUGGAGUGAUGAAAGCUGUUUUUACCUCGUCGGGUCCGUACAGACGGAUCUGGUGGUACCCGGAGUAGGCAUCUAAAAAAGAUAGCCUCUCGCAUCCCGCGGUCGAGUCAACAAUUUGAUCUAUGCGAGGGAGAGGAAAAUGAUCUUUCGGGCAGGCCCGGUUGAUGUGCUUGAAAUCAAUGCACAUUCGGAGCGACUUGUCCUUCUUGGGAACCAUGACGACAUUAGCGAGCCACUCGGAGUGGUAUAUCUCUCGGAUAAAUCCUGCCGCCAAUAGUCGAGCCACUUCUUCACCAAUGGCUUUUCUCUUCUGGACGGCGGACCGCCGAAGAUGCUCUUUGACUGGUUUUGCAGACGAGUCGACUCUUAGGCGAUGCUCAGCCAGUCCCCUGGGAACACCUGGCAUGUCAGCGGGCUUCCAUGCAAAAAUGUCCCAGUUCUCACGGAGGAACUAGAUGAGCGCUUCUUCCUAUUUUAGGUCGAGUGUUGUGGAGAUGCGGGUCGGAGCUGCAUCGGGGUCGGUCGGGUGAAUGUGAACAGGCUUCGUCUCACUGGACGACUGGAAUGCAGACUCUGUGGCGGGUUUCUUUGAUCGCAGCAAGUCACUCGGAUCUGCGUUUUGCUUGUAUUCCUCAAACUCGACCGCCGUCACCUGGGAAUCGGCAAUCUUGGAGCCCUUCUGAAAGCACUCUUCUGCCUUUUUCCUAUCACCGGUGACAGUGAUCACUCCUUUGGGGCCGGGCAUCUUCAAUUUGAGGUACACGUAACAUGGUCGAGCCAUGAACCGUGUGUAAGCUGGUCUCCCCAAGAUGGCAUGAUAUGCACUCUGAAAAUCCACGACCUCAAACGUCAACUUUUCUUUGCGAAAAUGUUUCGAAUCACCAAACACCACAUCCAAAGCUAUUUGGCCGAGUGACUCGGCCUUCUUCCCUGGUAUAACUCCAUGAAAGCUCAUGUUACUAGUGCUCAGUCGGGACAUCGGAAUGCCCAUUCCUUUCAGUGUGUCUGCAUACAACAAGUUCAGCCCACUUCCACCAUCCAUCAGCACCUUUGUCAGUCGAGUGCCUUCGACAACUGGAUCGACCACCAAAGCUUGCCUCCCAGGGGUGGCAAUAUGAGUCGGGUGAUCAGAUUGGUCGAAUGUGAUGGGUAUUUGAGACCAUUUCAGAUAAUUUGCUUUUGCUGGGGCAACCAUGUUCACCUCUCGGUUAAUGACUUUCAGUCGACUCCUACUUUCCACAUCUGCAAAGAUCAUCAGAGUGGAGUUGAUAUGCGGAUAUCCUUCCUCACUGUCCUCCUUGUCUUCGGCCUUGUCUGACUCCUUCUCCUUGUCCUUAGACUGUUUUCCCUGAAACUGCUGGAUCAGGAGUCGACAUUGGCGAGUGGUGUGCUUCGGGUAGAUGAUAUUCCCCUCUUCGUCUUUCUUCGUAUGGAUGUGACAUGGCAUAUCCAUUACGUCGUUCCCUUCUUUAUCCUUUACCUUCUUGGGGUUCCAGGAUCCUUUUGGUUUCCCCUUAAACUUUCCCUGAGUCACGGCCAGAGCCUCUCCAGGAGCUGCUGGUUCAGCCUUCUGCUUAUGUUUCCGACUGGUGUUUCCUUUUUCCGACUGACUCGGUUUGUGUUUGCCGCUUCGGAGUCGGUCUUCUUCUUCGCCGUUGGCGUACUUGGUAGCAAUCUCCAUCAUCCGACUCAAGGUCAUGUCACCGGUUCGACCAAACUUCAAACUCAGUUCUCUGUUCUUGACACCAUCUUUGAAGGCGCAAACUGCCUGAUGAUCGGACACAUUCUCCACAGUGUGGUGCAAAGUGAUCCACCUCUGAAUAUACUCUCUGAGAGUCUCAUUAGCCUUCUGCACGCAGACUUGCAACUCUGUCAAUCCAGCUGGUCGCUUGCAAGUUCCUUCAAACGUUUUAAUGAACACUCGGGACAGAUCUUCCCAUGUGUAAAUGCUGCUAGGAGGUAAUUGAGUCAACCAUGCCCUGGCAGAACCUUCCAGCAUGAGGGGCAAAUGCUUCAUGGCCACCUCGUCGUUCCCACCGCCAAUCUGAACUGCCACUCGGUAAUCUUCAAGCCAAGUUUCAGGCUUAGACUCACCAGUGAACUUGCUGACUCCUGUUGCCAACCUGAAAUUGGGAGGGAUAACUGCGGCUCUGAUAGCUCUGCUGAAACAUUCAGGACCAGAAACAUGCACUCGACUGCUUGUGUGUGCAUCUCUGUCGAGUCCACCUCGAUGGGCUCUGUUCCGGUCGACCAUACCUUGCACGAUAAUGGAUCGCGCGUCGAAGCCUGGUUCUCUGGGGUCGACUGGAACCCUUCGCCCUGUACUGUACUGACGCCUGUCAUCUUGCUGCCGAGGAGCGUAAGACCCACCCCUCGGAGGGGAAUUGGGCGCUCGACGCCUAUCAUCUCGGUCGAGUCGGUCACCAUAUUGAUCUCGCCGAUUCUCGCGCCCUUCACGCCGCGGAGGCGAUCUGGGGCUGUGAGCCAACUGAACCGUAUUCGCAGUGAUGGAUCGACUGUGAAUUCUGUUGCGCGACUGAGACACGGCUGAAUUCUGAUCUCCUGCUGCCCGGAGCAGAUCCCUGAUGUGCAGCAAACCUCUACCAGCUUCCGACUUCGAAGGCUGGAUGGACUCUGCUAUACGGGUCGCAGCUGCUAAAUUCUGAAUUGGGGUUCGAUAUACCUAAGUCGGCGGGAAGAGUUGACGUCGACUGGUGUCGGGAACUCGUUGCCGCGCGCGCUCGUCGAGUGCUCGCUGAAGGUUCUCCAGUCGAGUGCGCUCGGCCAAAUUGGCCAGACGCGCCUCCUCCAAGGCACGAGCCUCGGGGGUUUCUCCUGCGAUGGGAGUACGCAGGGCAUCCACGUUCCUGCGGCGAAGUUCCUCUCUUUGCAGAGAGUCGAGUGGCUCGGGCUGGUACUCUUCGUGGUGUCGUGCGGGGUCGCCUCCGUCACCUGCUCCAUCAUCACGGGCGAAGCCAGGGGGACUGCGGGGCCCGUCGACCAUCAAGAUUUCCGCCGCUGGAUCACUGCUACCGCACUCGGAUGCAGUCUCUACGGAGCCAGUCGACAGAUCGAAUAAGCCGUAGAGAGAUUCGUCGGGCUCGAUUGCCGCAACUUGGGUGGUGGCCGAUUGGCGAGCCACCGCGUGCCUCACCCAUCGCUGAAGCCUCGACUGGCCCGAGCGCUUGCGCUGGCGGGAGACCGGGAGGGUGGACGAUGGAGGAGUCGACCGAUACUGGGUCGACGGUUGCCGCAGCAGAACGCCGCGGACACAUGCGCGAAAAUGCGUCGCACCGUGGACGGGGAGCGCAUCUACGUCGAGUGGAGCCUCCUGGAGCCACGCGGAGUCGUCGGCGAUGAAGGUGAGAGUGCCGAGACGGAUCUCUUGACCCCCGACCAAAACUCCAGCAGACACCAUGAUGAAAGUACUCGGAAGAAUCGCAACUUCUCCACAAAAUCGCUAAAACACCUGCCCCACGGUGGGCGCCAACUGUCGUGGUUCUAAGCCUGACAGUAGAGUGGGGGGUAGGUAUGGAGAGGCAAGGUCCUAGCUAUGGAGAGGUUGUAAACACAAGGGAUGUACGAGUUCAGGCCCUUCUCGGAAGAAGUAAUAGCCCUACGUCUCGGAGCCCGGAGGCGGUCGAGUGGAUUAUGAGUAUAUGAGUUACAAGGUGCCGAACCCUUCUACCUGUGGAGGGGGGUGGCUUAUAUAGAGUGCGCCAGGACCCCAGCCAGCCCACGUAGGAGAGGGUUUAAGGUGAGUUAAGUCUGGGGCGUUACUGGUAACGCCCCACAUAAAGUGUCUUUACUAUCAUAAAGCCUACUUAAUUACAGGCCGUUGCAGUGCGGAGUGCCUCUUGACCUCCUGGUGGUCGAGUGAGUCUUCGUGGUCGAGUCCUUCAAGUCAGUCGAGUGAGUCCCUCGUUGGUCGACUGGAAGGCGACCUCUUCUAAGGGUGUCCUUGGGUAAGGUACUUAGAUCAGGUUCGUGACCCUACCCUAGGUACAUGACCCCAUCACUUGGCACCUCUAGAACUCAUACAUUCUGAUCUUUGUGAGAUGAAUGGUGUAUUGACAAAAGGUGGAAAGAGAUAUUUCAUGACUUUGAUUGAUGAUGCGACUAGAUUUUGCUAUGUUUAUUUGUUGCAAACUAAAGAUGAAGCAUUAGACUACUUUAAAAUCUAUAAAGCUGAAGUUGAAAAUCAACUAGAGAGAAAGAUCAAGCGUCUUAGGUCCGAUCGUGGUGGAGGGUAUUUUCCAAAAGUUUUUGAUGAAUUUUGUGAGGAACAUGGUAUUAUUCAUGAGAGGACACCUCCCUAUUCACCUCAAUCAAAUGGAGUGGCCGAGAGGAAAAACCGCACAUUGACUGACUUGGUGAAUGCCAUGUUAGACACUGCUGGUUUAUCUAAGGCAUGGUGGGGGGAGGCUCUAUUGAGUUCAUGUCAUGUCCUGAAUAGAGUUCCCAACAAUAAUAAAGAGAAAACCCCUUAUGAGGAGUGGGUUGGGAGAAAACCAUCACUUUCUUAUUUGCGCACUUGGGGAUGUUUGGCAAAGGUCAAUAUUCCUAUUCCUAAGAAACGCAAACUUGGACCAAAGAUAGUGGAUUGUGUCUUUCUAGGGUAUGCUCAACGGAGCAUUGCUUAUAGGUUUUUAGUGGUAAAAUCUGAAGUACCUGAUAUGCAUGUUGAUACUAUAAUGGAAUCUCGUGAUUCAACAUUUUUUGAGAACAUAUUUCCUAUGAAAGAUAUGCAUAGCAUUGCUAGAUUUUCUUCUGAGAUAAUUCCUGAAUCUAGUACAACUGACGAAUAUUUCGAACAAUCACAUGAGGAAGUCCUUGAGAAGGAUAACAAUGAAGUUCCUAGAAGGAACAAGAGACAAAGGAUUGCAAAAUCCUUUGGUGAUGAUUUCAUUGUAUACCUUGUGGACGACACACCCAAGACGAUUGAAGAAGCAUAUGCAUCUCCGGAUGUAGAUGAUUGGAAAGAAGCUGUUCAUAAUGAGAUGGACUCAAUUCUUUCUAAUGGAACUUGGGAACUAACUGAUAGACCAUAUGGUUGUAAACCUGUGGGCUGUAAGUGGGUGUUCAAAAGGAAGCUAAAGCCUGAUGGUACUAUUGAUAAGUACAAGGCGCGGCUAGUGGCCAAGGGCUACACUCAGAAAGAAGGCGAAGAUUACUUUGACACCUAUUCACCCGUUGCUAGAAUGACCACCAUUCGAGUGUUACUUUCCUUGGCUGCCUCUUAUGGUCUUAUCAUUCAUCAAAUGGAUGUAAAGACAGCUUUUCUCAAUGGAGAGUUGGAAGAGGAGAUCUAUAUGGAUCAGCCUGACGGGUUUGUGGUAAAGGGUGAAGAGAGAAAGGUGUGCAAGUUGUUAAAAUCUUUGUAUGGUCUGAAACAGGCACCUAAGCAAUGGCAUGAGAAGUUUGAAAGAACUUUGACUUCUGCAGGAUUUGUCAUUAACGAGGCUGAUAGGUGUGUUUACUAUCGCCAUGGUGGGGGCAAUAGUGUCAUAUUAUGUUUGUAUGUGGACGACAUACUGAUCUUUGGUACAAACAUUAAUGCAAUUAAUGAGGUCAAGUCUUUUCUAUCAAAAAGUUUUGACAUGAAAGAUCUGGGAGAAGCCGAUGUAAUUCUAAACAUCAAACUUAUUAAGGAUGAGAGUGGGAUUACAUUAACGCAAUCUCACUAUGUUGAGAAGGUCUUGAACCGAUUCGGUUUUAUGGAUAGCAAGCCUUCUCCAACACCUUAUGAUCCCAGCGUGACACUUAGAAAGAACAAGAAAGAAACGAGAGAUCAAUUAAGAUACUCUCAAAUUGUCGGUUCACUCAUGUACUUAGCUAGCGCUACAAGACCAGAUAUCUCUUUUGCUGUGAGCAAACUGAGUAGGUUCAUGUCCAACCCGGGUGAUGAUCAUUGGCAUGCACUAGAAAGGGUCUUGCGCUAUCUGAGAGGUACUAUGAGUUACGGAAUUACUUAUUCAGGGCAUCCUGCUGUGCUAGAAGGAUAUAGUGAUUCAAAUUGGAUCUCCGAUGUUGAUGUACUUUACGCAACAAGUGGGUAUGUAUUUACUCAUGGUGGUGGCGUUGUGUCAUGGAGGUCUUGCAAGCAAACCAUAUUGACGAGGUCAACUAUGGAAGGAGAAUUAACUGCUUUGGACACAGCUACUGUUGAGGCAGAAUGGCUCCGUGAGCUCUUGAUGGACUUGCCGGUUGUUGAAAAACCUGUACCGGCUAUUCUUAUGAAUUGUGAUAACCAAACGGUUAUCGCUAAAGUGAACAAUUCUAAAGAUAAUGCAAAGUCAUCAAGACACGUGAAAAGACGUUUGAAGUCUGUCAGGAAGUUGAGAAACUCCGGAGUAAUAACUGUUACGUAUAUACAAACAGACAAAAACCUGGCAGAUCCCUUUACAAAGGGACUACCACGAAAUGUGAUAGAUAUUGCAUCGAGGGAGAUGGGUAUGAGACCCAUAGAUGUUACACCAUAGUAGUAACCCAACCUUUGUGACCGGAGAUCCCGUGAAUUAGGAUCUGGGAAGAACAAGCUAUUGGUUAACUGAGGAGAGUAAUAACUUAUGAUCGUCUCCAAGUGAAGAUGCAAAACUCUCAGAGCUAUAAGUCUCAGAUCUGUAAGGCAGGUCGGCAACAUGCCUUAAUGUGGUUCUAUUGGCUAUAAUUAGCAAAGAUGCUGUCCUACAGAGCAGUCUUGAAAGAACACACCUAUAUGAGUUCUGACUGUAAAUGUUGCAGUCUAUGAGAUUUGGGUGAUCUCUAGUAAACUCACGAAGAGACCAGGGAGUAUGACGUAUAAGCUCCAAACCGCGGGGUAGCCUACUGGCGGUCAGGUACUGGUUAAGACUUUGAGUGAAACCUGUUCACACAAAACUAGCAAUUCAAGGCAUAGUCCAUUGUCAAGUUGUGAAUGGAUGUAGCUUAAAGUUCUAGGCAGAAGUUCAACUUAACAGUCUCUGCUGAAACACUGGUAUAUUAAACAAGUGGUGAGAGAAGGCAAAUCUCUAAAUGGGUAUUUGAGAUCUGGUGGGGGAUUGUUAGAAUUAAUGGGCUAGGCCCAUAGCAAUUUCUGAAAUCUCAAAGCCCAUGUGUAAAAUGGCAAGUGGUGGUGCUAAGUUUAGUCCCACCUUGGAAGUUGAAGAAGAGUUGGACCUCUUUAUAUAGUGGGUUCUCUCCACCACUCUAAGUGGUGUGUGAGAAGAGAAAGGGAAAACCACACUCGUGCGCUCGCUCGCCUCGCCUCGCCUCGCCUGGCCUGGCCUGGCCUGGCCGGGCCAGGCCGGGGCGUGGCGAGGCGAGGCGGCGCGUACAUGCGACAUGCGCGUGAAUGGUCCGCCGAAGUCCGGUCCGUCUCCUUGCAGGAGCGCAGCUUCCUUUUGCCGUUUUAUUUUUAUGUCUUGGCAGACAAGUUUUUGAUUUCUUGUCCGAUAAGUAUACGAAUUAGAAACCGAGUCGGUUUGGGAUUGUGGUCGCGACACAAUACCGCCUCUGGUCCUAAUAUAUAUACAGCUACCGGCUGCGGCCAGAGACACACCGAAAAACACCUAGGGUUUUGCCUCAUCUCACAACUUGCGCCGCCAUUGUAGUCUACUCCAUCCCAAACGCCCGCGUGCAUUGGCGCGUGGGAGAGCAGGUCUCCGGAACCGUUCGUCUUUGCGAUCCUGCACCGGGAGAGGACGAAUUAGGUUUUUGGGAAGCGCUGUGCGCGACUGCUCAAAUUCGUUAUCACGGGUCGUCUUCCGUCCAAGUCGGGCGGUGCUACUCAUCGUCGUAUUCAUCACCGUCAGCAGCAGAUCGUCGCCAACAUCGUCAUCAACACUGUCGCACCCAUAAUAGCUAACGAUCAGUAUGUCCAACAUCCUCUGUUCAUGUCUGUUUCUACAGCUAUUGUUACGUGUUUGCUGCUGUUAUGCAUGUCUUGCUGUUCUUCUAGUUUGCUAGAUUAUUGCAUGCUAGUAUCUCUUCUAGUCAUGAAUUAUUUACUGGAAUUAAUCAUGAACUUGCCUAAUAUUCCAACAAUCCAAAAACCUAAUUAUAGGCAAUUUCCUGAGUUAACUAUGGCUGGAUUCGUUGAUGCACUGAGGCCGGAUAAGUUUACCGGUGUGCACUUUAAGAGGUGGCAGGUGAAGACCACGCUCUGGCUUACUGCUCUGAAAGUUUUCCACGCUAGUGUUGGUGCUCCAGAGGGAAUGACCGACGAAGAUCGGAGAAAAUUCCAGGAAGCCAAUACUAUGUUUGUGGGAUGCAUUCUGAGUGUUCUUGCUGACCGUCUGUGUGAUGUGUACAUGCACAUAAACGACGGAAAAAUUCUGUGGGAUGCACUGAAUGCAAAAUUCGGUGCAACAGAUGCAGGCAGUGAAUUGUACAUCAUGGAGAGUUUUCAUGACUACAAGAUGGUGAAUAAGCGUUCUGUUGUUGAACAAGCUCAUGAGAUACAGUGCAUUGUGAAGGAACUUGAACUCCUUAAAUGUGUUCUACCCGACAAAUUCGUGGCUGGGUGCAUGAUUGCAAAGUUGCCUCCUUCAUGGAGGAAUUUCGCCACAACUCUGAAGCAUAAGAGACAGGAGAUAUCAGUUGAAAAUCUGAUUGCAUCUCUUGAUGUUGAAGAAAAAGCUCGGGCUAAAGAUACCACUGAAAAAGGAGGUGAGGUUCAGCCUACUGCUAACAUGGUGCAGAGGUACCCACAGAACAAGAACAAAGGGAAGAACAAACCUGUUUUCAACAAACCUACCAAGACUACUACCUUCAAGAAGAAGAAGUUCAACAAGGCUGAGCUAGAGUGCUAUGCCUGUGGGAAUCCUGGACACUUUUCCAAGGAAUGCCCUGAACAUGCAGACCGCAGAGGGAAAACAAGCUCCAAGACUGUCAACAUGGUGACCGCUAGCAAUACUGAUGGGUAUGGUAAUUUACCUAUUGUGCUUUCAGUAUUUCAAUCAUCUUCGUGGUGGAUUGAUUCGGGUGCUAACGUUCAUGUGUGUGCUGACAUCUCCCUGUUUACUUCUUAUCAGGUCGCAAGGGAUUCUUCCGUCCUAAUGGGGAAUGGGUCACAUGCUUCUGUUCGUGGCAUUGGCACGGUGGAUCUGAAGUUUACUUCGGGAAAGAUCGUGCAACUAAGGAACGUGCAACAUGUCCCUACUAUGAACAAGAAUCUAGUUAGCGGCUCCCUUCUAUGUCGAGAUGGAUUUAAGGUAGUUUUAGAGUCCAAUAAAGUAAUCGUGUCAAGAUUUGGACAAUUUAUAGGAAAAGGCUAUGAGUGCGGAGGCUUGUUCCGCUUUUCUCUUUCAGAUUUUUGCAAUAAGUCAAUAAACCAAAUUUGUGCUAAUGUUAAUGAUGAUGCAAGUAUUUGGCACUCUCGUUUAUGUCAUAUUAAUUUUGGUUUAAUGUCUCGGCUAUCCAGCAUGAGUUUAAUUCCAAACUUCACAGUUGCCAAAGGUUCUAAGUGCCAUAGUUGUGUGCAAUCUAAGCAACCUCGAAAGCCUCAUAAGGCUGCCGAGGAGAGAAACUUGGCACCUCUAGAACUCAUACAUUCUGAUCUUUGUGAGAUGAAUGGUGUGUUGACAAAAGGUGGAAAGAGAUAUUUCAUGACUUUGAUUGAUGAUGCGACUAGAUUUUGCUAUGUUUAUUUGUUGCAAACUAAAGAUGAAGCAUUAGACUACUUUAAAAUCUAUAAAGCUGAAGUUGAAAAUCAACUAGAGAGAAAGAUCAAGCGUCUUAGGUCCGAUCGUGGUGGAGAGUAUUUUCCAAAAGUUUUUGAUGAAUUUUGUGAGGAACAUGGUAUUAUUCAUGAGAGGACGCCUCCCUAUUCACCUCAAUCAAAUGGAGUGGCCGAGAGGAAAAACCGCACAUUGACUGACUUGGUGAAUGCCAUGUUAGACACUGCUGGUUUAUCUAAGGCAUGGUGGGGGGAGGCUCUAUUGACUUCAUGUCAUGUCCUGAAUAGAGUUCCCAACAAUAAUAAAGAGAAAACCCCUUAUGAGGAGUGGGUUGGGAGAAAACCAUCACUUUCUUAUUUGCGCACUUGGGGAUGUUUGGCAAAGGUCAAUAUUCCUAUUCCUAAGAAACGCAAACUUGGACCAAAGAUAGUGGAUUGUGUCUUUCUAGGGUAUGCUCAACGGAGCAUUGCUUAUAGGUUUUUAGUGGUAAAAUCUGAAGUACCUGAUAUGCAUGUUGAUACUAUAAUGGAAUCUCGUGAUGCAACAUUUUUUGAGAACAUAUUUCCUAUGAAAGAUAUGCAUAGCAUUGCUAGAUUUUCUUCUGAGAUAAUUCCUGAAUCUAGUACAACUGAUGAAUAUUUCGAACAAUCACAUGAGGAAGUCCUUGAGAAGGAUAACAAUGAAGUUCCUAGAAGGAACAAGAGACAAAGGAUUGCAAAAUCCUUUGGUGAUGAUUUCAUUGUAUACCUUGUGGACGACACACCCAAGACGAUUGCAGAAGCAUAUGCAUCUCCGGAUGUAGAUGAUUGGAAAGAAGCUGUUCAUAAUGAGAUGGACUCAAUUCUUUCUAAUGGAACUUGGGAACUAAUUGAUAGACCAUAUGGUUGUAAACCUGUGGGCUGUAAGUGGGUGUUCAAAAGGAAGCUAAAGCCUGAUGGUACUAUUGAUAAGUACAAGGCGCGGCUAGUGGCCAAGGGCUACACUCAGAAAGAAGGCGAAGAUUACUUUGACACCUAUUCACCCGUUGCUAGAAUGACCACCAUUCAAGUGUUACUUUCCUUGGCUGCCUCUUAUGGUCUUAUCAUUCAUCAAAUGGAUGUAAAGACAGCUUUUCUCAAUGGAGAGUUGGAAGAGGAGAUCUAUAUGGAUCAGCCUGACGGGUUUGUGGUAAAGGGUGAAGAGAGAAAGGUGUGCAAGUUGUUAAAAUCUUUGUAUGGUCUGAAACAGGCACCUAAGCAAUGGCAUGAGAAGUUUGAAAGAACUUUGACUUCUGCAGGAUUUGUCAUUAACGAGGCUGAUAGGUGUGUUUACUAUCGCCAUGGUGGGGGCAAUAGUGUCAUAUUAUGUUUGUAUGUGGACGACAUACUGAUCUUUGGUACAAACAUUAAUGCGAUUAAUGAGGUCAAGUCUUUUCUAUCAAAAAGUUUUGACAUGAAAGAUCUGGGAGAAGUCGAUGUAAUUCUAAACAUCAAACUUAUUAAGGAUGAGAGUGGGAUUACAUUAACACAAUCUCACUAUGUUGAGAAGGUCUUGAACCGAUUCGGUUUUAUGGAUAGCAAGCCUUCUCCAACACCUUAUGAUCCCAGCGUGACACUCAGAAAGAACAAGAAAGAAACGAGAGAUCAAUUAAGAUACUCUCAAAUUGUCGGUUCACUCAUGUACUUAGCUAGCGCUACAAGACCAGAUAUCUCUUUUGCUGUGAGCAAACUGAGUAGGUUCAUGUCCAACCCGGGUGAUGAUCAUUGGCAUGCACUAGAAAGGGUCUUGCGCUAUCUGAGAGGUACUAUGAGUUACGGAAUUACUUAUUCAGGGCAUCCUGCUGUGCUAGAAGGAUAUAGUGAUUCAAAUUGGAUCUCCGAUGUUGAUGUACUUUACGCAACAAGUGGGUAUGUAUUUACUCAUGGUGGUGGCGCAGUGUCAUGGAGGUCUUGCAAGCAAACCAUAUUGACGAGGUCAACUAUGGAAGCAGAAUUAACUGCUUUGGACACAGCUACUGUUGAGGCAGAAUGGUUGCGUGACCUCUUGAUGGACUUGCCGGUUGUUGAAAAACCUGUACCGGCUAUUCUUAUGAAUUGUGAUAACCAAACGGUUAUCGCUAAAGUGAACAAUUCUAAAGAUAAUGCAAAGUCAUCAAGACACGUGAAAAGACGUUUGAAGUCUGUCAGGAAGUUGAGAAACUCCGGAGUAAUAACUGUUACGUAUAUACAAACAGACAAAAACCUGGCAGAUCCCUUUACAAAGGGACUAUCACGAAAUGUGAUAGAUAUUGCAUCGAGGGAGAUGGGUAUGAGACCCAUAGAUGUUACACCAUAGUAGUAACCCAACCUUUGUGAUCGGAGAUCCCGUGAAUUAGGAUCUGGGAAGAACAAGCUAUUGGUUAACCGAGGAGAGUAAUAACUUAUGAUCGUCUCCAAGUGAAGAUGCAAAACUCUCAGAGCUGUAAGGCUCAGAUCUGUAAGGCAGGUCGGCAACAUGCCUUAAUGUGGUUCUAUUGGCUAUAAUUAGCAAAGAUGUUGUCCUACGGAGCAGUCUUGAAAGAACACACCUAUAUGAGUUCUGAUUGUAAACAUCGCAGUCUAUGAGAUUUGGGUGAUCUCUAGUAAACUCACGAAGAGACCAGGGAGUAUGAUGUAUAAGCUCCAAACCGCAGGGUAGCCUACUGGCGGUCAGGUACUGGUUAAGACUUUGAGUGAAACCUGUUCACACAAAACUAGCAAUUCAAGGCAUAGUCCAUUGUCAAGUUGUGAAUGGAUGUAGCUUAAAGUUCUAGGCAGAAGUUCAACUUAACAGUCUCUGCUGAAACACUGGUAUAUUAAACAAGUGGUGAGAGAAGGCAAAUCUCUAAAUGGGUAUUUGAGAUCUGGUGGGGGAUUGUUAGAAAUAAUGGGCUAGGCCCAUAGCAAUUUCUGAAAUCUCAAAGCCCAUGUGUAAAAUGGCAAGUGGUGGUGCUAAGUUUAGUCCCACCUUGAAAGUUGAAGAAGAGUUGGACCUCUUUAUAUAGUGGGUUCUCUCCACCACUCUAAGUGGUGUGUGAGAAGAGAAAGGGAAAACCACACGCGCGCGCUCGCUCGCCUCGCCUCGCCUGGCCUGGCCUGGCCGGGCCGGGGCGAGGCGAGGCGGCGCGUACAUGCGACAUGUGCGUGAAUGGUCCGCCGAAAUCCGGUCCGUCUCCUUGCAGGAGCGCAGCUUCCUUUUGCCAUUUUAUUUUUAUGUCUUGGCAGACAAGUUUUUGAUUUCUUGUCCUGUAAGUAUACGAAUUAGAAACCGAGUCGGUUUGGGAUUGUGGUCGCGACACAAUAUCGCCUCUGGUCCUAAUAUAUAUACAGCUACCGGCUGCGGCCAGAGACACACCGAAAAACACCUAGGGUUUUGCCUCAUCUCACAACUUGCGCUGCCAUCGUAGUUUACUCCAUCCCAAACGCCCGCGUGCAUCGGCGCGUGGGAGAGCAGGUCUCCGGAACCGUUCGUCUUUGCGAUCCUGCACCGGGAGAGGACGAAUUAGGUUUUUGGGAAGCGCUGUGCGCGAUUGCUCAAAUUCGUUAUCACGGGUCGUCUUCCGUCCAAGUCGGGCGGUGCUACUCAUCGUCGUAUUCAUCACCGUCAGCAGCAGAUCGUCGCCAACAUCGUCAUCAACACUGUCGCACCCAUAAUAGCUAACAAUCAGUACGUCCAACAUCCUCUGUUCAUGUCUGUUUCUACAGCUAUUGUUACGUGUUUGCCGUUGUUAUGCAUGUCUUGUUGUUCUUCUAGUUUGCUAGAUUAUUGCAUGCUAGUAUCUCUUCUAGUCAUGAAUUAUUUACUGGAAUUAAUCAUGAACUUGCCUAAUAUUCCAACAGAGACGACGGGAACAGCGCCGAGGUCUUGCCAGAGCACGAGUUUUGGCUGGCACGACCCAUGGUCACCGCGUGAGCUGGCUCAAGCGGCAUGUUCUAAACAGGCCAACCAUAUCUAGUGGGUAUACCUUAGUGCCCGUUGUAUAUAUGAAGAAACAAAUUGGUCCAGGGGCAAAGAAGAGAUUUGCACCUAGCUCCAAAACAUUGCAACAGCAAGGUGUUUGUGCUGAGGUGAGGAGGAUAAAAGGGAGGGGGUAGACUCGGGGCUUUGUCAUGGCGUGAUCAAACACUAAGAUGAUCACCUCUGUAAAUUUUCAGCUCAUUAGGAUGAAUAUUUAUGGUACUUGCUGUAGAAACCACCAUAAUGGCCAGAAUUAGAGAUGAUGAAGUUGCACUCACAUGAAGAGGCAAGUUGGCUAAAAUUGGGCAGGGCCCAAUUAUUUGAAGAUAUGAAGAUGCUCAAAAGGUUUUAGGCCAUUUGGAUGAACCAAACUAGCAGUUGCUUCACGAUGCUUUAUUCUGACCAGAAACUUGGAAAAAUUGCACAGGGCAAAUUGUUUGAUGAAUUGAGCCAAAACUUGGUGGAGAGAGAUGAUAUGGAUAGUAGAAUGCCCUGGAAAAUUUUCAGCUUAAAUGAAGCAAGAUAAAAUAUGGUUGCUUCACAAACUGAAAAUCUGACCAGAAACUAAGAUUUGGGGCUGGGCUCACAUAUAUACAUUGCAUGAGCUCAAAUCUUGUGUAGAGCUUUGAUUUGAUAAUAUGAAGGACCAUGCAAAAUUUCAACUCAUUUGGAUCAUCCUAGCUAGUACUUCCUUCACAAACAAUUCCCUCAAACGGGAACUUUGAAAAUUUGCUCAGGAAUAUUCACUAGGCAAAUUAAGUUGAAUUUUGGCAUGAGGCAAUUAUUUGGACAUGAAAAGGUGUCCAAAAAAUUUGGGGUCAAUUGGGCAAAGGUAAAUGGCACUUGCUUCACAAACUGCCAUUCAGGACAGAAUAGAAAAGGAAUUGAUUGAGCAUGAUGAGGAACAUGGCAAUUGAAAUAUUUCGCCAUAUUUGAGGAAGAUAUGACCCAAGCAAUUUAUGAGAAUUAUUUGGGAAUUUUAGGAGUGAUGGAAAUAUAGGUUGCUUCACAACCUAGGGCAAUUUGGGUUAUUCCUUUAAUAGAAAAAGGAAUAUUUCCAAGGAAAAGAAUAUUGGGGUUGGGCUAGGAUGAAAAUGGCAAGGUCUUGGGAUGUAUUUGAGGAUGAAAAGCCACUAUGGAAAGAAAGAAGAGGUCAUCUUCUUCAGUUUCCAGACCACAUAGCCACGGAAAAAAAACUCAAGCAAAAAUCUCGGAAAAUCAAAAGAAAAGAAAGGGCCAAAAAUCAGGGUGUGACAGCCAUUGACGCUCUUUCGGAGACCACCUGGCCAUUCUAUCACGAAGAUAGCACGAAGAAAUCCUCGGGAUGAUGACAGCGUGCGGUCGGUGGGGGGUCAUCCCAGAGGGUAUGGAGGGCGUGGAGCACCCAAACCCAUUCGCCUUUCAGGUGAUCCCGAGCGAUGCUAGUUCCAAAGACUCCAAAGGUGAGGAGGAGCUUGACGGCGUGGCCAACGAGGAGGCCCCAAAGGGGUAUGAAAUGGUGGAGCCUCCGCCAAUGGCGAAGAAAUGCUAGAAGGCUUUGGCGGGGGAGUAAUCGGCCCGGAAGGCAGCAAAUGGUGUCACCUAGUCAAGAUCAUUGGUAUGGGUAGGUUAGUUCUCCGCUCGCAAACGAUGUCAUACGACGCCGGCUCAUCCUUGGCCCGGCGUCCGAUCUUGACGCCAUGGUAGUGCGGGGGCGACACCGUCUCAUCCUUGACACAGCGUCCGAUCUGGACGCCAUGGUUGCGCUUGGGUGAUGCCGACUCGUCCUUGACCCGCUGGAGCGGGGACGCUGGCCGGAGUUGGUUUCUCAGGGUGCGUUGUCUGCAUUGAAGCGGCGACGCCCGAGAGGUCACGUUCGUCAGCUUCGCCCUCCCAUACAAUCAAAUUGGGGGCAUCAAUGUCACCCGCUGCAUGCUCUAGGUCAGCAUGAAUGCGGCGCUCGCGUUCGAUAAAAAGCACGGGAGAGGCGGUGGUUAUUUUGGUGGGACAGGGCAGUCAGACAAGGGUGUGUUAGCCCACAAAGGCCCCGCCCACUAUUCUUAUUGUUUCUGCAAAGGGCGCCUACGGGCGCGUUAGUUGGGCUCCGCCCAUUUCCAUUUUUUGCUUCUAUUUUAAACGUUCAAAAAAAUAAUGCAACACCGGACUUCAAACUCGCGACCAGCUUCUUCGAAGAAAAUGACGGUAACCCUAGGCCAUCGAAGGACUAGUGCUUUCUAAGGUUUUUUUCCUUUAUUUUAUUUCUCUCUUCAAUCGCGAGAAUCCACCGGUAUUGGGAAGCUUACACAAGCUUCCCAAACCAGUUUUUUACCGAUUCGUUGGUCAUUUGGGGGGUGGUUUUAUUCCAGUUUUCUUUUUAUUUAUUUUUUAAACAAAUCGUGUUUUAAAAAAACUAUGAAUGUUUUUCAAAUUCAAUGAAUUUUUUCAAAUUUGAUGAACUUUUAAAUUCAGAUGAUUUUUUUAAAUCAAUGAACUUUUUUCAAAUUUGAUGAACUUUUUUGAAUUGAAUGAUUUUUUUUGAAUUCGGUGAACUUUCCUAAUUUUAUGAACUUUUUUAAAAUUUCCUGUACAGUUUUUAAUCACAGAUUUUUUUCUAAAGCCAACCAGUCAAUUGUUGAAAGAUCAACCGUGACCAGUCAGCAGCAAAAGCAAGCAACACCGAAGGGACGUGACCACGCGAGCACACUUGCUUGGGCCGGGCCCAAGAGUGCGCCUGCCGUGGGCGCCGAAACUCCUAGUUGGCGCCUUUGGCGCUGACUAGGAGCUCCUAGGGACCUUUGUGAAAAAAGAAGGGUCGACAAGAAAGAACGGGGAUAAUAUGGCCCAUCAGCCCAAUGUAACCCAAAAAACAAAGUGUUAUUUUCAUAAAUCCUUCUUGCAACUUUAUUUUUUAGAGUAGACGUAGAAACUUUGAAGCUCGUAGUUUAGCAAAGCUUUCCUUACUAGAUCUUGGUAGAUAUGUGUGGCUUGAUGUACCCCCACGAUUGUUGUCGAAUAAAGAGGAACUAGGUUUACUCAACGCACGGAUUACUGAUCAAACAGGACGUUGUAGGCGUCUCAUCCAGGAGCUGGCGCACGCAGCAGCUUGGUAUGGGCCGACCCAGUUACACGAGUUGGGUGGUCGCCCGCUCGUUGUACGCUCGUUUUACGGUUGUCUGGUCAACGGUUCACUUCGCUAAAAAGAAAAGGUCAACAGUUCACCAUUUGAACCAAGAAAAACCAUGAUUUUAGUUCGCAAAAAUCAAAAAAAAAUAUGAAUUCAAAAUGUUCACAGAUUGUGAAAAGUUCAUCAAAUUUGGAAAAAUAAAUGUUUUGAAAAAGUUCACCGAGUUUCAAUAAAUCAUAGAAUUUGAAAAAAAAUCAUCGAUUUGAAAAACUUCAUUGAAUUUGAAAAAAUCAUCAAAUUUGGGAAAAAGUUCACCGAAUUUGAAAAUAAGUUCAUCGAUUUUGGAAAAAGUUCAUUGAAUUUGAAAAAAUCGAUUCUGGAGUUCAUUGAUUUUGAAAAAAGUACACCGAAUUUGAAAAAAAAGUUCAGCAAAUUUGAAAAAAUAAUCAAUGUUUUUUUUUGAAAAGUUCAUCACUUUGUCUGCAGAAAAAAAACACGUCUAGACCGUCAAACGAACUAAUACAGGCUCAUGUUGGAUGGCGGCCUAUGCCUAUGUUGGAUGGCUUCGAAGGUCCGAACGUAUGCAAGUGAUUUGAGGGUCUAAACCGUCAAGCGGAUCAAUACAUGCUCAUGUUAGAUGGCAACUCAUGCCUAUGUUGGAUGGCUUCAAAGGUCCAGACAUAUGCAAGUGAUUUGAGGGCCGACUUUAGAGAUGCCCUGACUACGAGAGCAAGAUACGAGCAAUAAUGUUUCACUACAGAACGAAGACGUAUGCAAGUGAUUUGAGGGCCGACUUUGGAGAUGCCCUGACUACGAGAGCAAGAUACGAGCAAUAAUGUUUCACUACUGAACGAACAGCUCGUGAUUUGAGGGUCUAAACCGUCAAGCAAACCAAUACAUGCUCAUAUUGAAUGGCGGCCCAUGCCUAUGUUGGAUGGCUUCGAAGGUCCAGACGUAGGAAAGUUAUUUAAGGGGGACAUGGAGUAAUUGAGCUCGGGCUCAAACGAGCUCUUUAUCUAGGCCCUUCAAAAGUACAUCAGGAUCUGUGCCAUUUGUUUAUACUCCUGGCGGUGGGCUGUUAAAAAAUGCGGACUGUAGCGUAAUACGUAUAUGACAGGCGCGUGUGGUGGGCCUCGUUUUGACGGGAGCUGGGACGUCGUUUGUCGCUGACGACUUGGGCCGAGGAUCAGAUAGCGCGUAGACGUCAGAUCCGUGGCCCAGGAAGUUUGCUUUCCGUUCCGUGUGUUGGCUUGAGCGGUAAUUGAGUGGGUCGUCUGGUACCUUCGACAACACACAGUUGACCUAACUUUGGGAGCUCUCGCAGAUUCCGGCGGCGACGGCGGCAGCAGCGACCAGCAUGGCAGCAGCCGUAAUCCUUCCCCACACUGCCUCUUCGUUCUGUACGCAGCGUAAGUAGUCGUUCUAAAUGGAUUUUGUUUGGCCUGCCUCAGAUCCACGUUCUAAACUCGAGCUCAGAAUAGCACUUUCGAUUUAAGGGUCAACUUUGAAGAUGUGCGCAAGUGAUUUAAGGGUGGACUUUGAAGAUGCCCUGACUACGAGAGCAAGAUACGAGCAGUAAUGUUUCACUACUGGACUAACAGCCCGCGACCAUGGAGCUAGAUAAACCAGCGCACGCACAAGGCUUCACUAAAAUUAGUUAUCAACUACAUCCAGUUACCACUAGGAAAUUAAUGAUAAAAAAGAAUGGGUUUAGGCUUAUUUUAGCAAGUCUAUAUAUAUAGACCUCACAUGGCUAGCAUAGAACAUAGUGGACACACACGGCCAACAAAUAUAGUCGAUACAAUGCAUGAGAUUUUUAGUAAUACAAGUUCAUUGGCAAUGCAACACAUCAUACGCAUCACCCGAUGAGGUAGGAAAGACUUCUUAAGCUUUUUUUGUACCGGGGCUUUGACCAUGCCUUCGAACAAUUUGAACUCAAACUUCUUUCCAGCCUGCACUCAAAUUUCGGUAACAAGCUUCUUACUUGCCAUCCCU